rnacentral:lncRNA from 1 species
CAAAGCAAAAGUUAAAAUUUGAAUUUUUAACUUGAUUCGAUAUUUUCUGAGUAAUUUCUUCUUAUUUUUGGCUUGUAAAUCGCUACAAAUAAAUAUAUAAAAUACUGUAAAUUAACAUAAAUGGCGAAAAUAUUGUACAUCACACAAGCGUAUUCUCACACGAAUUUGUAAUCGUUCCAGCGGCACGCGCUGCCGCCUCCAUUUCCCACGCUACCGGCACCGCCCACCGCCGGACUUCCUCACCCGCGGCUCCGGCGGCGCCACCGCCCACCGCCGGACUUCCACCGCCCGCCCAAGUACUCCCUCUAUGCCCAGCAUCGGCGAACUUCUCGACCCCUCCUCGCCCUCACCAAUCCCGCUCCUCCCCCCACCCCCUACCUCCUCUCUCCUCGUUUAGUUGAGAUUGCUUACCCUGUUUGAUUCUUCAGUGGUAUGAUGUGUAGAUGUAGUCCGGAUACGUGCAGCGGGAGCGCGGGCGGAGCUGGAGUAUGGCCAAUCUAGAGGGCAAAGGGAGGUAAAUUAAGGUAUAGAAUUUCAGUUUUAUCCAUUACGCCUAUGCUUUGUUUUCCAAUUCAUACUCACUCUCAUGUGCAAACUAACCAGGAUCUGGUAAUUGGAACGAUCCCCAUUCCUGCAGACUCAUAGUGUGAUUCAUUGAAUCAAGCUAACAAACUGACUGAAAAUUACCUCAUCAGUGCUGAGUCUAGAUCAUAACUAACUUUAUACAGAAAACAUUGAGUUGUACAACAUGUAUGAUGUAUCUGUAUCAACUUGUUCAAUCUCGGUUAACUGGAACCAAUUUAUGAAAAGGUGGUUAUCACUUCCCUUAAUCUCUGCUCAGGUUGUUGUUUUCACCAUUUUCCUUACUGUAGAUCACUUGGUGUUGUGCAUUCCCGUUCUUUCUGUAUGAUGAUCAAUUUUUUAGACUAAACUCAGGUCCAAGUCUCCCAAGUCCACUAAAGACUUGACUAAUAAGUCCAUCCACAAUUUCUUUCUGUCAGUUUCCUUGACUGUCAAAAUACUACUCCCUCUGUCCCUAAAUAUUUGACGCCGUUGACUUUUUUAAACAUGUUGGACCGUUCGUCUUAUUCAAAAAAUUUAAGUAAUUAUUAAUUCUUUUCCUAUCAUUUGAUUCAUUGUUAAAUAUACUACUACUACUCAAGUUUUUUAAUAAUAUUCACAAAAGUUUUUUAAUAAGACGAACGGUCAAACAUGUUUAAAGGAGUUAACGGUGUCAAAUAUUUAAGGACGGUGGGAGUAGUAUUCAGUAGUUUACACUUCACAGGGUCUAACAAAAGCCAUUCCCUGCUUAGAAUUGCCAGUAGGUUUCUUCAGCAUACAAUUACUAUCUCAUCUCAAGGAACUGCAGUAGACUCUUCCACCUGGACAAUGUUCCCACAUAUUCUCUUCCUAUCCCUGCUGCUCUUGGUUCCUGAAGACCCCAAUUUUGCCGCUGGAGCUUCAGCCAAUGAGUCAUUCAUUACUUUGGGAUCCUCUAUCAACACAAGCAGCACCCAGUACUGGUCCUCCUCUUCAGGCCGCUUUGCGUUCGGCUUCUAUCCCAACGGCGAAGGCUUUUCUAUUGGGGUGUGGCUUGUGAUUGGUGUGUCAAGGACAAUUGUGUGGACUGCCAACCGUGAUGAGCCCCCAAUUGCUGGUGGUUCUAUCAUAUUUGGGCAUGGUGGUGCGCUCCAAUGGUCACGAACUCCAUCAACUCCAGGUAGCCAACUGAACCCCAUAUCUGACAGUUCUACACCUGCUGCCUCUGCUGCCAUGUUGAACACCGGCAACUUUGUACUGUAUGAUAUGAACAGACAGGUCAUAUGGUCUACUUUCAGUUUUCCGACAGACACAUUGUUGGCAGGUCAGAACUUGCGUCCAGGCAGAUUUCUUCUUUCAGGUGUCUCUCAGAGUAAUCAUGCCAGUGGCAAGUAUAGGCUUGAGAACCAACAAGAUGGCAAUCUUGUGAUGUACCCAACAGGCACCAUUGACUCUGGUAGUGCGUACUGGUCUACCUGGACUUUCAACAUGGGCCUCCUCCUCACGCUUUCCUUAGAUCCUAAUGGUACCAUAUGGAUGUUCGACAGGAAAAACUCCUAUACAAAGAUACUGUUCCAUGCCAACCAGCCUUCCAAUGCCUCCCCUGAUAUGGAAAUUUACUAUCGUCUGACAUUUGAUCCCGACGGCAUCCUACGACUCUACUCACAUGUUUUCUUUAAGCUUGGCAGGGCACCUACAACAGAGGUUGAGUGGCUUGAGCCUGGCAGUGAUCGCUGCCUUGUGAAAGGUGUUUGUGGUCCGAAUAGCUUCUGCCAUCUCACCGUGACUGGAGAGACAAGCUGCUCUUGCCUUCCUGGUUUUGAAUUCUUGAGCACUAACCAGAGCACACUUGGUUGUUGGAGAGCAUUGCCAACCGGUGGCUGCGUGAGGAACAGCUCUAACGAUGAGACGAGAGUGACAACCACGAUGGUCGAAGUGAAGAACACUACUUGGUUAGAGAACCCGUAUGCUGUUCUACCAGCCACAACUAGUAUUGAAGCCUGCAAACUACUUUGCCUCUCCGAUUGUGCUUGCGAUAUCGCCAUGUUUAGUGAUUCCUACUGCUCAAAACAGAUGCUUCCCAUUAGAUAUGGCAGGAUGCCUGGUAACACCACACUCUUUGUGAAGAUCUACACUUACCAGACCAUAUCCGGUACUCGCCAAAGGGCUAUGAGUAUCCAUGCAAAUUCUGCAUUGAUAUCAGGGGUUUCCUUGGCCAUCUUUUCUCUGUUUGUGCUAUUAGUGGCAUCUCUAUUACUUAUCUGCAGGCAUCGGCGAUCAUUGGCGCACAUGACGAUGACGGCACCACGGCAAGAGGACUCCAGGAUUGAUGGGAACAUUGUUGGCCUCAGAUCCUAUUCUUUCCAGGAACUAGAUUUGGCAACAAAUGGUUUCGGCGAAGAGCUUGGCAAGGGGGCAUACGGGACAGUAUUCAAAGGUGUCGUGGCCGACACCAACCAGGACAUCGCUGUGAAGAGGCUCGAAAAGAUGGCUGAGGAUGGGCAGCGUGAAUUUAACAGGGAAGUGCGUGUGAUUGCAAGAACACACCACCGGAACCUGCUGCGAUUGCUUGGUUUCUGCAAUGAGGGCAUUCAUCACCUGCUUGUGUAUGAGUACAUGCCAAAUGGAUCCCUGGCAAACCUCCUCUUUCACUCAGAUGCCUCCCCUGCCUGGAGCAAGAGGGUUGCAAUUGCACUAGAUGUUGCCAGAGGGUUGCAAUACCUGCAUUCAGAGAUAGAGGGCCCAAUAAUCCACUGCGAUAUCAAGCCAGAGAACAUACUCAUUGACAGUUUGGGGAUAGCUAAGAUUGCUGACUUUGGGCUAGCAAAGCUACUGAUUGGGAACCAAACAAAGACAUUCACCGGCAUCCGAGGAACCCGGGGCUAUCUAGCACCGGAGUGGAGCAAGAACAGAGCAAUCACCGUGAAGGCAGACGUGUACAGCUACGGGAUCAUGCUUCUGGAGGUCAUAAGCUGUAAGAAAAGCAUGGAUCUGAAGCGGGCUGGGGAGGAGUACAACAUUUCCGAGUGGGCAUAUGAGUGUGUGAUGUUUGGUGAUGCUGGCAAGGUGGCAGAUGGUGUCGACGAAGCUGAGCUGGUGAGAAUGGUGAACGUCGGCAUUUGGUGCACACAGAGUGAACCUGUGAUGCGACCAGCGAUGAAGAGUGUUGCUCUUAUGAUUGAAGGUGCCAUCGAAGUUCACCAGCCCCCACCCCCUGCAUCAUAUUCGCAGUCACUAACAUGAGCUGCAAGCAUAAUUCUGAGUAAGUAAAAGGCAAAAAAAAAAGAGGUCUACCUGUAACAUUUUUUUUUAAAAAAAAAACUGUUGAUAAGCAGAGUGCAAUCUGAAUCUACUGAAUAGAUCCAGAGUAUAUGAGAAGUGGCACUUAGCAAAAGGUGUGAUCAGAAGAAACCUCAUUGAUUGUGUAAAGGGAAAAAAACAUUUGAUAGCAGAUACCCAUUACAGAACAACUCUUUGUCAACAGGCACAAAAGAACCUAGCUAAUUUUUUGUAAUUUUAACAAUUAUAAUAUUUCAGACUUUUUUUAGUUGAAAUGUCAGGUCGUUUGCUGAUAGAAAUCCUUGUUUAAUUUGCAGAAAAAUGAUGAAGUUUGCUUGAAGCGCUGCAAAGUACAGCAAGGGUCGUCCGUCUAUCACCAGUUCAAAUACAUGAGCUUGCAUCAUGGAACACCCUGAAAAUUGACAACCAAGUCUUUUACAUUAUGCAGCUAUAAGUUUUACAUUUUGAUCGGUAGAAUGCUAUGGAUGGCAUAAGUACAGGAACGGUCCUAGCAGAUGCUGUUAUGCUAGAAGUCUAAUAGAUCAUUUCAGUGCAGGAAAAUAUAUGAUGAAUCAUGUACUCUGUUUCUGAUAUGGAAUAAAGUUUAUGAGUUCUAAAAAAAAAGUACAGGAACGGAAAUCCAUUUUCGUCUGCGAUGGAGCCUUGAUUUUUAGUUAACUGCCGUGUUCGCUUUUCUGAUCGCGCAAUGCAUGUUGGAUUGUUCUCUGAAUCGUUGUAAAUACAUUGCUGCAUUCUAUCGUAUCAAAUGAUUUGAAACUAUGUACUACCUCCAUGGCUCUGUCCUAGAAUAUAUAUGAACUUUUAACUAUAGAUUUGAAUAUGUACUUGUUCAGAUUUAUAGUCAAAAUUAUUAUAUUUUGUUACGGAGGUAGUUUGAAGUAAAUGAUUUUGAUGUCAAGCAAAUCAACUAUUUGAAGUAAAUGAUUUGGCAACAAAAUGAAACGAUGAGAAGUCCCGGCCCACCAAUGGUUACUGGAUCUCAGGCUCUCAGCUACUAUUCGUGACUCGAGUUCGUGAUGGGCCGAGACCAUGAUCGCUACCAAUGGUAGAGUGAUCGGCACAGCACCAUCGAACCAAAUUGCCCAAACGCCAGAACGAAUCACUCUGAUGAAUAGUCGACAAAAAAAAAGUAUCACUCCGAAAUCCGAAUCCACGAUGAAGAUGAAUUUCAUUAGUCCACAAAAGUAUCACUCCGAAGUCCGAAUCUACGAUGAAGAUGAAUUUCAUUAGCCCACAAAAGGGCAUUACAUCAGACUUUACAGAAAGAAUCGAUUCAACUCUUCUCAUUAGUUAUUACAGAUCGAUCGAUCGAGAUGAUCAAUCGAGCAAUGCAUAUCUUCAUGCAUCUCAGUUGAUCAAACAAACACCUAACUAAUUGAUUGAUACGUAGUACAUAGUACAUGUCUAACUAAACCUGUUCUCUGACGAAAAACACUGCACUACUUAGUGCUACAGCCGCUCACUACACCUCAAUCAAAAACUUGUUUCAUUUAAUUAGGGUUCGAGCCAAGAAUGUCGUCGAGGGUUUCUCCGGAAGCCAGCCGCUGGAUGAUCUCCUCUUCGCCCAUGCAAGGUCCGUUCGUCGUCUCGAUGAAUUCGUCUCCGCCGCCGGCAACCUCCAUCGUCGGAGCCCACGGCAAUGGCUCGUCGUUCAUCAGAUACCUCAUGUACUGCUCCGUCGUGGCCGUGUCGAAUUCCACUCCCAAACUGUCGUCCAUCGGCGCCGACAGCAACGCAUCCAGGUCCAACUCCGGCAGGAUCGCCGGCUGCUCGCUCCCGGCCUCCUCUUGCCGCGGCCGCGCGCUGGGCGGCGCCUCCGGGUGAUCCGCGCCGUCGUCCGCCUUCCUCUUCGAGCCGGAGCAUGGCGAAUCGGCCGACUUCGCCGCCGCCGCCGUGCGCGCCUCCGCGCAGACCGCGCGCGGCGAGCGGUAGACCUUGCAGAGCACCUGCUUGUCUGCUCCGUCGAUGGCGUCGUCGUCGAGGCCGUACUCCGUCAUGCACCACCCUAGCCUCGUGAACGUGCGCGCCGACCCCGACGACGACGACUCGUAGACGCCAUAGGAGAACUUCUGGAGGUACCCGACGCGGCGGCCAUCGGCGCCGAUCACGGCCUUCUUGCCGCCCUCCGACUUCCACACGCUCUCGCCGCCGCCGCCGCCGCCGACCGCGCGCUGCCGCCUCCCGGAGGUCUUGCGCUUGCUGGUGAAGCGCGGGGAGCAGAAGAAGUACCAGACGCUGCUGCUCCCAUGGGUGCCCGGCGCCGGUCUGUGCUCGCCGACGAGCUCGGCCGGAUUGGCGGAGUAGACGUCGGCGUGGUUGAUGAGGCGGUCCUCGAAGGGGAUCUUGGCGAUGCUGGGGCGGAGGAAGAGGGUGAUGAGGCCGUCGUCGGAAGGGUGGAAGACGUAGCCUGGCUCAAGAGCGAUCUCGUCGUCGUCGGCCAUGUCGGCGGCGCUAGCUCUCGCGUUGCCCUAGCUUCACCUCGAUCAGGGGAGAAUCUGAAUUGAUCGAGGAGAGCUAGAGCUAGCAGAUGGUAGCCGAUCGAGGGUAUUUAUCGUGGACGUGGCGCACGUACGCGCGAUCAAAUCGCAGUACAGACAAUGCAAUCGAUCGAGAGUUCGAGACCGACUCGGACUCAGGCGAACCAAAUGGUUUUUUUUUUUUUUUUGGCGGGAAUGCGGUAUUUGUACGCGUAAGACGAGUAUGAUUUACUAGUUUGUUGCAAAAUGGUAAUUAGCCCAUCGAAUUUAUGCUUUUUCUGAUGGGCUAGGCCUGGGACCCAAUUCCGUGACGGGUGAGGCCCAUCACUGAAACGUCGUGAUGCGGCUAGGCCCAAAUUUGGACAGCGUGGCCGGGGUCGUGACAUCAUCAGGUUCAAAGGGGGUUCGGAGUUUCCAUCCUCCGAACCCCUUUGACCUCUUUUUCUCUCCACCACAUGAAUGCCUUUGUUUCUCUGGUUCCUUCUCUGAAUUUCUCUGCUAAUGAAGCUCAAUCAAGUUAUCAUGCACCACCAUUGAACUACUAAUCUUCUAACACGCGUUUAUUAUCGAUCUUGCCAAAACCAUGUUCAUGCAUGCUCUGGCCAUUCAGCGUCUGCUACUGAUUGAUCAUGCAGUACAACUUUGGUCCCUUCUCUGAAAUGUUACCAUUUUUCUUCUGAUGAAGCGUACAUACCAUGCGUUGCAUGAGGCAAACAUUCAUUUUCUGCAGCCGGAGCUGGAGAGUAGCUCAAGUCGUGACGCCGCCAGGUUCGGAGAUUAAAGCUCCGACCCCUAUUUUGACCUCUUUUUUCCGGCCCCAACAUGGAUGCAAAAUGUCUCCUUCAAUUCAGCCGCCCAUGGCUCUCUUGUCCUUAUCAUGCAUGUAUGGCCACACAUGGUGAAGAAAUCGAUCGAUAGAAUCAAAUUCACGAGACAUUCAGACAUGUUGGAAUUAAUAGAUGGGCUAAGGCCAAUUCAAAGAUUAAUUCUUUAGAAAAUCACAAAAGCCCAUCUCAUAAGAUGGUAUGUAUGUGAGUUUAAUACCACUUUGCUUAUUAUAGGAGAGGGAACCUCCUUAAAAGGGAGGAUGCCCUCCUAGCCACUUGAAGCAUGUGUGGUGGAGAGAAGAGGGGGGAAAUACACGCGCUCGCCCUGUCUCGCAGGGCAGGGUUGUUUUGCUGCGGGAAAUUCGGAUUUGUUUUGUUUUGGAAACAUUCCAAAAAAUCUGGUGCGUGAAAACGGCAUGGAGUUGCGCGACUUAUCCGGUUUGCUGCGGGAAAUUCGGAUUUGUUUUGUUUUGGAAACAUUCCGCUGCGGAAAAUUCGGAUUUGUUUUGUUUUGGAAACAUUCUGAAAAAUCCGUUGCGUGAAAACGGCAUGGAGUCCGAAUAAGUUAUGCGCGACUUAUCCGGUUUGCUGCGGGAAAUUCGGAUUUGUUUUGUUUUGGAAACAUUACGAAAAAUCCGGUGUGUGAAAACGGCGUGGAGUCCGAAUAAGUUACGCGCGACUUAUCCGGUUCGGUUACGCGGAGUGAAGAUCAUGCGGGCGCCCUGAUCAAGCGACCUAUCUCUAUAUAAACCGAGUCGCUGCCUUCACGCAACACACACGAAAUCAAUCUAGGGUUUGCCUCCUCUGUACUGCGCCGUCGCUCGUAGACUACUACAUCCCGCUCGCCGGCGUGCACCGGCGAUCGGGAGAGCAGGUCUCCGGAACCUCUGCCUUCGACGUCUUGCACCGGGAGAAGGCGGCAAUAAGAUUUUUGGGAAGCGCUUCGCGCGACUGCUCCCUGUUCGUCCGUGACGGCUCGCCUUCCUCUCCGCUCACGUGCUGCACGUCUUCAUCGACGCCCGCAACCACGAGUAGUUCCUGCCGAGCAACCGGUCUUUCCGCCACCUCGAUACGUGUUCGACAUGUUGCGCAUAUUUGAUCUGUUCAUGUUUUACUACUUAGUUUACAUGUGUAGAUCUAAUGAUGCGUUCAAUCUAGUUUGCAUCUGAAAUGUAAUAAAUUAAAUCAUUAUGUGCUUAUAAUUUCAACAAGACAUUCACAACAUUAACAGUUUAGCUGUUAGAUGGAAUCGGCAGCAUAAUAUUUACAUGGGUAUUACUACCGCUGCGUAUUUUGCCACAGGUAGACAAAUCAAGUGUGCUUGGCGACAAGAGAUUUGCUAUUAUUGCAGAGAGCUUAGAGCUCCAUCAACAUGGACAAAAAUACAGCACCGGUAUAGUUCAUGAAAGGUCUGUUUGCUAUAAACAGAUCCGGGAUAACAAUGUGGGGGUAAAGUACGGUCUGGAUUUCCCAAGAACAGAUCCAGGAUUUUCUUGAUACAAAUGCUCUCGAAGCUCUACAUGAAAAGCAUCACAAGUGAUCCAUAAGCAUAUAUUAGACAGGCAUAUGCUAAAAGAAUAUCUACUUUUUCAUGCACUAUGUCAUAUGGGAAGCCUAUGUUUACAAUGUACAUUAGUUUCAGUACGGGCAAGCCAAGAAUAUUGUGCAAGUACACUCCGGUUUCAUGAAAUUAAUGGACCAAAAUAUUUUUUUUAGUUGCGCCAAUAAAUAAAUGCAUGCAACCUUAAUAUCUUGUUUUAUUGCGCAAAUCAAGAUGAGCAUAACAAUAUACUGAUAUGUCCACACAACAGAUUGCAUAGUAUUAAUCUCUUGCCUAUCACAUCAAGUAGAAAAUGACCGCUUGCGCUUCUGAACAUCAAACUCAACAUCAAUGAGGCCGGUUAUACCAGCUUUGAUCUUCUGUCCUGGUCGUACUGGGCCUACACCCUCAGGAGUACCUGCAGAGGAAUUCAUUAAUAACCCCCACAAUCACAACUCUAAUGCACAACAAACUGUUCUCCAAAAAUGUGAUUUACCGGUCAGUAUAACAUCACCCUCCAUUAAUGUCAUGAUGGAACUGAUAUAACUUAUUAGAGAUGGUAUCUUGAAUAUCAUAUCACUUGUAGAUCCCUUCUGCCUAAGUUCAUCAUCAACCUGGACAAGAUUUCUCUAUGCUUGUUAAUAAUUUGUUGUACUUUCUACUUCUUAGGGGGCAAAUGAAUAGAUUCACUACAUGCCUACAUAUUUGUAUAGUUACCUUUAGCCAGAGCUCUAGAUCAUCAGGAUUAGCUACAUCUGAUUUUGGAAUCUGUUCAAUAGAGCAAGAAUCAUCAAGGAAAGUCAAAUGCAUUGGAUGCAGCAAUGGAAUUAUGUAGUUCAUAUUCAGUAGAAUGACAUCGGCAGCAUUCAGAGAAUACGAUCCACGACCAACAAAAGGAGAUGCCAAUCUGUAACUAGUAUCCUGUGGUUCUUUUCAUAUGAUAUUGACUCACCUUUUCCAGCAUUCUAUGAUUUAUUUCUAUCCAUUAAUAAUCAUAAAGAUUACUGGUGUAUAUUCCGUCUCUUCAGUUAUCCACUACUUUGAAUAUGGUACUUGGAACUAUUUAUUACAAGCAAAUACAUGGAAAUGAAAAAUAACGUGUCGAGUCACCACCUGAACCAGUUUCUUUAAGCAAGAGAACACAUUGCUUACCACUGCACUAAUUGGAGUGAAGGUGUCCUGUGCUUUACCCAAAGUCCAAGGAAGACCUGCAGACUACAGAGUACAUUGGUUUCUAAGUAUAAAACAUAGUACAAGACUGAAAAGUUAUCUUACAUUAAGAAACUAUGUGAUUGAUUCAUACAAGUACCAAGGAUACAACUGCCAAUUAGUUACCAUGAUUUUGCACAAAAAUAGUUAUAAAAAACAUUGUGUGUAUAUGAUCAAACAAGAUAGUGGUAACCAAAUUCAAAAGAAACAAAUAGUUCUUGUUCUAGUAGCUUAUACAAUUAUUAGUUGAUAUGAUUGCAUGAACAUAAUAAAGAAGCAGCUACUGAGAUUAUAGUGUGCAGCUUGUUGCUGAAUUUCUUUUAUCAAUUUGAAUGUUAUGCUCUUAUCUAUCCUCUGAAACUACCAAGGAUGAUAGAUGGCAAUAAGGUGACAAGACCAAAGAAAACUAGGGCAGCUAGUGCACACCUUAGCCGCAGACUGAAGUUCUCUUGCUGUCAUGUCCAAAGCAAGUGCAUAACCUGGGAAAUCCAAAGAUAUACCAUUAGUUAUAAUUGUACUUUGUCACUGAAAGGGGAAAACUGAAAACCAGUAUAGCUUUUUGUUGACUCGUAGAACCCACAUUAACAAAUACUAGCAUAAAAGAAAGAGUAAUAGUGAACAAUCUGCUACUUACUGUAGCAUAAUUUGGUAUUGAACCAAACAAUAAGAUCAAUUUCACUACCAUGAUUAUUUAGAGAACAUGAAGCAACCAACGAUAAAAGAAAAUGUGACUAUGUUAACGAAUACUCCUCACUAAUGAGACUUUCAUGAGCCUGGUCAUGGCAAAACAGGCAUUGAACAAGCAGAUGGCUAAGAGCUUAAAAUUCCAUGUCUGAAUUUUUCUACCAAGCCUGUCAAAUGUAUAUGGACAAAGUUUACCGGAAUUGCUGAAAGAGUGAAAUUUAUAUGUCCUAUAGUUGUCCACUUUCAGUCUAAGUCUCUAAGGCCUGCUCAAAUAGUUCUGAAUGGCAAUUCCAAGGUUCUAGUACGUAGUUUUCACAGAACAAAGCAUAUCGGCAUCUCCUAUUCGGAUUUUUCGGUGGAAAUCAUAUUUUGAUUUAUUUACCAAACUUGUGAUUUUCUUCCAUGAUCAGGGAUAUAGAAGUAUACAACUCAUCACACAACUAAUCAGCUGAAAGGAUGCCACCAGUUUAGAUUAGAUCCAUUUUAUCACAGCACAUCCUAGAUUAUCAAUUACCUCCUACGAAGUCCAUGGCGGAUGCUUCGGGGACGUCGCGCGCGCGCUGGGAGAUGACAACGGCAAGCUCGACCUCGUGGUGCAGCGACUCGACCGGCUCCGGCACCUCGAUGGCGGCGCCGGCCACGCCCGCGUGGAGGAACGACGAGGUGGGCUUCAGGAACAGCACCGGCUCCUGCAACCAGACGCGGCACGGGCACCACCGACGCCGGAUCAGGGCACCCCGCGGGAAGAAGGCGACCGGAGAACCCACCGCCGCCAGUGGUGGUUCGGGAUUGGAGAGUACUGUACCUUGGGGACGGGGUUCCCGAGCUCCUUGGCGUGGGCGACGAAGUUGCGGCCCACCCCUACGAUCUUCGUGCUGGCCGCCAGGAGCCUCUGCGCCGCCGCCGCCAUGGCCGCCGGAGGAGAGCUGCGAGCGGCGGAGGGAUGCGUCGAUCGAGGAGGUGGAGGUGGUGGUGACGGGGAAGAAAUGGACUCCAGCGCAUGGUCAAGUGACAAAAUAUACGGCCCAUAAGACAAAAACCGGCAUAUCAUGGCCCACAAGACAGACACCUGCCUUCCUGUGUCAAACUUUUAUAAUUUUGACAAAGUUUUGUAGCAACUCUUGUAACACCAAAUUAGUUUCAUCAAACCUAACAUUGAAUGUAUAUGUUGAUAGUACAUUUGUUUGGUGUUGAAAAUUUUACUAUAUUUUUAUAUAAAUUUGAUUAAACCUAAAAAAAUUGACUUAAAAAAAGAAAAAGAAAAUCAAAAGUGGUAGUAUAAAACGGAGGGAGCAUAGGAAUUAGUUUAUAGGCAUCCUAGAAGCUCUUUUAAAUUCAUUCAGACCCUUGAAAUUUCAUUGUUUGCCAAGAUAGCCAAACUUGGCAUUACAAAAGCUCUGCAGCAUUAGCCAAACACAGCAUGACAAAAGAACCACACCAUCAGCCUAAAGCAUUACAUCCUUUAUUCUCUUGAAAUUAUUCUUUACAGCAGUAAAUUAUCUCACAACCUCGAUGAUUUUGGAGAAGAAACACCCGUAUUGAACUUCUUGAUGUAGUUAUAGAUGUGAUCACUGAUUUCCUGUGCUCUCUCCUGCUGGAUGAAGUGCCCAGCACCUUUGAUUACCACUACUUCCUCAAGCAUAGGAACAUCUUUCUUCAACCUACCCUUGUGUAUGUAGCUUUUGACUCCUGGGAGAUGGUAAGCCAGGUCACCAUCCCCGACAAUAAACUUUGUUGGCACUAGAACUUUUGCACCUGUCCAUGGUGCCAUCAGCUCCCAAUUCCUGUGCAUGCAGGUCAGAGGUUAUGAGUUCCUGCUACAUAGGAUUAUAUGAUCAUAUCAUGCAACCCACAACUGCGUAUGUUGAUGCAGUUCUCAAGUCCAUGGGAGUGCAUGCUUGUGAUCAUGACUGGUGACAAAAUAUUCAAUAUGGAAAUUACUGAAUAAAUAAUCUGUGUAGUUCAGAACAGAUUUCUAUAUUUACCAUAAGUGUUUUUUUUCUUGAAUACGCAGGAGAAUUGCGAAUCAUCAUUAUAUUAAGAAGAAGGAAAAGGAAAAGGUCCCGACAAACUACAAGACUGAGAAACCAAAAAGACGCACAGCACACGGCACACCCAGUCACCCACCCAUACAUAUCCACCCUCACAAAGUGUUAUGCAAACAAGAAUUUCAUCUCUCCGAGAUCUGUUAACUGCAGUUCAUAUAGGUUGUGAGCUCCUGGUUAAAAACACACAACAGAUGCUAUGAUAUCUCAUAGUAGUAUAGAGGUAUUGAAUUGGACAACAGUUAAUUCCAAGCAACACCAUUAUCUAAAAAAAAAAGUUAAUUCCAAGCAACGUAUGCAGUAAGACAAACAGGAUACACAGCAAUCAGUGACAACAGGUAAAUCUAAAGGAAAAAAUGUGAUAUUGUGCUUCAUGUUUCUCUCUCUAGUAACCUGUCAGGGAGUUCAAAAACUGUAUUGCAACGUUAAACAGGUUGUAUGUGUGUCUUCUUUUGGAUAGAAUUUAGGUAUCUGGAGAAAAAUAAUUCGAGUGAUUUGACAUGUAUGAAUUCUGCACACAAUGAUUUGGUACCUUAAAAAUGGCAUACUUACAGGUCAAAACAUCGGUAGUAAUUAAUACCACCAGCGAAGCCAGUUUUUGCAUACACACUUGCUACAUAACUGAUAUCUUCCUCAGAGAGCCAAGGAGGCAAUGUUACUUCCCUGUUGUUUGCCCGCAUUUUUUUAAUGGACAUAGCAGAAGAUCCUGUUGUUUGAACAAUCAAGGCCAAUUUGAAGAAUCUCUUCAAGUCAAGACUGGCCAAUUCUUUUUCAACUCCAGGUUCCUGGCAGCCAAGAUGACACUUGUGAAGGCAAAUUAUAAAAAUUACAUGACUGAGAGUCCGAACAUGGUUCAGAAACAGUUGUGAAGCACUGACUUCAUGAGGACAAAACUUGUUCAGAAAUGAAAUUAUUCCACAUAGUUGUGCAAAAUUGUUGUUGUUUUUCUAAGCAUUAUUUAGUAUUUACUCAUUAGCCCAUGCCAAUCCAUUUAGCAAACUAUGUAUGAUUGAUAUUUCAUUUCAAUGUGUACGCAAACUACAAUUGGAGCUGCUCACAAAGAGGAAAAAGGGCUUGCGGCACGACUAUAUUACAUUCCCCAAAGAUCAAUUGACAGGAAAAUUUAACACCCCAGCCUAGCACAUGCACAAAAAUGAAAUUUCCUGAGUAUGUCUAUGUUAUGUGUUCAUCUAUAUGACUAGUGUGUUAAGAUGAAGAGCAGAUGUGAGCACCAUACCACUGGUAAGAUACUAAAAGACUUCUUUUUGAAAAUAAGUAUUCAUAGACACAACUCACUUAUCCAUUGCAAUGAAGUGAACUAUUCACUAAUAAACAAAAUAAGCACAAUCAUUCUCAAAUUAGUUGAUAAUUAGUGGAUGAUAGACAUUUGGGACGGGGAUUUAGCUUUAAUUCUUCGAUUAUUAAACAGAUAGCAGUCGAUUGGCCAUUUCUGUGGCCUACGGGAACAAAUUGCGCACCUGGAAUCGGCAGACAUAGUAAUCAUCGCCAUACGCGCCGCGGAAGUAGUCGAGGGGCUUCUCGGCGGGGCGCCUCGGCAUGAACGCGACGCUGAGGUUGACAAGCGCGCGCACCCGGUCAGGCCGCAGCAGGCACAGGUUCCACGACACGAUGGCGCCCCAGUCAUGCCCCACCACGAACACCUUCACCGCAACAACGCGCGACGCGUCAUCUCAGCGAUUUGGGGGCGGAAAGGGGAGAGGGGGCGCGUGCUUUUUUUUUACCUGGGGGAGCUCGAGGGCGUCGAGGAGGGCGACGAGGUCCCCGACGAGGUGGAAGAUGGUGUAGGAGGUGUGCUCCGGCGGCGCGGUGGUGCCGCCGUAGCCGCGGAGGUCGGGCGCGACGCAGCGGUAUCCGCGCGCGGCCAGGUGCCCCAUCUGGUGGCGCCACGAGUACCACAGCUCCGGGAACCCGUGCACGAACAGCACCGCGGGAGCAGUGCCGCUGCCCGGCCCCGCCUCCGCGACGUGCAUCGAGAUCCCGUUCGCCUCCACCGUCCGGUGCCUUACCGCCGCCGCCGCCGCCAUGGUCUCCUCUCCACUCCGUCGCGCGACGCGGCGACGACGUGCGGUGCUCUGCUACUGGCUGUGAACCUGCUGAUUACCCGAGGUAGUUGGAGAUAGUUGACUGACAUGUGGGUCCAGUUUCCUGGAUGGGCCGAUGUGAUACUGGGCCUAGUUCCUUUAGUUUCCAAAUGCAAAGUGGCCCAGGACGGAUAGAGCAUUUGCAUCGCAAAGCAUGGUCAAUUAUACCAAAUCAAUGCAUCAUCCAAACAUUGGGAAGAAAAUUACACAGGAAUUCAGUCUUUUACUUAUCAGUAGGACUUUGCUUCUUUGCGUGACAGCUGUAUAAUACGAAUCUCAAAGCAACAUGUCUUCAUCCCUGAUUUCCCCAGAGACUUGACUUGACGAGUAAACGCGUUCUCCUGCCGCCGCCGCACGCCAGUAUCCUUGGCGGUGCCCCCUCGCUUCGGCCCUUCCUUGCGUCCUUGUGGGCUGUGGCCCUCCGCGCCUCUCGUCGUGGCGGCCAGCGGUGCUAGCGGCAGCUAAGUGGUUUGCACGUGUUGACCAGCCGACUCUUUGUUAGACUAACUUUGCAGGUAGUGGGGAUUAUCACUUAGUUCUCGCCAGCACUUACGUUGUCAAUUGAAAAGAAGUUCAACAGCUAAAAGACAAUGGACUAGGCAUGCCUAUAAGACUUCACCAUGGUCUUGGUGAUGUGCUUCUAUGAUCUCGUGAUGGCUUUUCUCUGGCAGACAAUGGGUAGGCAUGCCUUCAGGAGUUAGGUCCUUGCCAUGGACCCUGUUGGAAUUAAUAGAUGGGCUAAGGCACAUUCAAAGAUUAAUUCUUUGGAAAAUCAUAAAAGCCCACCUCAUGAGAUGGCAUGCAUGUGGAGUUUAGUACCACCUUGCUUAUUCUAGGAGAGGGGGACCUCCUUAAAAGCGAGGAUGCCCUCCUAGCCACUUGAAGCAUGUGUGGUAGAGAGAAGAGGGGAAACACGCGCGCGCUCGCUCGCCUGGCAGGGCAAGCGGCGCGCGUGCACGACGUUACUACGCGUCGAAUGGUUCGAAAAAUUGGCUCCUCACCCUUGCGGAUAGGUUACGCGCGACUUAUCCGAAUUUGUUUUGUUUUGGAAACAUUCCGGACGGUUCGAAAAAUUGGCUCCUCACCCUUGUGCAGAUGUAGCCUCCUUGUGAAAACGGCAUGGAGUCCGGAUAGGUUACGCGCGACUUAUCCGGAUUUGUUUUGUUUUGGAAACAUUUCGGACUUAUCCGGAUUUGUUUUGUUUUGGAAACAUUCCGAAAAAUCCGGUGCGUGAAAACGGCAUGGAGUCCGGAUAGGUUACGCGCGACUUAUCCGGUUCGGUUUACGCGGGCGCCCUGAUCAGGCGAUCUAUCUCUAUAUAAACCGAGCCGCCGCCUUCACGCAACACAUGCGAAAUCAAUCUAGGGUUUGCCUCCUACUCUGUACUGCGCCGUCGCUUGUAGAUUACUCCAUCCCGCUCGCCGGCGUGCACCGGCGAUCGGGAGAGCAGGUCUCCGGAACCUCUGCCUUCGACGUCCUACACCGGGAGAAGGCGGCAAUAAGGUUUUUGGGAAGCGCUUCGCGCGACUGCUCCCUGUUAGUCCGCGACGGCUCGCCUUCCUCUCCGCUCGCGUGCUUCGCGCCUUUGUCGACGCUCGCAACCGCGAGUAGUUCCUGUCGAGCAACCGGUCUUUCCGUCACCUCGGUACAUGUUCGACAUGUUGCGCAUAUUUGAUCUGUUCAUGUUUUACUGCUUAGUUUACAUGUGUAGAUCUAAUGAUGCAUUCAAUCUAGUUUAUAUCUGCAAUGUCAUGAUUUAUUUAUGGAAUAAAUUAAAUUAUUAUGUGCUUAUAAUUUCAAUAGACCCAUGGUCGGAUAAGAUGUUGGUCUCCUGCAGAAGGAGGAAGAGAACUCAUGAAGAAAAGACAAUGAGGAAUUGGAGAAGAGGAGGAAUCAUGCUUUGAGAUUUGGACUGGACAGGUGUCAAACAAAUAAACAAAGUCCUACCGAUGAGUAAAAGACUGAAGUCUUAUGAAAUUUUCUUCCCAAACAUUGAAAUUUCAUAGGAAUACGGUCCAAAUUACAACAACAUUUGGUCACAUAUACGUUGACACUGAUUGGCACACACGCUUGUUUGAAGAGUUUUUUUUUUUGUUUUUUUUUUACGGCGAUGAAUUGCAUCUGACAGUUGAGUUGAGUUGAGCGCUUCAGUUGGGUUGGGGUAUGAACUUGGUGAUGAAGUUGUAGAUAAGGUCGCUGACCUCCUCAGCCCUCUCCUGCUGGAUGAAGUGGCCGGCGCCGGGGAUGACGACGACGUCCUCGAGCAGCGGCACCUCGGCCUUGAGCCCGCCCUUGUGCAGGUAGUCCUGGAUGCCGGCGUAGUGGUACGUCAGGUCGCCGUCCCCGACGAUGAACUUGGUCGGCACCUGCACCUUGGCGUCCGCCCAUGGCGCCGCCAUCUCCCAGUUCCUGUCCAUGUUGCGGUAGUAGUUGAUGCCGCCGGUGAAGCCCGUCCUCUCGAACGCGGCGGCGAAGUAGUCGAUGUCCUCCUCCGUUAGCCAGGCCGGCAGCGGCAGCGGCGGCGGCGGCGGCGACUCCUCGCUCUCCGGCUUGCCGGCCUUGUGGACGGUGAAGCGGUUGCACAGUGUCCGCCUUAUGAUGUGCCUCGCGUGCGCCGGCGCGAACUCCUCCUCCGCAACGCCAGGCUCCUGCAAACAGCAACAAUUAGCGGCCGGUAUUGGGCCAGAUUAUCCUGUGCAAUUGGGCCUCAUAAAUGGGCCGCCGGCCCAGAGAGGAUGAAAGGUAAGUGGUCUCAUGUAUGGCAGUGGCUGAACCGACCAGAGGUGAUCACGUACAAGAAUGUAGUAGUAAAAGAUUACCUAGAGAAUCGAUAUCUUUCGAUGAGAAACGGAAUGGCCAAGUAACCUCAGGGCAAGUAAUUAGGGCUUAAUCUCUCAAUUCCCUAUUUCGGCUUGAUUUGCUCCCUCCCUGCACCUCUAUAAAAUGGCACGCACGUAGUGCUCAGUUGAUCAAUCGAUCAGAAGCAGAUAGAGCUUUCUGUUGCGUCAAUGGCGGAGAUCAUCCUGAACAACCACUGCGAGGGCUGCGCGAUCGACAUCCGCAAGGCCGUCGAGAAAAUGUUCGGUAAGAAGCUAGAUGAUGUGUGCAGUGCCAGUGCAUUUUUGUCAUGGCGAUCGAUUUGACAUUUUGGGCUGCGUGCGUGCGUGCGUGCGUGGGGGUGCAGGGGUAAAGAGGGUUUGGGUGGACAUGUAUGGGCGGCGGGUGGUGAUCGCCGGCCGAAAGGUCGACGCGACGAAGCUCAGAGAGCGACUCAGGCGGAAGACCGGCAAGUCAGUCACCAUCGUCAGCGACGGCACGCCGCCGCCGCCGCCCGACGACGUCCCCUUUGUCGGGAUGAUGCACCUGGCGCCGUCGCCGCCCUACUACCCAUUGCCCGCGCCGCCUCCGCCGCCGCCGCCGGGGAGCUACCUGUACGGCGGCAACUACCCCUGCCAGAACCCGUACCACCAGUACGUUCAAGGAGGCAUGCCGGCGCGCUUCGUCGGCGACGACACCUACGACGACGGAUGCUGCUCCAUGCAGUGACCGAUCGUGCUACUACCAGUCGUAGACGAAUAACGGAAUAAGCCAACACGUAGUAUUUCAUCUACUGUUCCAUCGGAGACACCAACAGUAGUAGCAGUAUGCAUUUUUUUUUUCUUGUACUGCGACCACGCACUGUACCGGUCAGGCUAUCGAGUCCGUGCAGGAGAAAAUUUCGCUACUCCGGCUGGACCGCUGGUUCUGAUCCGUUUGGGACUUUGAACAAUAUUUACGAUAGUAUUAUUCUACUACUAGUAGCAUAUAUAAAAAAGGUUCGUUUGCGUCUAUCUGCUCACGAGUUCUACCUAAUUUUCUCCCAUGCUGCAUGUUGUAGUAGCUUCAAAGUAGAAGAAAUAUAUAUGCAUAUCAUUCGUUACUUAUUAUAAGUCGUUUAAUUUUUUUCUUAGUCAAACUUCUUAAAAUUUAAUUAAAAUAUAAAAAAAUAUAGCAAUAUUUUUAAUACAAAACAAACAUAUUAUCAAACUAUAUUAAAUUUAAUAAAAUUAAUUUGGUGUUAUAAAUAUUACCGUUUUUUCUAUAAAUUUGAUUAAAUCUAACGAACUUUAAUUAAAAAAAUAAACAGUCGAAUAGCUUAUAAGUAUAUAAUAUGAAACGGAGGAAACGAUAAGUACGUAGAGGAAAUGGCAGAGGAUGAGGUUCUGUGUAUUGAACCUGGAAGCGGCAGAUGUAGUAGGUGGGGCCGUAGGCCUUGUGGAAGUGAUCGGUGGUCUUGAUGGCGUCGGCGCCGGAGCGGAUGAAGACGUGGCGCAUGAAGGCGACGCUGGUGUUGACGAGCGCCGUCACGCGAUCCGGCCGGAACAGGCACAUGUACCACGCGAUUAUCGCGCCCCAGUCGUGCCCCACCACGAACACCUGCUUCAAUCCAAAACCAGAUCAGAUCAGAUCAGCCUCUAAGUUUUAUUUGCAACAGCUAGUAGAAAAUCUUGUAAAUAAAAAAAAAUUCACUAGUAGUGACGAAUUGGCAUUUAAUUAUUAGUAGUACUCUAGUUCUGCUUGAUUUGAUUAAUAAGUUCCAAGAUUUUCAGUACUGAUCUGCUUAAGUACAUAGCAUUGACAGAUUAGUCGUGGAGUCGUUGGAUGAUGCCAAUCAAAUUGACAGGCAAGCCACGGCGUCACGUUGGGUUGGGAUAUGCCCAUAUUUUUUUUUCAUUCCGUCUACCCAUUGUUGAUGCCGCCUUCAGUUUGAACUUUGAACCGUAUCGAAGCACUAUCGAACAAAACAGUCAACUUCUUUGCGCUCACAUCACAAAGCCAAAUCAACCAAAAGCAAUUUUAAAAAUGGCAGCCUUUUCAUUCGCUAUCCAUGUUCGACGCUUCUAGGGAUCACGUAUUUUAUUUUAUUUAGAUAAUGAUCACAUAUUCGCAUAUUUUAAUUAAUAGCGGAAUCAAACAAUUUAAGCGCAUGUGAUUAAUCAAUUAACAGUAAAUCAAAGCGUGGUUUGCAUCUGCUAAGCUCGUACGUACCUUGGCGAGGCCGAGGGCGUCGAGGAGCGCGACGAGGUCGCCGACGACGUGGAAGGCGGAGUAGGACUCGAUCUCGGGCGGCGCGUCGGUGUCGCCGUACCCGCGGAGGUCGGGGGCGAGGCAGCGGAAUCCCCGGCCGGCGAGGUGCUCCAUCUGGUGCCGCCACGAGUACCAGAGCUCCGGGAAUCCGUGCAGGAACAGCACCGCCGCGCCAUCGCCGCCCUCGCCGCCGGCCUCCGCGACGUGGAUCGAGAUGCCGUUCGCCUCCACCGUCCGGUGCCUAAUGACCGCCGCCGCCGCCGCCGCGCCCUCCAUGCUCUCUAGCUCCUUCGCUUUCUUCUCUCCUCUCCUCACCGGCGAGCUGAUCGAUCAGCGUGUGUUUGCACACUUCGCGUGCGAGGUGUGAGCUCGUAUUUAUCGUACGUGUGGUGCCCCCUGUCGUGUUGACAAUGAAGAAGGUAUUGUUUAGUUUCAACUUUUUUCUUUAAACUUUCUACUCACUUUUCUACACAUAUAAACUUUUAAUUUUUUUAUCGUAUCAUUUCAAUUUCAACCAAACUUUUAAUUUUGCUGUGAACUAAACACAUCCGAACUCUCGUGUGAAAGUGGAUAAACCGAGAGAGAGAGAGAGGGUCACGUUUGAAAAAAAAGAAACGGUGGCGAAGUGUGGCUGUGCAAGCGUGUGACGUGGACGCUAACGCACGUGGCGCGUGGGAACUGGCCCCCAGGAAAACGGCGACCGGAAGAGUGUGAUCAUAGCGGCUGAACUAUUUUCUCAAAUUAAUUUUAUAAAAUUUAAUAUACUUCGAUCAAGCUAUUUCUUUAAGGUGGCAUAUCAUGUAACUAUACAGAUUUAAGGUGAAUUUCUUAUUAAACUGUAGAUUUAAAAUAAGGUGUAAGAUAAAUAAAUAUCAAGUAGCAAAAUCUCAUAACUAUAAGUUUGUUAGUGUCAAUUUAAUCAUAAAAUUACCACGUUUAUAACUCCAACGUAAUGGUAAUUCUAGGGAAUUUAAGCUUUAGAAUUUAUAGUUCUAUGAUAACUCCAAAUUUAUUUUGAGAGCGAUAACUUCAAUUUUAAAUAUGUAGUUUUGUAAUACUUUAUUAUAAAUCUAUAGUUUUGUUAUAAAAAAAUAGUUAAAUUUGUAAGUGUAUAACAUGAUAAAUCUAUAAUUUUGUGAUAAUUCGUUUAAUAUAUUAUAGUUUUUGAAAUUUAGUCCUUUACUUUUGGAUGAAAUAGGAAGGUUAUAUUGACUUGGUCAUGGCCUGCAUCAAUUUCAGUAGCAGUAGAGUAGGUGCAUCCACGAUGUGCUUGAAAAAAGCGAUACCCCAUCAACAUGUUCAAUAAUACAUUUAUAUAAGUGCUAUAAAUCAUAUUGUUGAGGAGAGAUCCUCAAUAGCGGGGAAUUGUGAGACCCCCCAUUUGUGAUUUCGGCCGGGGGCGGAGGCUCAUCUCUUGAAAAUCACUCGCUCGUCCCUAGGAUUACCGGCAAGCUUGCACGCAGUCGGAUUAUACAGGUUCGGGCCGCUAUGGAGCGUAACACCCUACUCCUGUGUUUGGGAUUAUGGAUGAGUUUUACAAAGAUUUCUUCACUCUAGAAAGCGCACUCGCUUCCUCUCUUCUGGAGUUCAGGUUUUCUAGGCGUCCUCCUCUGUCUCAGUGGGCAGGGUCCUCCUUUUAUAGCUCAAGGGGAUACCAUAUGCGCCGCCUCUACCUACCCUCUAUCGGAGGGGGAUCCCACUCCACUUUUCCUGGGCUUUAAACCGUGCCUUCUCCCGGAAGCUAAGCAACAACCGGUUCUCGAGUGGAACCAGGCGCCGCCCCCGCCUGACACGGGGGACAGCCCUGUCAUUCCCUCAUAAAUGAACGAUGACCUGUGACAGCCCUUCCUCGAGUGACGCUUGGACGUGACGGGUCAUACCCACCCCCACUCCGCCGGGUACAAGGGCGACGUGAGGACAUGGUUGCCCUAUCCAUCGGAUGUGACGGUGUCAGGCCGGUCACAUCCGUUGGACAGAGGUUAGCUAGGCGCGCCGCACGUCUGCCCUUACCGCAUUAAAUGCGGUGAGGGACAGUUGGGGCGUCGCACUUUUAUGGCUGUUCAGCCUGUGCUCUCGCUCUCUCCCUGUCACGCCCGGAAAUUCACUAGUGAAUUUCCGGGCGUGACAAGUUGGUAUCAGAGCCAUCUCGACUGUAGGAUAAGCCAAAUGGUCAAACCUUAAGGACUAAUUUUCCGAAAACAUGAUUUGUGAAAAUUUCUCCUUUCUUCCUUAUCUAGAAUUCUUUGCAAAUUGUUUCAUUGUCUACUCCCCUCUCUCUUUCAACUUGAGUAGUUCUAAGACAUUGAAACUUGAAGACAUUUAUGUGGUCAACUUAUGGAGGUCAGUCAAGUGGAUCGAGGAAGGACCGAAGUGCCAAGUGGUCAAGAUGGAAUGAAGUUUGGAUCCUACCUUAGAACCUAUGCCGCCAAAGUGUCCUUGAAGAAUAGUUAGUAGGGUAGAACGCUUGUUGUUUGCUUUGUGUGUAGGUAUGGUUGCAUUCCCAUCAUUGGAGUAGUUCAUUGAUGAGUGUGUAACUAUACUAGGUUGCUUGCUUAAUCAACUUGAACAAUAUAAUGGUCUACACACAUCAGAUCAGUGUUAACCUGGUUAAGGUCUUGUCUUUAGUGUAACCCCUCUCCUUCUAUCUUCUCUAAUAUGCAACAGAUGGUGAACACUCGCGCCAGUGGAAGUGGAAACAAUAACAAUGAAGGGAACCCAAUUCUUGCUCAAGUUCUGGCUCAACAGACUCAGUUAAUGAACAUGAUGAUACAGCAGAUGCAGAACCAGCUCAACCAAGGGAACAACAAUGCUCCACCGCCGCAGAACAAGUUAGCUGAUUUUCUUCGUGUGAGGCCACCUACCUUUUCUAGCACUACUAACCCAGUGGAAGCAGGUGAUUGGUUGCACACUAUUGAGAAGAAGUUGGAACUGCUCCAGUGCACGGAUCAGGAGAAAGUUGUUUUCGCUUCACAUCAGUUGCAAGGACCUGCAUCAGAAUGGUGGGAUCAUUUUCGGAUGAACAGAGCAGAAGGACAACCAAUCACUUGGGUGGAGUUCACGGAAGCAUUCAAGAAGACACACAUACCUGUAGGAGUUGUUUCUUUGAAGAAGCGUGAGUUCAGGACAUUGAAGCAAAAGGAUCAUACCGUGGCAGAGUAUCUUCAUGAGUUCAAUCGUCUGGCACGUUAUGCUCCAGAAGAUGUGCGUACUGACGAAGAAAGGCAGGAGAAGUUCCUGGAAGGCCUGAAGGAUGAACUGUCAGUUACAUUGAUCUCCCAUGACUAUGUUGAUUUUCAGCAGCUGGUUGACAAAGCAAUUCGACUUGAAGACAAGAAGAACAGGAUGGAUAACCGUAAACGGAGAAUGACUGUAUUCCAGGAGGCACAAGGUAGUAGCCAGAGGCAGCAUAUCAGGCCACUCCAAAUUGGUGAAUCUUCUUCCGCUGGUCAAGGACAGUCGCAACAAUUGAACAUCGCUGGUGAGAUCAAAUCAGAGACUAAUGAAAGCAAUGAUGUUAACAUCGAGCAAGCUAAUCAGCCGGUGCCAGUUCAGCAGGACCAGUCUCAGGAGAAUAACACUAGUGGAAGGGAGCAGCAGGUAUGUUUCAACUGUUACAAGCCAGGCCACUUUGCAAGAGAGUGUCCGAAGCCGAAGCGUCAGCAGCCGCAAGGUCAGGUCAACAACAUUGUCGUCACAGGAGCCAAUGCAGUGCCAGUUGCGUCUUCAAGAGUUGCGUCUUCAAGUGUUACAGCUCAGCCACUAGUUUCAAAGCAGCAGUAGUUUUCUUUAAAGCCUUAGAAUAAUUAUCUGAGUUAUGGAAUAAUAAGAUAGACUACAGUUUACCUAUGCCCUUUUCUUUCUAGCCGUUCCGAAUCUCGGGACGAGAUUCUUUGUAAGGGGGGUAGAUUUAUCACAUCCUGAUUUUUGUUUCAGGAUUUAUAAAUUAUUUAAUAAAUUAAUAAUAGAAUUUAUGUUAAAUGAUCUUUAAUUUACAAGUGAAGUUAAAUGUGGGAAAUAAAAUUUCCUUAAUAUAAAGCAUGGAUGGAUUUAAUUUUUAUUAAAUUCUCCAUGAUUAAGUCAACUCUCUGAAAUUUUCUCGGAUUUUUCGGAGCUCAAUUCCUAAAUGAUACAAAGAACAGUUCAGUAAUUAUUUGAUUUUAAUGAUCUAAUUAUAUUUGUUAAGAGCUUUUCUUGUUUAAAAUCCUUAAAUUAUAAAUUGUUGUUUAAAAGGAAUUAUUAGAAAUGAUUUUAAAAGCCUAGAAGAGAAGAUCUAAUUUUAAUCUGUUAAAUCUCAAUAUAAAAUUGGGCUAGAUAAAAUUUUGUUAAAUACUUUGCUUAAUUCUAUAAUUCCUAGAUUUUUCUGGGAUUUAUUUGAGCUAAGGAAGUAUUUUUAAUAAAUGGAAUUGCAUUUCAUGAAUAAUUUAAAUUGAAAAAGGUUUUUAAAAGUCUCUUUUGGCUUUGGGCCGAAAGCCGGCCCAAAACCUCCUCUCUCUCUCUCUCCCCGGCCCAGUCGGCCCAGCUCGAGCCGCUGCUCUCUUCUCUCUCUCGGUGCCGCUGACAGGUGGGGCCCACCUGUCAGGCCUGUCUUCCUCCUCGCGCCGGCCGCCGCUCGAACCCUAGCGCCGCGCCGCCGUCGUCUCCUUCCAAAUCCGGUCGAUCCUUUCCCGAUCCGGUGAAAUCAAUAGAGGGGAAAUGAUCUUCUCGAUCUCCUCUUCCUUUUCUCUUAUGGAAUCAUCGCCUAAUUCGGUUUGGAAACUCGUGGAUUCGAGGUCGAAUCGGAUCGGUCUCUUUCCUUCAAACCCCGAUCUUUCCUUCCCGUCGCCGGCCGCCGUGGGCCUUCGUCGUCGCCUCCUAGCCCCUUUAAAAGGUUCCCCGAGCUCUUCUCUACCCGCCGCCACCUUUGCCUUCGCCUCUCGUCGUCCGUAGUGCCCUAGCGCCGUGUAGCUUCGAGCCGCCGUCGUCGCCGCCGCUCCAGCCGUGCGCCGCCGUCGUUUCAGCCGUCGUCGUCGCUCGGGAAGGUCGCCGUCGUGAUCGUCAAGUCACCGCCGUCCUCGUCUGCCUCUUCGUCGCCGCCGGAGACCGCCGGAGCACCGCCGUCACCGUCGACCCGAAAACCGCCGCCGUUUCUUCCUCGUCGCCGGCGCCAUCCGUUGCUCCUCCGCUGUUGCUUUGGUCACCGGUGAGUUCGCCGCGUCGCGCUCUACCCGUUGGUGCCCUCCGUUUGCGUCCUCGCGCCGUCGUUCGCCGGCGAGCUUGCGCUCCCGAGCCGUCGCCGGUGGUGACGUCAUCGCCGACGUCAUCGUCGCCCUUCCCCGUGAGCCGGUCGUGGACCGUUCGAUCUCGGCCGUCCGUUUUGGAUAGGUUCUAUCUCGACCGUCCGUUCCCGUGAACCGCUGCCGUGCACCCGGUUCACCGCAAACCUUAGCCGCUGACGCAAUAAUCCUCUUUUCCUUUUCAAAAAUAAUUCAUUAUUGCGUCAUAAUUCAAUUAAAAUCCAUAUAAGUGUUUUAAUCCGAUUUAAUCUUUGAAAAUUCAUAACUAAUUCAUUUCAUUGUAACUCAGUUUAAUGUGGUUCAAGUUGCAAAAAUUAUAUAAAAUAAAGAUCUACAUAUUAAAAUUGUCCAUAAAUUGAAUUAAAUUUAUUUAAUUCUUUUUAAAUGGGCUUUAAUUAGAUUUAAUCUUGUAAAAUUCAUAUUAAAUUCAUAUUAAGUCAGAAUGAGGCCGUUCAAGUCUCAUAAUUCAUCUAAAAUUAUGAUCUACAUGUUUGUUUACUUUUUAUGUAUUGUUUAUUUGGUUUUUAUUAGUCUUUUUCCUCGUUUUGCGUGUUAGCUUGUGAAGGUUCGCGAGUGCGCCGGAAGUAUUCAAGAAGAUUAAUUGAAGACCGAUUAUUGCAAGGCAAGUCACACAGAUCCUAAACACAAUCCUUUGAGCAUGUUGAUCCUAUAUUUAAAUUCUCUAUUUAUUUCAACUGUGCAUUUAUUUUCGAAUGUCACCGGGUGGUGUGAACCUAUUCCUUUGUUAUGGCCUGUUUGCAUUGAUUACUCUAUUCCUUGAUACCUUGGGAUAUUAUAACUUGACUAGUUGAGCUUUAUAUAUUGGUUCAGCUAGAUAUUAGAUAUGAUUGCUUAGCCAUGCUUAGAAACAUUAGCACACUAUUGGGAUAACUUAUGACUUAAUAUUAUUUAAUGAUGGCUUAAUGAUAGUUCACGAUGGUCAAUCGUGAUUGGUUAAUUAAUUACUUGCCAACUAAAACUUGAUAAUGGUGGGUUGUGAGCACAUGGUUUUGAGAGUCGUGCUCAUGGCAAUUAAGGACCGGUUCGCGAGCUACUGUUGUGAAACAUUAACCGUGCCAACCACAAGCCAGCGUGGGCAACGGCUUUACCUUUUGUAUAACAUGGUUCAUUGCGGAUCACCAGACUGAGAAGUGGCGGAGAUAAGCCCACGGGGGUCGCUGGGGAGUCCAUGCCUUGUUUUAUAAGGGGGUGAUUAUGAUCCAGGAAUGGUGCACUGUGGUGAGUUGUGUUGUGCAGAGGGUAUUGUCACAGCCUCUAUUCGGGUACUUUUCAGUAUCGCGACGCAUGGUAGACAUGAUGUUGAGGCUGUGUCUUGUGGGUACAGUGGUACACCUCUGGCCAGAGUAAAACUAUUCGAAUAGCCGUGCCCGCGGUUAUGGGCGGGUUGAGCAAUGUUUUUCGUGAUUAGUCUCACACCUCUCACAAUAAUUAUGGAUGUUAUACCUGGUAAUAAUUUGCUUAGCUCCUGGUUUGGAGUUAGAUCUGUACAGCCGGGUAUGGUUGUUCAGAAUGGUUGGGCCUGUGCAGCAUGGGUGUGUUGUUCAGUGUUGAUUAAAAUUUCUGAUUAAUUACUCCACUGUUUUACAUCUCUUAAAUGUUUUGCUAAGUGCUGCUUUUGCAAAUGAGCCUAUAUUAUGCCAUCCUUUGGUAUCCUUGUGCACUUGCAUAUUUGCUUUGUGGCUUGCUGAGUAUGUCAUAUGCUCAUUCUUGCAAUAAUCAAUCAACCUCAGUUGAAGAAAAAGAAUCCAGAAGGAGAAGACGUUUGGCUUAUACCCCAGUUGAGCUGCCUGUGGGAGUGGAGCCGGAGCUUCGGUAGAUUUUAUUUUCCGCUGCAGUUUUCUUCAUGGUGAGGACUAAGUGCCUCUUAAGUAAGUACUUAUCGUUUUAGUUAAUUUGAUGAAUCUGUAUAUUAAAUUGUCAGUUUGUGUACCUCGGCUGAUUCCUGGACGAGGAUUUUAUGCACAAAUAAGUUUGGAAAUUACUAGUGAAUUUCCGGGCGUGACACUCCCUCCUCCGCAUGGCAGCCGGGUGAGGGCCUCGGGGCGAACCCGCGGGAUAGCCCGAGGGGGUGACGCCAUGCCCCGAGCCCCCCCCGGCCGCUUCCACGACUCGCGUGACGCGCGAAUGGGGCUAACUUGCAAAGUCACGUCGCCGGAGGGAAAGUAACCCUCUACUUCACAUACCCCCGGGUCCAUAUCUCCGACAGUAGCCCCCGACGCUAUAUCAGGUAUCGAUUUCCUGAGAUCGUUCUGACAUGGUGCCUCACGACUCCUCGAGCUGGGGUUGUGGGCCCGGCAGGGAAUCCAAAAGGAUAUCGCCGCGUGGCCAGGUUGGCGUGCCAACCAUAAUAGCGGUUUGACCGCCACUGACCGCGCUCAUGAUGAAGAUGCUUGAGGCGCGAUAACCCGGGGGGUCAGUCAGACCACGCCUCGAUUCUCCCGCUCGCUACUCCUGCGGCGGUAGUGGUGACGGUUUGCUCAACUUGCGCUCAUAGCCGUUGUGCACUCCACCUCGAGUGUGCCACUGACAGACGCACUAAAGGCGGGAGCGGAUACAACGGGCGACGUGAUGAGUGGGCGCAGGAUGCGAAGAGACAAAUGCGGGCGCGAGGAUCGUGGGGGCAAGUAUGGGAGCGCGAAACGAGGAGGCAAGUGCGGAUGAAGCGAGGAUAAAAGGGGGCGGAGGCAGAGACUCUGCCCCCUUCCUUUCACCAACCGCCCACUCGUCCUUUCGCUUCUCAAACCCUAACAUUCUCGCCACCUCAUACUGUCUCACGCUCCACGCUCUCCGCCGGUUGCCAUGGCCCAAGACACCGGCGACGCAGUGCUCCCUUCCUCCCGCAUCACAGCAGACAGGCACCUUAGCCUUCCCCGCAAGAUCAUGCCGGACGGUGCCGUCGUGCGGGCGGGAGAGUCGCGGCCACGGCCACGAUAUCCGGAGCGAUCCAUGCACCUCUUGUCCUUCGCCAUGACGGGCUUGAUUCCGCCGUUCUCCAGAUUCUUCCAUGAGGUUCUGGAUUUCUACGAAAUUCAUGCCUUGCAUCUCGCACCCAAUGCCGUGAUGACGCUGGCCAUCUUCGUGCAUUUGUGUGAGAUGUUCAUUGGGGUGCGACCGACGAUGCGGUUGUUCCAGGCCUUCUUCAUUCCGUAGCUUCUGCAAGGCGCGGUGGUGGGGGGAUGCUACUUCCAGCCCCGGCCAGGCACAGCGGGUCAGUACAUCGAGAGCAAUCUCCGCAAGAAAUGGGAGGACUGGAAUAAGGACUGGUUCUACACCGCGUUGCCGGACCAUCCGCGACUUCGAGUUCCCGCUGGCCCUCCUGAAAGGUCUGCCGCAUGGCUGGCGACUUCGGAGCUGGGCGAGGAAUACGACGCGGUGUGGGAUCGCCUUAGGGGCCUGCGGAGCCUGGGCCUCACGGGGGCGAUGGUCUUUGGCGAUUACUUCCGCCGCUGCAUCGCACCUCUUCAGGAACGAUCCCGUGGAGCGUGGGAAUACACUGGUCCCAACGACCCCAUGCGGACGCAUGUGGGCGAGCGCUGGGACUAGGGUGAGGAGGACGCGAAGAGGGUGAUUCGGCGGGUGCUGGGCCUAGACUCCGCUGAGCCAACACUAAUCCCAGAUGGGAUUCUUCCCCUCUGCUGCUACCGUGACCGGGAGAGCAUUCUGGCCGUGAUGUCAGCCAUCGUGUCACGCCCGGAAUUUCUAUCCAAAAUUCCAAACGCUUACAUGUGUGUGAACCCUCGUCCAGGAAUCAGCCGAGGCACACAAUAACAAAUUGAUAAUAGAGUACAAUUAUUACUCUAAUUAAUAGGCGAAUAAAAUGUCAUUACAGAGGUAGAUAGUUCCUCUCAAUCAAUAAAGAUCUAAGCAGCGGAAAAUAAAAUAAACGGCGCAGACGGCUCCACUCCACAAGCAGCUUGACCAAGGCUACACCUAAUCCUCCACACCAUCAGCAUCAUUGUAGAACUCUUCCUCUGAUGAAUGAUUGCAAGGUGAGUAUAUGACAUACUCAGCAAGCCACGCAGCAAAUAUGCAAGUGCACAGGAUAACAAAGGAUGGCAUAGUAGGGUUUCAUCUUUUUGCAAAAGCAGCAUUCAGCAAACAUUUGAGAAUUUAAUAAAACAGUUAAGUAUUAAACAAUAUUAACCCAACGCUAUACAACAUACCCUGUUGCAUAGGCCCAACCAUUCUGAACAACCAUCCCGGCUGCACAGUUCUAUCUCCAAACCAGGAAUAUACCAUUCCAAACCAGGAGCUAAUCAAAUUAUUACCAAUUAUAGCAUCAUUUACUAUGGUGAGAAGUGUGAGACUAAUCACGAAAGACAUUGUUAGACCCGCCCAUAACCGUGGGCACGGCUAUUCGAAUAGUUUUACUCUGAUCAGAAGUGUACCACUGUACCCACAAGACACAACCCCACAUCAUGUCACCAUGUGCCUCAAUACCACCACGGUACCUCGGAAAGGAGUUGUGACAAUACCCCUUGCAUAACACAAUCCACUACAGCGCACCUUUCCUGGAUCAUAAUCACCCCCUUAUAAACAAGGCAUGGACUCCCCAGCGACCCCCGUGGGCUUAUCUCCGCCACUUCUCAGUCUGGUGCUCCGCAAUGAACCAUGCUAUACAAAAGAUAAAGCCGUUGCCCACGCUGGCUUGUGGUUGGCACGGUUAAUGUUUCACAACCGAAACUCGUGAACCGGUCCUUAAUUGUCAUGAGCACGACCAUCAAAACCAUGUGCUCACAACCCACCAUUAUCAGGUUUUAGUUGGCAAGUAAUUAAUUAACCAGUCACGAUUGACCAUCAUGAACAAUCAUUAAGCCAUCAUUAAAAUAAUAGUGAGUCAUAAGUUAUCCCAAUAGUGUGCUAAUGUUUCUAAGCAUGGAUAAGCAAUCACAUCUAAUAUCUAGCUGAACCAAUAUAUAAAGCUCAACUAGUCAAGUUAUAAUAACCCAAGGUAUCAAGGAAUAAAGUAACCAAGAACAAAAGGGCUAUAACAAAGAAUAGGUUAAUUCCACCCAAUGACAUUCGAAAAUAAAUGCAAUAGUUGAAUAGAAACAAUAGCUUUAAACGGGAUCAACAUGCUCAAAGGGUUGUUUGGGAUCUGUGUGACUUGCCUUGCUGGCCUUGGAACUCUUCAAACUCUUCUCCUGCGAAAACGGACUCUCCGGAAACGACGGAAUCUAAACAGAAAAGAGCAAAAUCACCAAAACAGCACAUAAACAAGCAUGAACAGUACAUGUGGAUAUUUUUAACAUGUAGAUCUCAAUUUUAGAAAAAUUUAGAGACUUGAACCAACUAAAUCGGAGCUAAGAUGAAUUAGUUAUGAAUUUUUGAAGAUUAAAUCGGAUUAAAACACUUGUAUUGAUUUUAAUUGAAUUAUGACGCAAUAAUGAAUUAUUUUUGAAAAGGAAAAAGAGAUUUAUUGCGUCAGCGGGCUAGGGUUUCGGUGGACCGGGCGCACGGCGGCGGUUCACACGAACGGACGGCCGAGAUCGACUUGAUCCAAAACGGAUGGCCGAGAUUGAACGGUCCACGACCGGCUCACGGGGAAGGGCGACGAUGACGUCGGCGAUGAUGUCACCACCGGCGACGGCGGCUCGGCGGCUCGGGCGCGCAUGCUCGCCGGCGAACGGCUGCACUACGGCACGAACGGAGGGCACCAACGGGUAGAGGGCGACGCGGCGAACUCACCGGCGACCAAAAAGGCGGCGGAAGAGCAACGGACGGCGACGGCGACGAGGUUGAAACGGCGGCGGAGAUCGGGUCGACGGUGACGGCGGUGCUCCGGCGGUCUUCGGCGGCGGCGAAGCGGCGGACGAGGACGGCGGCGACUUGACGAUCACGACGGCGACCUUCCCGAGCAACGGCGACGGCUGAAACGACGGCGGCGCACGGCUGGAGCGGCGGCGACGACGGCGGCUCGAAGCUACACGGCGCUAGGGCACUACGGACGACGAGAGGCGAAGGCGAAGGUGGCGACGGGUAGAGGAGAGCUCGGGGAACCUUUUAAAGGGGCUAGGAGGCGACGGCGAAGGCCCACGGCGGCUGGCGACGGGAAGGAAAGAUCGGGGUUUGAAGGAAAGAGACCGAUCCGAAUCGAACUUGAUUCCACGAACUUCCAAAACGAAUUAGCCGACGUUUCCAAAGGGGAAAAGGUAGAGGAGAUCCCAAAGAUUGUUUCCCCUCAAUCAAUUUCACCGGAAACGGAAAGGAGCGGCCGGAUUUUGGAAGGAAACGGCGGCGGCGCGAAACUAGGGUUUCGGGCGGCGGCGGCCGGAGGUUGACGACGACCCUGACAGGUGGGCCCCACCUGUCAGCGGGCGGACGCGCGCGCGCGGCGGCGGACUGGGCCGGACUGGGCCGAGGAGAGAGAGAAGGGUUUUGGGCCGACUUUCGGCCCAAAGCCAAAAGAAGACUUUUUAAAACCUUUUUCAAUUUAAAUUAUUUAUGAAAUGCAAUUCCAUUUAUUAAAAAUACUUUCUUAGCUCAAAUAAAUCCCAGAAAAAUCUAGGAAUUAUAGAAUUAAGCAAAGUAUUUAAUGAAAUUUUAUCUGGCCCCAUUUUAUAUUGGAAUUUAUUAAUUAAAAUUAGAUCGUCUCUUCUAGGCUUUUAAAAUAAAUUCUAAAAAUUCCAAUUAAACAACAAUUUAUAUAUUUUGAAUUUUUAGGGUGUGACACAUCGGCGCCGGUAGGAGCCGGUCCAGUCGAUGCGGCGCCAGCGGUAGCGCCGUCGGCACGGGUGGCGGUGGUGCGACCGCGGGCGGGAGCCGGGCCGGCGGUCCAGGCGGCGGUGGCUCAAGGGCGCCUGGAUCGAGCCGCGGACCUGGAGAUGAUUCCGCCGGUGACCCAAAGGGGAAACGGAAGGUGGCCUAUUCCCGGCCGCCCUCUCCCCCACAUGGAGGAGGUGCCGAGCGUGCAACGGAUCGUUCGCCAAUGGGCCACAAGCGACCUGCCGGGCCCGAGGCUGGUCGGAAAAAGAAGCGGCUCCGGAAGAUAGCACAAACGGAGCCAUGCCGGGGGGGGGGGGGGUUUCAUCGAGCCCCCAAAGUGGACCUUCAACCGCCCUCCCCGUAGGUACGAUUAUUGGCGCUCACUUUGGUGCUCUUACCCAACCCAUUUUCUUGUUCCUUCUUUUUCUUUUGUUAACAUGAUCUAGGUUCUCUUGUAGCGAGAUUCCUUCUCAGGGAAUCUCAGGGUCAGACCCCCCGCAAGGGACGAAAUCUGAACGGUUGGGGCAGUCCGAGCCCGGCCAAACCAAGGCCGGGGUUUUCGCAGCCUCGUGGCGGGACCCAGAGGACACGCACUGGGCCCGAUCCCGAGCGACCCUCAGGCGGGACCCGUCCUACUGUGGGUGGCAGGGGUGGCGACGCUCCUCCCGGGGGCGGCUCCGGGACCAGGGUCCACGCGGAGCACCACCAAGGAUCGGGGGAUGAGGGAGGUCGCGGCCUGGGAGCCGAAGCCGGAGGUGGUCCCGAGCUUGAGGUUGAGGCUGGGGGCGGUCCCGAGGCUGAGGCCGAGGCUGAGGCCGGGGGCGGUCCCGAGCCCGAGCCCGAGGCCGAGGCUGAAUCCACCCGAGGACCCGAAGCGGGGGGUGAGAGGGACAGCCGUUCCCCCUUGCGCUUGGGGCGCCCUCGAGGCUGGUCUCGCAGAAGGGGGGCCGAGAGCAGCCCCCAGUCUCGCGGGGGAUCCAGCAGUACCCCGUCGUCCCGGGGGCGGACCGCGGCCUUUUCCUCCCCAACUCCGGCGAGUAUGGAGCCACUUCUGCAGGUGCUCGCCGCCGCCGACUACACUGUACGAGAGGGGUUGAACACCCAAGUUCAAGCCCUAGCGGAAGAGCGGGCGGCCCUGGAUGCAGAGUGGGAACAGCUCGCCGCGGACCGCGCGCGAGUCGACGAGGGGCGUCGCGCCGUGGACGACAUGGUAAGGGUGGGGGCGCAAAAUGCAUCAAACCCAACUAGCCAAAAUCCAGGCGCGCGAGGAGGCACUGGACUCCGUCAUGCGGGAGGCGGAGGAGGAGCGGCAGGCGGCGCUGAUCGCCUCGAGCGUCCUGGAUGAAGCGCGGGGCGAUAUCCGCCUUCAGUACGAGGCUCACGCCGAGGACUUGGCGAAGAGGAUUAGGGACGCGCGCGGCAUCCUCGACGCAGCCGCUGCCCACGAGCGGCGGGCAUCGGAGGCCGACGCCUCGCUGCGGGCGCGGACGAUGGCACUCGAGGCUGAACGCAGGGCCUUGGAUGAUCGUGCCCGCUCUGCACAGGAGUUUGAAGCCACAAUCCGUCGGCGGAUCGAGGUCCUCGAUCGAAACCAGCGUGAGCAAAACGCGUGCGGUGAAGAACAGGCACGGCGGGCCCGGGAGCUGGAGGAGUGAGCACGCCUGCUAGAUCAGCUGGAGUCUACCUUGGCCGCCCAUGAAAGAACGGCGGCAGAGGUGGAGGCUUCCCUUCGCCUCCGUGAAGAAGCCGCGGCCGAGCGUGACCGGAUCACCCUCGCCGCGAAAGCUUCCGCGGACCGCCGCGCGGAAGAGCUACGGCUGCGGGAAGAGGCAUGCCGGGAACGGGAUGCCGCACUCGCCGAGCGCGAAGCCGAGGUGAAUCGCCGCGAGGUAGCCUUGCGCCGGCUAGGCGAGCAACUCGCGAAACGAGAGGAGGCCGUUGCCGGGCGCGAGGCUCGUCAUCUGGAGAGCGCCCGCGCUGAGCGUGCGGCAAUAUCAGCGAAGGUCUCCGAGCUGGAGGCCCGGGAGAAGGACUUGGUAGCAGGCGGGCCGCCCGGCGGCGCGGGUUUGGCGAGCCAGCUCGCCAUGGCUCAGAGUACCCUCGCCGACUUGGAACGCCUGGUGCAGGAUCAGGCUGGGGAAAUUGCGGCCCUCCGCCUCACCAACGAGCUCGGGCCCGGGCAACUCUCCGACACCGUCGACUGGCUGGAGCACGCGGGGCGCCGAGUCGGCAUCUCUGUGCGUCGGGACAGCAAACUCCCGCCCACACAGCCAGCACUCGCGCUUCGGCUGGACGGGCUGGCGGUGGACCUGGAAAGGCUGGAGGAGGAGGUCGGCGAGACCAUAAAGUCUUCGUCAGUUUCUUUGGCACGGGCUGCGGUGGAGCUGGUCCUCGCGAGCCACCAAGCGCGCGACCCCGAAUUCAUGCCGUGGCAUGCGCUCGAGGAUUUUCCCCCGGGUACCGAGGCAAGGGCCCGGGAGCAAGUCCGGGAGGCGGCUAACGCGAUUGUCUCAAGCUUCGAGGGGUCGGCCCCCCGGUUCACCUCCGGGCUUACCGCGGACGAGGAAAACGGAAGCGGGGGUGACGACGGCGAUGACGACUAGGACGACAUCGUCAGUGGCGCUGGCCUCGGGGGGCCGGGCACUCCGUGACCACUCGCGCCUUUAAUUCCUUUUUGCUGUGUGCCCGUAGCAGGCACUUCUUGUAUUUAGGCCAUUGUGCCAUCCUAUCUUGUUCUGCAACUGAAACUUCUUUAACCCCUCUUACUCUUUUGCUUUUUCCAUUGGAUGCCUGUGAUAUAAAGAGAAGAAAAAACCAGGACAAAAGGGGAUUAUUAGACUGCCUGCGAUUGAUAUGUCGUUUUGACCCCCCCUCUCGGGCUUGUUCUAGCGAGAAGAUAAAUCCGCGCUCGGUCCAUGGAAUCUAAGUGGUGAAAGGCAAGACCAUCGCCCCGAGGGAGCCGCCCAGCAGGACUGGCCAGACCGAGGCUGCGACGACCGGGGGUCGGGGACGACCGUGUGUAGGCCCUUCCGAUCCCCCGGGGUUCGGCACAACCCGGGGCGCGGCCCGCGCUCGUGCUCCCUUUCGGCGGUUUUCAGGCCGUCUUACGGCACUUAGGGUUUAGAGUAAACGCGGAUUAUCCCUUGAACCGGGACAAGCCAGAGAAAGGGGAGAAAACGGUCUCCACGAAAACCAAGGGGUUGUGCGGGGGCUGGCCCGUGCUCCAGGAAAGCAAAAAAUCUCGAUGUCAUGGAUAGAAACGACAAAGGUGCUCGAUAUUCCAGGGGUUGGGCAGCUCUGUGCCGUCCUCCAUGGUUAACCGAACGGAGCCUAGCCAGGGCACUUCGAUCACUUUGUAUGGCCCUUCCCACAUUGGCGAGAGCUUCCUCAGCCCCAGGCGCGACUGAACGCGGCGUAGGACGAGGUCGCUAGCUUGUAGUGAUCGGGCCCGGACGUGGCGCUGAUGGUAGCGUCGCAGGCUUUGUUGAUAGCGCGCGGCACGCAAGGCCGCUCGCCUUCUCCGUUCUUCAAGAUAAUCGAGAUCUUCGCGGCGAAGGGCAUCUUGGUUGGCCUCGUUGUACAACGCGACACGAGGCGACCCGAGGGAAAGCUCGAAGGGUAGGACCGCUUCGGCGCCGUACACCAAGAAAAAUGGUGUUUCCCCUGUGGCGCGGCUUGGAGUGGUCCGAUUUGCCCACAACACGGCGGGCAACUCCUCGAGCCAUGAAUCCCCGUGCUUCUUCAGGACGUUGUACGUCUUGGUCUUGAGUCCUUUAAGGAUUUCGGCGUUGGCUCGCUCGACUUGGCUGUUGCUCUUGGGGUGGGCGGGUGAGGCAAAGCACAAUUUGAUACCCAUGUCGUCACAGUAAUCGCCAAACAGCUCACUGGGGAACUGGGUGCCGUUGUCUGUAAUGAUACGGUUGGGCACUCCGAAUCGAGACGUGAUGCCCCUGAUGAACUUAAGAGCAGAAUGCUUGUCGAUUUUGACAACUGGGUAGGCCUCGGGCCACUUGGUGAAUUUGUCGAUGGCGACGUACAAGUGCUGAUACCCGCCUCGAGCCGCCUUGAAUGGCCCAAGGAUGUCCAGCCCCCAAACUGCGAAAGGCCAAGAUAGUGGGAUGAUCUGUAAGGCUUGGGCCGGCUGGUGGGUCCACUUGGCGUGGAACCGGCAUGCCUUGCACCGCUGGACCCAUUCUUGGGCAUCUUGUAAUGCAGUCGGCCAAUAAAAACCUUGCCGGAAGGCUUUUCCGACCAAAGUUCGUAAGGUCGAAUGGGCUCGGAACUCACCCUGAUGGGCGUCGGCUAUGAGCUCGAUGCCCUGCUCUCGAGAAAUACACUUCAAGAGUAUCUCGUUGGCGGUACGCCGGUAUAGGGUCCCUUCUACAAGGACGUACCGUUUGGAGAUGCGCGCGAGCUUUUCAGCUUCUGCGCGAUCCUCAGGAUGAGUAUUGCCUUCGAGAUAUGCCCGGAUGUCGGUCAUCCACACGACCUGACGAGGGGGGUCAGGGUUGACCCCCUCGGGCCCCGAGGGGCACAGGUCGCCCGGAGUCGGGUCGGAGGGCGUGUCAUUGGGGUCCCUCAAAGGGCUCGGUCGUGCCGAUGGUUGCGCGAGCCUUUCCUCGAAGGUCCCUGGGGGAGUGGGGCUCGUGCCGACGCAACAUGCGACAACUCGUCAGCAAUUGUGUUGUCGCGUCGGGGCACGUGCUGGAGCUUAAGUCCGUCGAAGUGGCGUUCCAUGCGCCGUACCUCGCGGACGUACGCUUCCAUUUGCGGGUCGUUGCACUGAUACUCUUUGGAUACUUGAUUUACGAUCAGCUGGGAGUCACCCAAGACCAGGAGACGGUGGAUGCCCAUUCCGGCUGCCGCCCUCAAUCCCGCGAGGAGCCCUUCAUAUUCUGCCAUGUUGUUCGUGGCUCGGAAGUCGAGACGAACGACGUAUUUGAGGACAUCCCCGUUUGGCGAGGUCAGCGUGACUCCGGCACUUGCACCUUGAAGGUUGAGGGAGCCGUCAAAAUGCAUAACCCAGUGCCCGUCGCGAAUGUCGGCGUUUGGAUCCUCUUCUUCUCCAGGGAGGGGAAAGGGGACAUUAGACGAAACAGGUUCGUCCACCGGGGUUCAUUCCGCGAUGAAGUCAGCCAGGAUUUGACUUUUGAUCGCGUGCCGCGGUUCGAAGUGCAGAUUGAACUCAGCCAGCUCGAUGGCCCAUUUUACCACUCGUCCAGUACCCUCUCGGUUGUGCAAAAUUUGGCCAAGAGGGUAUGUCGUCACUACGGAAACCCGAUGCGCUUGGAAGUAAUGACGCAACUUCCUUGAGGCCAUUAAGACGUCAUAAAGCAUUUUCUGGGCCUGCGGAUACCGGGUUUUCGCAUCUCGAAGUGCCUCGCUAACAAAGUAGACGGGCCGCUGCACCUUUCGACGGGGCCAGUUCGUGUUGUCAGGGGCUGAUGACUCGGAGCGCGCCUGUUCGGAGGUCCCGGGGGGAUCCCAGACUGCCUCGGGAUCAUAAGGCUCGGGGCCACCUGCCAAAGCCUCCGCUCCUCCCUUGGGGGCCUCGGGGUCCUCCCGGGGGCUGGAAGCUUUGGGCGCUAGGCCUUCGGGGGACGAGGGGCCAUCGCAAGCCGAAGGGGCCUCCCGUUCGCCUUCCUCACGCUCAACUACUAGGGCGGCACUCACCACAUGGGGGGUCGCGGCCAAGUAGAGUAGCAAUGGUUCCUCCGGUCCCGGGGCCACCAAGACGGGAGGGAAGUUAGGUAAGCUUUCAGCUGAUUGAGAGCUUGCUCAGCUUCCUCCGUCCAUACAAAUGGCCCGGAGCGCUUGAGGAGCUUGAAUAGGGGCAGCGCCCUCUCACCCAGCCUCGAUAUAAAUCGACUCAGGGCGGCCAUGCAUCCAGUGACGCACUGCACAUCCCUAAGCUUGCUAGGGGGGCGCAUCCUCUCUAUCGCGCAUAUUUUCUCAGGAUUUGCUUCUAUGCCUCGGGAAGAGACUAGAAAACCGAGAAGUUUGCCCGCCGGCACGCCGAACACACACUUAUCGGGGUUCAGCUUUACGCGCGUGGACCUAAGACUAUCGAAAGUUUCGGCCAGGUCCUGUAGCAACGUGUCUUGGUGGUGCGUCUUUACCACCAGAUCAUCGACAUACGCCUCUACAUUGUGCCCUAUCUGAUUACUUAAGGUAAUACGAGUCAUGCGCUGAAAAGUAGGGCCUGCAUUCUUCAAUCCAAAAGGCAUAGUUGUAUAACAAAAGGUGCCCACAGGAGUAAUAAAGGCGGUUUUUUCCUCAUCUUUCCUAGCCAUACGAAUUUGAUGGUAUCCAGAGUAUGCAUCUAGAAAACACAAAAGGUCGCACCCCGCAGUGGAGUCGACUAUUUGAUCUAUGUGUGGUAGAGGGAAGGGAUCUUUGGGGCAUGCCUUGUUGAGGUCGGUGUAGUCGAUGCACAUCCGUAGCUUGCCAUUGGCCUUCGGGACGACCACCGGGUUUGCCAGCCACUCCGGAUGGAUCACCUCGCGAAUGAAAUCAGCCUCCAGGAGCCGCGCCACUUCCUCCCUGAUGAAGGCCUGCCGCUCCGGGGCUUGACGCCGCACUUUCUGCCGGACAGGUCGCGCAUCCGGCCGCACGGCAAGGCGGUGCUCGAUCACCUCCCUGAGGACCCCGGGCAUAUCUGACGGCUUCCAUGCGAAAACGUCAGAAUUCGCCAGCAGGAAGGAGACGAGCGCGCCUUCUUAUUUGGCGUCCAAGGUUCUGCCAAUCUUGGCGGUCUUAGAUGGAUCGUCGCCAAGGGGGAUUUCCUUGACGGGCACCUCGUCAGCCGAGGGGAGGCGCUUCUUGGAAGCGUGGGACGCAGAGGCUUCUGGGGCCUGCGGCUCCGUGGCCACCGCCAGGUUGUCUGCGCGCUGCUCCGCGCAGGCGAGGGCGACCUUGACAUCACCAAGGACGGUGAUGGGACCAGCAGGACCCGGCAUCUUCAUCUAGAGGUAGGCGUAGUGGGUGGCGACCAUGAACUUCACCAACGCGGGUCUACCCAAAACCGCAUUGUAGGGCAGAUUGAGGUCCGCCACAUCGACUGGCCCCCCCAUCCACCAGCACAUGCUUCAUCUUGACGUUGUGGAUGGUCGGGGAGACCACCAGGGCCAACUUUCCCCCCCCCCCCCCGAGCGAGCACCGUCGGAUGGUCGCUCUGGUCGAAUGUGAGCUUCACCUCCGACCAGCGCACCUUCCGGACCACCUCAUGCGUGGGAACAAUGGCCAGAAGCUCCCACUUCAUAGCCUUGAAGCUUCGGCGAGAGGUGUGAGCGCAAGCCCCCCCCCCCCGGUCGAGCGUGGCGACGGUCCCCUGAGGUAUCUGGAAAUCCAGAUCCUCACCGUCUCCGCCAUCAUCGGCGGGGGCCUUGUCCUUGGCCUCCCCUCGCUGGUCACCGGUUGAGGUCGCGGGGGCUUUGCCCUCCCGUCGACCCUGCCGCUUUUCCUCAUCAGCCUUUCGGAACCGCUCGGCUAAAUUCUUGACCGAGCGGCAGUCGGCGAGACUGUGGCGGUAAGUGUUGUGUACCGAGCACCACUUGUCCGCCGACCGGCCCUCGCCGGAGGGAAUGGUAGGGCUCGGCCUAUCGACGGUGGCAUUUUCUUUGCGCGGGGCCCGCGUGGGCCCGUCUGCUGCAAGGACAUGGCCCUCGUCAUCGGAGCGGGCUGGUUUCCUUUUGCCUCUCCUAUCUCACUGCUUAGAGCGGGAGGCAGAUUCGGGGGUAGCCGCAGCCGCCGCACCGGUGCUGGGAGAGUUCCAGGCCCAUGCCUCCUUCUUCUGGGCCACCUUGUCCGCCAGCUCGAAGAGCUCGGCAGUGGUCUUGAGCUCCUUGGAGGCGAUCUUCUCCAGCAUGCGAUUAUGCCGCACGCUGUUCCGGAAUGCAUACACAACCGCGUGGGCUGGGAUGCACGGAAUGGUGUUGCGGACCUGACAGAAGUGUUGUAUGUACGAACGGAGGGACUCAUCAUCCUUCCGCCGUACAGCAUGUAGGUCCACCUCUUCCCCCGGGCGGGGAUAUGUGCCCUGGAAGUUCGUAAUGAACUGCUGGCACAGAUCCUCCCAGGAGUGAAUGGAGCCGGGGGGCUGGGUCAUCAACCAGCCACGCGCCUGACCCUUGAGGGCCAUGGGAAAGUAAUUCGCCAUGACCCGGUCGUCACUCCCUGCCGCCACGAUAACCGUGGUGUAGAUCUGGAGGAACUCGGAGGGAUUGAUGCUACCAUCAUACUUCUCCGUAAGGUUGGGGCGAAACUUCGGGGGCCACCGGACAUUCCGGAGACUCGCCACAAAGGCCCUACAACCCGUCCCCCCAGGGGUGAGUGUGGGGGGAGGGCCGCCUCGUGAAGAGGAGCGUGGCGCUCCAGAUGAGGAGGCGCCUUCCCCCAUACGGGUAGCUCGGCGCUCGUCUCGGCGUCGCUCGAUGUUGAUUCGAGCGUCCUGCGUCCCGUAGAGGCCGUCAUGGCACCUCCGGCUUUCCGAGGCCCCUGACGAUGUUGGAACCGUGGACCGCCUCGAGAUCGUGGCCGAUCGACGAGCCCUUCUCCUUGCCGACGAGGAGAGGGUGACCGAGGUACGCGACGUACCAGCGGCAGCGGAUCGGCCACUCGUGGCUAACUGCCACUGGGUAGUAGUGACCAAGUUGGCCACGUCGUCCAACCAGCGCUGAACAGGAGUCUCCAGCUCCGGGUUUACCGGGGGAUGCCGCAGAAGGGCGCCUGCUACCUGAAGCGUGCCUUGGGGCAAACCGCCGUCUCCAUAGUCGAGACGGCAGCGUGCCCCGGCGCGUCGCGGCCUCCCUCCGCCAGGGGGCGGAGAGAGAGCCGAAUCACCUGAACGAGUGGGAUCCUCCCUCCGCGAAGGUUCGCGGCGGGGAGGAGUUGGAGAACCAUGGCGACGGUGACGAGGACCUCGGCUCUCGCCGGAAUCCCCACUCCCGGACAGGGUGGGAGUAAAUGCCACCGCCUCCUCCUCUACUUUCAGGACCUCGACCAUGGUCGGCUAAGGCCUGGAGAAAAUUGGGACGAAAGAAAGCGACUUCCUCUCGGAAUGCGCAACCGCCCCUACUUGGCGCGCCAGCUGUCGAGGAGAGAUCCUCAAUAGCGGGGAAUCGUGAGACCCCCCAUUUGUGAGUUCGGCCGGGGGCGGAGGCUCAUCUCUUGGAAAUCACUCGCUCGUCCCUAGGAUUACCGGCAAGCUUGCACGCAGUCGGAUUAUACAGGUUCGGGCCGCUAUGGAGCGUAACACCCUACUCCUGUAUUUGGGAUUAUGGAUGAGUUUUACAAAGAUUUCUUCACUCUAGAAAGCGCACUCGCUUCCUCUCUUCUGGAGUUCAGGUUUUCUGGGCGUCCUCCUCUAUCUCAGUGGGCAGGGUCCUCCUUUUAUAGCUCAAGGGGAUACCACAUGCGCCGCCUCUACCUACCCUCUAUCGGAGGGGGAUCCCACUCCACUUUUCCUGGGCUUUAAACCGUGCCUUCUCCCGGAAGCUAAGCAACAACCGGUUCUCGAGUGGAACCAGGCGCUGCCCCCCGCCUGACACGGGGGACAGCCCUAUCAUUCCCUCAUAAAUGAACGAUGACCUGUGACAGCCCUUCCUCGAGUGACGCUCGGACAUGACGGGUCAUACCCACCCCCACUCCGCCGGGUACAAGGGCGACGUGAGGACAUGGUUGCCCUAUCCAUCGGAUGUGACGGUGUCAGGCCGGUCACAUCCGUUGGACAGAGGUUAGCUAGGCGCGCCGCACGUCUGCCCUUACCGCAUUAAAUGCGGUGAGGGACAGUUGGGGCGUCGCACUUUUAUGGCUGUUCAGCCUGUGCUCUCGCUCUCUCCCUCCGCUGCGUGGCAGCCGGGUGAGGGCCUCGGGGCGAAUCCGCGGGAUAGCCCGAGGGGGUGACGCCAUGCCCCGAGCCCCCCCCCCUCCCCCCCGCCCCCCCGCCGCUUCCACGACUCGCGUGACGCGCGAAUGGGGCUAACUUGCAAAGUCACGUGGCCAGAGGGAAAGUAAUUCCCCUCUACUUCACAUACCCCCGGGUCCAUAUCUCCGACACAUAUCAUCAGAAAUCUUGAGGGGAUGUCCCUUGAUGCACCCAUUUCUCUCCACUAUAGUACUAGUUUAAUAAUAAUCUAGAGUAUAAUGAUACCAUCACUCCACGAAAUGAAGUUUAAAAGCCAUAUUGUGAGUACCUGCACGUUGGAAUUUUCUCAACUAGAUGUGGAGAUGAACACGAGGGAACACGGCGUGUACCGCGAUUUCAUUAUGUUAUUAUUAUGAGAUUGCAUCUAGUAACAAGAAAAUGUAUGUGUUAGACAAUAAUUAUGAAACUGACGGACUAACCAUCCAUACCGACAACAUAGUGUGUGCCACCGCUCCUUUUCGAUACGUACAAUGCCCUACUAUACGUUUUAAUUUUAUUCCUCAUUAGCAUUUACAGAGUACGUUACCAUGAUCGAUCUAACAAAAACUCUACUUAAGGCGCCGAAGAAUUAACUAAUUAAAAAGUGAUUUUACAGUUCUUGAUACGAUACUGAAAGAUACCGUGUUUUUUAUGUAAAAUUUAAUACCUCGCGAUAUCUUCAAUAAUAAUAAUAAUAGAAGAUUAAUACCUUCAAUAACAGUAGAAGAUAUCAAAUUUACAUUAAAAAUUUUUGGUGUAUCUCCGAAGGAUUGUAAAAUUUCUCGUGAUUAAAUGAUAGUGUAGCAUCUGACCACGAUCGAAUCAUGCCAGUUUCAGAGCAAGGCGGCGACGGUGACGAGCUUCUCGAACUGGCGCGCCCGGCCGCUUCUGCGACGUCGGGGAGGCGAACGGCGUGGGCUGGACUUUCCGUUAGUGGGCCUCAUUCAGGCCCACUGUUAUCACCGCCGAUCCACAUUUCCGUCAAUAAACCGACAGUUGACUCAGAUGUUAGUUCAAAGCAUUGGCCAGAGUGAGUAUAUUUGGAUCUGUAAUAACAAUAUUUACUUUACUUGCAGUUUAUUCACGUGAGCUAAACCAACAAAAAGAGAGAGGGAAAAAAACGAAGACGGGAUACAGCUGGGGAAGAAAUUAGGGUACUCAACUCUGAAAAAUCAAAACGAAGGCUAGCUAACUAUGAUCGCAACCAGAGAACGUACGUACUGAAGAGGGUUAACUAGGGGGCUCUCUUAAUUAAGGGAUAAUCGCUGGAUAAUCCAGUCCAGCGAACUGAAGUGAAGAAGCAAGCAUAUUCAGUGCAGCCGAUGAGGAGUAGGAGGAGCAGGAGGAGUAGAACGAGGAGGAGGAGGAAGCGGUGACUUCUUCAUCUUGCUGAUGAAGUUGACGGCGAUCCUCAUCAUCUUCUGGAACUGGACGAGGCUGUGCUCCAGGAUGACCGCCAUGUCGCCGUUGAGCUCCCUGCAGCUGUACGUUCACAUGGUGACGUCGUUGAUGGCGCGAAGCACGAGCGUCUUGGCGACCUCGUCGUCGCCGGCCUUGAGCGCGGCGGCGGCGCCGUGGAUCUCCUUCAUGGCGCUCGACACCGUCACGCUGCAGUUGUCGAGGCAGGCCUUGAAGUCCGGCACGGACUUGUUGAACCCGGGGAGCUUCCCCUCGAACACCGUCGCCGCCACCGCGCCGGACUCCGUGGCGGCCUCCAUGGCGACGGCGACCAGGGACCUGAAGUCCACCUGCCCCGGCGCGCCGGCGAUGGCGGCGCCGUGGUUCGACACCGACGUCAGCACCGUCUGGAUGUCCAGCAGGCGGUGGCCCAGGUCCUUGACGCACAGCUUGGAGAACGGCCCCGCCGUGCACGCCGCCACCAGCGGGCUAGACCCCGGCGGGAGGCGCGCCUGGGCGGCCAUUGCUGAGGCGCACAUCAGGACCACGACGAACAUCGCCAUGGACAACAACGACGACGCCAUUUAAUUUCCUUGUCGAUCACUCUGCUAAUGAAGCUUUUCUAGUUGUUAUUCAAGAUCUGAAUUACAGUAAAAUUCGAUCAAACGCAAUAAUAUAUAUAAGCUGAAGAGACAGAUCUGUUGGUUUGAUCAGUGAGUGGUUCUUCUUUGUGCUCUCAGCUCGUCGCCGUAGUCGCUGAGGCUGGGAGGGGUUUUCUCUGGAUGGUGCGUGCAUGCGCGCCAUGAGUGGUCGCGCGGGAGUGAACUAGCAGAGGAAGCGGGCCAGCUUGUGCGAGUUUGCCGCGCUCUUCCCUCUCGCCGUCUCGCGUCGCGUACCCGCGCCCCCGUACGUCACCGCUGUCACGGUGUCACAUUGACUUUUCUAGUUGUGUGGAGUAUGUUUCUGCAGCGCUUGUACUCUGUCAGCUGAUUGUUGCGAGAAGAGGUCGGCUAAGCCGUGUCUCGUAGACUUUGAUCACAUCCCUUUUAUAUACAGUGCAAAGUAGCUCAAAUAAUUUCGCAUGUAAGUCCCUUUUAUUUUCUAUUUUACUCUUUAUAUUUUGUUGAUUUAGGGGAAAACUUCAAUAUUUUACAAUGAACACCUCAAAAAUCAUGAACAUUUAUAAAAUCACAUUCCCUCCUCUCCACCGGCAACUUCCUCUACUGAAGCCCCUCUCUGCCAGCGCCGCUCUCCCCCCACCCCUUCUGCCGAUGACACUCCCCCCAAAACACUGAUGAUGCUAGCUUCCAUCCCCAUCCGCCUUGUAUGGGGCCAUGCCAUCUCCUAACGUGCUGCUCGAGCUGUGCCUCGGUCCGCCCUGAUAAAUCCUAACGAUGAACACAUGUUUUAAUUGGGCUCAGCAGUAUUCACUAAAUAUGGGAAAGGCGGAUGUGGCAUGAAAUCUCUGAUGUGUAAAGCUGGGGCUAAACAACAACUAGGCACACUGUGAAAGCCCUAAGGGUACUCACAGUGCAAGCCACAGGUAUGAGGAGCCUGGACUAGGUCACAAGUUAGAAAUCUCUAUCUCACAGUGAAAAGUGGCUCUAGGAUGACUUAAUUUAUCAUGUGCUCCCUUGUAAUUUUUUACUUUAAUACUCAUAUACUUUUUAAAAUUUAGAGAGUAGUCUAGCAAUUUGCAUAGAACACCCUAAAAAUCAGAGAAAAAAAAAUCUACUCCCUAACCUCUUCCCCGCCACCCACCCGUCACUUUCAUGUUCCCCUCGCUUCACCGGCUUUACCACUCACAUCGUCGGUGAUGAGCUCCUCAGUGGCGCCAUUUCUCCCCUCUCUCUUCCCGGUGCCACCUCUAUCCGGACGGCCGUCGAGUAUAUUGAAACAGCAAAAAGGCCGAAGGCAACUCCGACGGCGCGUCAAGGAAGCCACGAAUGGGUCAAGGCGGCCGCCAAUGCCGUCUCGUCGAGCUCCGCCUUCCGUCCUCUCUUUCUUCUCCGGUAGGUGGCGGCAGAGGUGACGGCAUGAAUCUGGCGACCCUCAACGGCGUGGAGUGAGACAACACGGAUGUGGCGGUGGGCCUUGAUAGCAGAGGACUCCAAGGCAAGUUAAUGGCUGACGGCUCCGUGGAGUGGCCCUCUACAGCGGAGGACCCCGAGGUGGGCCUUGGCGGUGGACCUCGACGGCAGAGGACUCCAAUGCAGGCUGACGGCUCCGUGGUGCGGUGGAGUGGCCUUGGCGGGGGCUGCAGAUCUGGCCGUAGCGAUGAGGUUCCGCAACGGCUCGCCGUCGGCCAGUCUGCCGCCACCAGGUUCUUCCUUUCUCCAGUCCUCAUCUCCUCCCCAGCUCGCUGGCGAUUUAUGGCGAUCACGGAAGCCACUUAAGGCGAGGCUACAGUUGUAAUCUCCACAAUGCGGGUCGCGCCCAUCUAUCCUCAUGCCGCACGCCCUCGAUCGGAUCAAAGAACCUUUGGCUCAUUUUGGCUACGCAUAGUUUGUUUGGUCACUAUAGGAGCGAACGUGGAGUCUAAUCUACUACGUGGAAGGUCGAGGGGCGAACGACAUGUCGACGCACUAUGAACGCCCUAACAUUGCAGCACAUUGAUAUCUGAUAUUUUGUCUAUCGGGCUUAGGUUGAUGGACAGUAGCAGCAGUUGAUCAUAUAUUGCACUUGUUUAUUGAGUUGCGCGUUUACUCGUGUAACGAGAUUAGAAGUAUGGUUAACUUUGUGUUUAUCACGCGUUCUCAUUGGAUGUUAUGCAUAGUAUAUCUACCGUUGACAACUAGAGACCUUUUACAGGGUCUGUAUUCCAAAAAAAGUAGAAAUCCAACGCUCCAUAAUGAAAGGUACCCUGUAAAAGGUAUUUGAGUAUUGGCAUAGGCACUUAGGUACCAAGGGUAAAAAGAUAAAUUUGCUAGUAGAGAGGAAAGGAAAGAGUUGUCCGUAAAUUCAGAUCGGUACCGCGUCGGUACCAGUUAAGUUGCAUGGUACUAGCAUUAAAGUUCUCAUUUACGUGGUUUUCUCUAGAUUUACAUUUUUGUUUCCAAGGACAUGGUAGAACUCUUCCCAUUAAUUCUCCAUUACGUUAUUUGCAUAGUUAUUUUGAUAUUUAUAUUUUGUUCCCAAGAACAUUAAAAUAUCACUCAAGGUUUACGUUUUAAGUUUUACAUUUUAUUUGUGGAAAAAAGAAAAUUGUAGAUAAAAUAUUCCUAAUGAUUGCGUCCAUCUGAACAUGCUAUGUUAGGUUAACCAACAAUAUCAGAGCUUCUCUCUUGACCCUAUCUUCUUACAGGUUCACCUAUUCAAACCCUAGAAGAAGAACAUAUGAGAAUAUCUCAUUUUAGUCCCUUAUAUGAAGGAAUUUGUUAACUAUGUAAAUAACGAAUCAAUCGUGCAAAUAAGUAUAGGAGCAGAGGAGAUCUUUCCCGAUGCGCUUGCACCUAGCCGUCGAUCGGCCCAUCUUGAACCCUCAACUGUGCCGAUAUUUCUCUGGACCAAUUCAAACCCUAGAACAAGAACGAAGCCGGGGUCAAAGAAAUGAGGCGUUGAUCUUUUUUUUUCCCGGUGCAGAACUGCAGAUCGAUCGAUGCAUUAAAUUGUUCGAAAGAUUUACUUUGUUUUCUACCUAACAAUUCUGGUGAUUGCACCCAGGUAUUCGAUUCACUCAAAAUGCUCCAGGUAUUCGAUUCACUCAAAAUGCUCAUUUUUUAGUAGUUAAUUACUCCAUUGCUACUAGUUAUGAAAAUUUUAUUCCAUACUUGCCCCUCUUUUAAUCAAUGGUUCACAUUGUUCUACCUCUCAAUACCUUCAAGUACCUCGCAAACACCGUAAAAGGUCUCUGACAACUAUUAUACCAGUUGUGCCGCUGAAACCCGACUUGAAACCCGGCUGUGUGUGUUGUCAGGCAGCAAGAAAGAUAAGACAUUACUUACAAAUCACCGACGGCAUGUGCGUACAAUAGACACAUUCAAACAUAUAUACUGCAUCUAUUUGAUGCAAUGCAAAGAUUUAUGAAUGAAUUGAGAGGGAAAGUUAGAAUUGUCUAAUAACCGUCAUCCAGUUUAUUUUUAUGUCUUCCAACUAGCUCUUGGUAUGCAAUGUUACCAUACAUCUGAGAAGUAGUAAGAUAUUAUGCGCGGUGAUACUACUAUGCUCUUAAAAUCGGUUUCUAAGGUUAUUAAAAAGUUAUUAAAAAUUUGAAGGUAUAUUGCUUCAGUUCCAUGCCUCCUUUUGAAUGAAUGAAUAUUUCAGGAGAAUUUUGAGAGGAAAUUAACGUUUCUUGUAAAAUUCUUGUUUUCAAUAUGAGAAUUUCUAGCAUCAUCUUUUUUUCGUCGGGACAAUACAUGAAAGAAGGCGGUCCGAAUUUCACUAGAGUUUAAAGGAGUUUACUACAUAAAAGCUCGUUAAACCAGUUUUGCUGAUGAAAGUCGUAUUCUCGGCGCUUACAAGUUACAACGCUAAAAACUACACUUUACUACAAUCGUGUUGCUAGAUUAGACUAGCAUCCUGCCAAAUUAACCACUUGUGUCUGUGAUCCACAGGCCAACAGGCGGAGUUUCACAGAUGCACAGAAAAUACGAAAAGGUGGUCCGGUCCGUCGUGAGACAGUCAGAGUUUAAAAAAACCGUACGGUUAUUUUGAUUAUCAUGUAUAGUAACCUAGCUUUAAUUUUUUUUCCUGCAACUUAACAAAAGAGUAGAAAUUCCGGUCUGUGGCAUGGAAUGACCGUUCAACGGCGCAUGAUUAAAGGGUUGGCGUGUCAGCGCAUUUCAGCACACACUGUCGAAUUUCUGGAGUAUUCCUUCUUAUUGGAAAUAUAUGGGCCGGCCGGCAAUAUAUAUUUUGUAAGAAAAACAUCAAAACAAUCAACUGUACACACCCUCGCGCGAUCUCCUUUACGGUUCUACUACCACAUAUAAGCAUGCGUGUACACACAUAAUAUGCACCAUGCAUGCAUAUAAUCACAUGAGUAAUUUUAUAGUUCUUGAGAAGGUAUCAUGAGGUAUCAUUUUUUUCUAUCGUAGAUUUGAUAUCUCUUGGUAUCUAAAUACUAGGAGGUACCAAAAAUUUAAUGUAAAAUUUGGUACCUUAUGAUACCUUCUCAAGGACCGUAGAAUUGUUCUAAUCACAUAAAAACUGCUCAGUACAUAGUUCUUCACAAGGCCGGCCGAAUACGAGAGGUGAUCGAUCGACGAUUCGAAGCUAGCUAGCGUCCCAUGUGUUGCACGGCGGGCGCGGCGGCGGCGGCGGCGCGGCGCUCCAUGUUGAGGUGCCACCCAAGCUUGGGGUCGUAGCCGCGCGCGGCGAGCUCCCUGUACUCCUGGAUGAGCGCGCAUGGCUCGCACCAGCAGUGGAUGCAGCAGUCGCCGCAGGGCUCGCCGGAGAGGCCGUACUGGGCGCGCAUCUUGCCGCGGUAGGUGCAGGUACAUCCACUGGAACCCGGUGAUCACGGCCAGAAACACGUAGAGCGCGCCGCUGUGGCCGCACGACGUCGACCCCCUGUCCACGAUCUCCGCCACCCUCCCGAACGUGAUGCACGGACACCACCAUGUCAUGCAACCUGCAGAUCAAAAUACAUGUUUGUUUAGGAUUAAUUGAUUAAUUCUCUGUAAUCCAUACACUACUUGAGAACUGAUCUUUACUGCUUGGUCGACCGAAAACCACAAUAGUCCCAACACUGAAAAUGUUUUUUUUCCCGGUUUAUAACUCCAACAGAAAUAAAUGAUCUUUAGUUCUAAAUAUCAUAUUUAGUUCUGAUUCACCUUCUAACAGGGCCUUUCAGGGGCUGGGAUCUUUCGUCCCGGCCUAUGCAUGCUUGCCAUGGUAUGGUGUGGCCGGAGGCGCGCGCCGCGGCGGCGAGAACGUACGUACAUAGGCCGUAGUCGUCGAAGCAGUCGCAGAGGCCAGACGACCAGGGAGCGGAGCCGACGGGGACGCCGGGCGCUGGCCCGGCCGUUGGCUUGUCUGGCUGCAUCUCCUCCUUAAUUCGGUUGCCCCUGCUAGCUGCAAGUUCUUGUGAUCGACUUGUUGUUUGCGCUGGGAAACUGAGCACAAGCUAGCUAGCGGGCGGGACGAUGCUCAUAUAUAGCACGCGACAAGUUGCAUUGGCCCCGGUGUGAUCUGGACAUAUCUGGUUCGGUUAAACCAAUUAGUCAUUGAGGAGAAGACGAAGGAAAUUCCAUGGGACGGGGCCUAAACCUCGUCCUCUGUAGUCGUCCCUGUUACGAUUUUGACAUGCAGAGGACGACGUUUAGGCAUAUCGCCUUUUAGACGAUAUGAUAUGACAUGAUAUAUGCAUCAAGAUUACAUUGAUUAGUCACCAUCCUGUCCGUUGCACGGAUUAUUAUUGACUAGGCAAAUGGUGGCAGCUGUUUCAUUGGCAUCCGGGAGAAGUAGUGUGUUUGUCGAUAACGGCAGAUCCAGUGCAAUUAAAGAGUAUUUAGAUGCAUAUCCAGUUCAAUUCAAGAGUAUUUAGAUGCAUAUCGAAUACAGUAUGUCAUACGUAUGUUUAUAAAAUAAAAAUAAAUAAAAAUAAAAACUGAACAUGUUUCCGAUGCUUUAAUAUGUCGUCCGUAUUUGAGUUUGUUUUUAAGUUCGUUCAUUUUUAAAAGUACAUAAGAAGUCGUAUAAGAAACCCUUUUAAAAAUCUCGCAUGCUAAUUUAGAACUAAAGUCGGACUUCUAAUUGCUUUACAAUUCUCACCAGACCGUAAGAAAGCAACGUGCAAGAUAUGAUCAUCAUCCCAAUGAGGUUUCUGGAUUAGAUAUCAAUACUAUCAAAAUAAAAAUCCCAUAUAUACUUUUUAGAAAAAAAAUUAACAACAAUACGAUUAAAAUAGUCUUCACCCGUUGUAACGCACAUGCAUUUUUUUCUUAAAAAAAAAGGAAAAGAGAACGUAUUCGACCUAAGAAGCAAAUGACUUUCCGUUUUCGGCCAUUUGCUAUUUUUGAUAUAUCCUUUUUCGGCCCAACCACACACGAUCAAUCCGGCCCAUUACCAAAUUUGGCCACACGUUUUCAGACUUUCUUUUUUUUGUAAUUUUCCUGUGGUCUUUAUUACUCCCUCCGUUUCAUACUAUAAGUCGUUUGACUUUUUUUUUCUAAGUUUAUAGAAAAAUAUAGUACUAGUAUUUUUAACAAAAAAAUAUAUUAUAAAAAUAUAUUCAAUGCUAGAUUUAAUGAAACUAAAUUGAUAUUUUAGAUGUUCCUAAAUUUUUCUAUAGAUUUGAUCAAACUUAACAAAUUUUAAUUAGGAAAAAAGUUAAAUGACUUAUAACUAGCAUGGUGGCCCACGCAGAUUGCGCGGCUAGCAUCAUUAUAUUUUCUCUUAUAUAAUAGCAUAUAUGUUUUCUCAUUAUAUUAUUCAAAUAUAUUAAAAUGACAUUAUAAUUUUAAAUUUUGCAAUAACUAUACGAAACUACAAAUGUGUAAUAUUCAUAUUGUAUUUUAUAUACGUGUUAGUUAUUAAUUAUUUUUAAUAUCAAAUUUUAGUUAUUUGUAAAUUAUAUAUAUUCCUAUAUGUACUCUAGACUCGUCUUUUAAUAUAUUUUUUUAAUUCCGAAUUUUUUGUAAAUUGUAUUUCUAUAUAGACUCUAGGCUCUUCUUUCAAUAUUAUUUAUUUUUUAUUUUUGAUUUUUUAUUAUUUCUAAUUAUAUUUAUAUGUGGACUCUAAACUCAUCUCUCAAUAUUCUUUAAUUUUGAAUUUCAGUUACUUCUAAAUUAUAUUCCUAUAUUGACUUUAAACUCUUCUUCCCAUGUUUUUCUUAAUUUUGAAUUUUAGUUAUUUGUAAAUUGUAUUUUUAUACAGACUCAAAACUCUACUUUUAAUUUUAUUAUGUUUAUUCUGAAUUUUAGUUAAUUUUAAAUUCCUAUAUGGACUCUAUACUCUACUUCUAAUAUUCCUUAUUUUUUAACUCUGAAUUUCUUUUUUUUCUUAAUUGUAUUUCUAUAUGGACUCUAUGCUCUACUUCUAAUAUUUCUUAUUUUUAAUUCCGAAUUUCUAUUAUUUCCUAUUCGUAUUUCUAUAUGGACUCUAUACUCUACUUCUAAUAUUCCUUAUUUUUAAUUCCGAAUUUUAGUUAUUUUCUAAUUGUAUUUCUAUAUGGACUCUAGUCUCCUCUUCUAAUAUUCCUUAUUUUUAGUUUCAAAUUUCAACUAUUUCUAAAUUGUAUUUCUAUAUGGACUCUAGUCUCCUCUUCUAAUAUUCCUUAUUUUUUAAUUCCGAAUUUCAGCUAUUUCUAAAUUGUAUUUCUAUAUGGACUCUACCUUUUCUUUUUCUCCGAUUAAUGUGAGAGUUUCUAGGCCAUGAGAGCGAACGUGGAGGCUCCUUUUCUAUUCCUUUAAUAAUAUAAUAAUAGAUAUGUAACAGAGGGAGUAUUUAACAGGCCGGCCUAAUUCAUCCAUUCAGACCGAAUUGGGCUUUUUCUCUUUUACACACAUGCAUAUAAAGUUUGUACUUAGUCCCUCAUAUUCAGCCAUGUGUAUAAAAUUUGUAUACGUAUGCAUAUACUUAGAAUUCAUACAUAUAAACUUUGUAUUGUACCCAAUACAAAGUAUAUACAUGUGUAUAUACGAAUAGAGCGGAGACUAGAAGCCCAAUUUGGCGACCGCGGCGAGGGCUCAGGAAGGCGACGGCGAGGACGGGAGCUCAUCAGGAGGCAGGAGCUCAGGAAGUCGAUGGGGCCGGCAUAUUUUAAGUUCACUUACUUCAAAACAGUCAUUCAAAACCAAGUUUAUUAAACAUAUGUGGCCGGCCGGCAGCUAAUUUGAAGCAAAUACAACAGAUAUAUAAGAAAUGGGCUGAAGAACAGACUCGACGAGGCACUCAUCUUAAGUAGACCACCCGUACUAUUAGCGUCGCAUCGGCGGGUUGUGCUUGGGCGGGACGUGCUGGUUGUUUCCGAGCCAGCCAAGCGAGGGUUUGUAGCCGAGGCUCUUGAGGUGCCUGUACUCCUGGCACAGCGCGCACUGCAGGCAGAGGGCGUGGACGCAGCAGUCGCAGCAUGGGUCCUCGGGGAGGUGGAAGCUGUCGCGCAUCUUGCCGCGGUAGCAGCAGGAGUAGAGGCAGUGGCAGUGGGCGAAGAAGCCGAGCAGCACGCACAUCACGCCCGCCGCGCAGCACGUCCUCUCCCCCCUCGACACGAUCUCCGCGCUCCGCCCGAACGUGAUGCACGGGCACACCGUCGUCAAGCAACCUGCAUAUAUAUAAUUAGUUUGUGUCACAUAAAGACGUGAAUAUUAAGGAAUGAUCUAAUAUGGUACCAAAUGUUAUAUGGUAAAAUUACUCAAUCAAUAUAUAUAUUCCGGGAAAUAAGCUUAAAUUAGCUUAGAAUUAAUAGAUGGUCUAUACAAUAAAUGCAAUAUAUAUAAUCUGGUGAAGGACGAUCGAUAGAAUCAUCGCAAGUAGUAUAGUACUGAUCGACAAUAUGGAAGUAAUAUAUACGCACAAACUUCGCAGUCAUUGAAGCAGGCGAAGAGUCCGGAUGACCAGUCAUUGUGUUGCGGCCUCGCCAUCUCCUCCGAUCCUCUCCUUCGCUAGUGCGACCACUGACCAGCUGCUGCUGUUGUGAUCGGCAGGCUUGCUAGCUAGGAGCGAUGAGCAUGAGCUUAGCUAGGAGCGUGGCUCUUAUAUAGCAGUAGCACGAUCGGUAUGCAUGCAUGUUUACUGAAACUUUAAAACGAUGAUUUUUAAUUAUAUAUAUUAGCCCGAUCUAACUAGCGUUUGGUUGACCCAAUUAACUUAGUUGACUCCACCAGAACCGACCGGCAACACUAGUCAAUGAGGCAGUGAAUACCUCGGACAUGACCUAGAUCAGGUCUCACGAGUCAUACAAUGUCGCUGGCAGUGGCAGUAGUACUUCCUCCUCCGUUAAAAAAACAAAAAAAACUAACAUAAUAAUAAUAUAAUAAUAAUAUAGGAUGGGACAUAUCCUAAUACAACAAAUCAAUGUCUAUAUUCGUGUUUGGGUUUUUUUUUUAUGGAUGUAGUAAGUAGUACCAACUAUUAUAUAUUCAUGCCUUAGAAACCAUGUUUAUUUUGAUUAUCAUCUUAAUUAGCGUGUGGCAUACCAACUAUGUGCUUGACAGUUGGGAGCUUGGGGGAUUUCACAAUAACUAUGUACGUUCACUUCUUUUUCGCGUAUAUUGAAGUUCCGGUCAGUUAAUUAGCCAACCGGCCGCCGGAAUUUCGACUCCUUCCCAAUGGCUAUUUCCUGACCAAUCUUUUCAUACUCUAUUUUUUUAUUAAAUGGUGUCUCCUAAUAUUUUUUUAAUCUCAAAUGAUUAAGAAUUUCUUUCAACGAGGAAAAUGUCAAUCGAUCAAGAUCAAUAUAUCAGUUGCAAGUUGUCAGGAAAAUGAGUAAAAGAGACAGGUUCUGUUCGGCUUGUUUACACUUACCUACUUCUUGGAUCGGUACUACAACAUUAGAACAUUAUAACUAGCUAGUUACUAACUUAAUUAGUACCAGAGUUAGGUUAAGAUAGUACCAUUAGUAACAUAUUUGUGCAUUGAUUGCUGGCAACAGCUAAGCUAGGCACAAAUGUACUAGGAUUCUAGGAACUCAUGACAUUUCUGUGCUGUCGUUGCCUGAAAAAUGAUCCGUUGAUUUGGUCUUAGAAACCUACCCCACGAGAUCGAUCUUGAGCUCGAAAACAUGAGCCCAAUCAGCUCAUUACAUAUGUGCUACUGCUACUGAAAGGGCUUUGUUGAGAAAACUGUGUGCUUGAAACAGCCAAACAUAGGCAGGAUCACGCCUGAUCUGAUAGGCCAUUAUAAGGGCAUACUCAGACUGAUGACGUUUUCAACCAUAAUAUCAUUAUUUGUUAAAAUUGAUAAUUAUGUGGCUACAUUUAGUUUGUUAUUAAAUAUUGGCAAUGUAUAUGGAAUUUUGGCAACAUUUUAAAGCCAAUCCUAUCAAAAUUUUGACAAUGUUAUCAAUUUGUUAAAAUUUUGGUAUAUUGCCAAGUUUUGGUAAUAUUUAUUUUGGCACUAAUCUGAACAAACUCUAACUUGUAAGUACUGUACAAACAAGACUUCCGAGGGUCUGUACUGCAGGUCAAAAUUCAUGCAAGAGAAUACUUGCCAUGCGAAAGCCUUUCGUUAUAUAUUGGUAUAGUAGCUUCACUGCUUAUGACUCACUCGAUUAGUUAAGCACAAUAAUUAAUUGUUGAGAAGAAAUGGAGCAAGGGAGAGGAAAUUCUAUUUGGGACUUGGGCAUAUUGUUUUGGAACUGAAUAUUACUACGAGUAGUAAUGAGAGUUUUAGGCCCCGUUCGCUUCAGGUGGCGUGCAAAAUGUGAUACAUAAUUAGCAGUAAUUAAUUAUGUAUUAAACUUCGAUAUAAUAUUUUUUUAAAAAAAAGUACAAGGGAGCAAAAUGUUGCUCACUACAAGUAGCUCAUCCAAUGAGAUAACCGGACAGGACUCCAGUGUAUCCGGAUAUUGGGCCGAGAGCCCAGAUAGCCCAUCUGGCGACAUGCCCUCCUUGGGCCGGAUGGUCCAUCAGGAGAGCAGCUAAAGAUAAAAUAUGGGCCGCAUGCUCAUCGCUAAGCGAACCAGAAGGGCCCACCCAAUUUUGUCGUGCGGUAAGGGUGAGGAAUUUUUUUAUUUUUAAUUUUUUUUAUUAAAAGUUUUACAAAAAUAAUUUUCCAUUUUAAAAAUUGACGGAAGUGGUCGCCUACCGCCCUCUGGGAGGGCGAUUUUUAAAAAUCGCCAUCCCAGAGGGCGGCGAAAAUGACGUGGCAGACGGCCGUUCGCUCUCGGGCGACGGCCGUCAACGAAAUUUGCAGGCGGCCCCCUUGCCGCCCUCCGCUAGGGCGAUUUUGUACUGUGCGGGGGGCCGCCUGCAAAUGGGCGGCGAGGGGGCAUGGAAUUUUGCAGGCGGCCCCCUUGCCGCCCUGGGGGAGGGCGAUUUUUGCCUCCCCCCUAUAAAGCCCAGUCCCCCCUCUCUGAAAUUUCAUUAUAUUCACUAAAAAUCCAAAAAAAACGAAAGAGAGAGAGGGGAGGGCAGCAGAAGGGGAGCGGCGAAGCCCUGCUGCUUCGCUCACUUCAUCACAGGUUUGCUCCCAUACAUCUUUUGCAUUUGUACUAAUAUGUUAUAUUUGAGUAUAUAUGUUGCGUUUUAGUUUUAGUUCCAUAUAUUUUAGCAUAUCUGUAGCACACAGCACAUAUGUGUAGAUCCAGAGCAUAGAAUAUAAUAGUAUGAAUUGAGACAUAGACAGUAGUGUUAAUUGUAAGAUGUAGUUUAGUUUGAUCUGGAGAAUGUAACCUACUUUUAGAAUUUUGGAGAACAAUAUUGUAGAGAAUGUAACUUAGGGUGUAGUACAGAAAUGCGAGGUUAACGCAGUUAUUGUUUUCAUCAGGCACAAUGUCAAAUAAGGUCACAUUUCAGAUAGUUCACGGUGAAGGAAAUAUUAGAUUUGGUCCAGAUGGUGUUGAUCUGUCAGAUUUUGUAAUGACAUCUAAGGGCAUCGAUAGGCCUGCGGAGAGAACAUUUCAGUCAAUUUAUAGUUGGUUGUUGAGAGGAUUUAGAAUAGACCAAGAAGUCUACACAAUGUCAGUAUCAGUUGUAGUGAGUCGUGCAACAGAAGGUUAUUUUUGGGAACUAAUGCCGAUGGACAACACUGCUGCUUGGAGACGGUAUGUGGAAAUGGCUUUUGAACGGUCAUGGCCCCUCGUUAUAUUUGUGUCGGUACAAGAGAAAGAUAUAAAUGUUUCAAUGCAAACCGAAGAUGUAGAGGGUCCUAUCAAUGCAGGGGAUGUUGUUGGACCAUCGAUGCAAAAUGAGGAAAAUCAACCAAGGGAGGAGCAGGCCAUGGGCAUGGCGGAUGAGGGGGAGAGAGUCGGUAUAAUUGUUGAUGAAAUGGAGAGGGAAGAUUCGGAUAAUGAGGAAGCGGACGACGACGCAUCAUCCGAUGAGGAAGGUGAUGUAAUGGCCACUGAUUGGGCAAAUGAGGACUUCUCUGGACUUGUUAUAUCAGAGGGUGAUCAUGUACCCUGGGAGUAUAAGGAGAACGAGGUAAUUGACGGUGCAAGGUAUGCUCAUAAGGAUGAGAUGAAGGAGGCGGUGAAGCAUUGGGCAGUUUCCUUGCAGAGAGAGUUUAGGGUGGUCAAGUCAACAAAUUAUGUGUAUGAAGUGAGGUGCAUGAAGGAAGAUUGUCCGUGGCGUGUCCAUGCAUAUAAGGGUAAAUGGAAUGAUUAUUGGAAAGUUAGCAUUGUGACCGAGCACAAGUGCUACUUACAAGGGGUGGAGAAGUAUCACCGAAACAUCACUUCAGCUUUUGUGGCAAGUGAGAUGUACAGCAGUGUUGUUGGUAACAUUGGCUUUAAACCAAAAUCAAUUAUUAGGCACAUCGAGAACAAAUUCAAGUACACCAUAAGCUAUGCAAAGGCCUAGAGAGCCAAACAAAAGAUUAUUGAGAUGAUGUAUGGCACAUUUGAAGCUUCUUAUGAUAAUUUGCCUCGUUUGUUAGCCACCAUUGCCCAGAGGAAUAAUAAUACUUACUAUGACCUACAUACAUUUACAUCGGUUGAUGAUCGAACAAAGAGUGUGCUGCAAAGAGCCUUUUUCUCAUUGGGUGCUUGCAUCAAUGCUUUUGUGCAUUGUCGACCUGUUCUAUGCACAGUCCACAACAGCACACAUGAAAAGCGGCAGCUCGAGUUGUCACUAUCAACUUUCGGCGCUGCCUGUUGACAUAAAGUGAAUCACGCCCACGCGUGAUCGUCUUGUCACAUCUAAUGAAUAAUGUAUCUCAUUGAGUUCACAUAUAUUGCAGUGAAAAUGACGCUAUAUAAUUGACAAUCUGAAGGCAACCUCUUCAUAUCUUCUUUCCCACUAGCACACAACACACGAAAAUGGAAGCGCCAUUCCUUGAGCGUCUCAACUGGCGAAGCGAUCCUUUUGCUGGUUGGUUUCCACCAUGGUGUGACCGUCCUUUGUGCGAUUGUGGGGAUGGAUGCAUACUCAAGUCUUCCCUCAUGAUACAAACUCGGGGCAGGAGAUUCUUCCAAUGCGCGAACUUUGAUCAGGUAUGCUUCAUCUAUUCGAAGUUCAAAUGGAUAAAAAAACUAACUUCUUCGUACAUAAUUGUAACAUCUUACGCAGACAUAUCGUCCAAUGUGCAACUUCAUCGAGUGGGUAGACAUGGAGAACCCACAAAACGACGGAACCCGUGCUUACCCACGUAGUGAAACAAGAUCGGACUACCUAAGGUGGAAGGAUGAGCAUGAACGUCGAAUUGCUGCUGAGGCUUUAGAAUGGCACGUAAAUCCCCUAAGACUCCCCACGUGGCGUGAGCGUCCGGAGUGUCGUUGUGGUGACCGUUGUCAGGUCAUAAGGUCCGUAAGGCACCGAACUCGAGGACAAAGGUGUUUCGUGUGUCCAAACAUUGUCGACGAUGAUUUCGUGGUAAUUACAACUAUUCUUUUCAUCACUCCUCAGUACUAUCAUUAACUUAACUAUCCCAAAAUGGAUGUACAUAGGAGGAUGUAAGGAAAUGUCAAUUCGUACAAUGGAUUGACACAGUCAGAGUUACUUCAAGUGGCGGGCCGAUAACGCAACCUGAACCGACCAUACAGUUCAUUCAUGCUUGGAUGGAGUACGAACGUCGGGUGGAAAUUGCAAGCUUAGACUGGAGGAACAAUCCAUUAGGGUUACCUAAAUGGUCCGAGCGUCCAAAGUGUGGGUGCAGAGAUCGCUGGCAGGUGGCUACAUCCUUUGCUGAACAAACAUUUCGAAGGAGAUAUUUUGUCUGCCCCAAUGUAGACAACGAUUUCGUUGUAUGUCUAAUCAUUUACAAAAUCCGCUAUGAUUUGCACAAAAUUACUACCCAAACUGAAUAACAUUACUAUUUUUACAGGGCAAUCCAAGGAUGGGUGGAUUUACUCGAUGGAUCGACAAUGUCACUCCAUCAUAUCAUGGCCAGAAGAUAACAGAGUCAGAAACACAAGUAGAGUAUCAACGAUUGAAGGACCACGGGAAUGCAAUGCAUUCUGACCGACCUAGAAGGUGCCGAUAGGUUACCGCAUGCUUGAUUCGUCGGGAUCGACAAAUUUGUACCGUGUAUCGAUGGCACUUCUUAUCUAUCUUAUCAUUACAAUGUUUAAUUAUGGUGGUGAUUUUUUGUAUGCGUAAGACUAAGGGCCUAUUUGGAUUGCUACCAAAAACAUGCCCUACCAAUAUUUUGGUAAUUUGAAUAGUACUUGUGUUUGAUUUCGAUUGAAGCCUAUUCAUUGGUAAUACGUAAUCUAGAUUUGAGAUUAUGUAGAACAUUCUUCACUACAAUUUUACAUUUUGGCAGCAAACCAAAUAUGAUCAAAUGCAAUUUUACCUUACCAAAUAUUUGGUAGUGCCAAAACUUGCUUAUAUUUUGGCACUAACAAAAUAUUUGUACGGUAACAUUCCAAAUAGGCCCUAAAAAAUAAUAAAAUUGUAUUUUACCAGUCUUGGAGAUUUUAAUCUUGUAUAGUUUUCAAUAUAAAAAGAUUUGAUAACUAUUGAUAUUUAUACAAAAAUAUAAAGCACAGUAUAAAUUCGCCCUCCCCCAGGGCGGCAAGGGGGCCGCCUGCAAAAUUCCAGGCCCCCCGCCGCCCAUUUGCAGGCGGCCCCCCGCACAGUACAAAAUCGCCCUAGCAGAGGGCGGCAAGGGGGCCGCCUGCAAAUUUCGUUGACGGCCGUCGCCCGAGAGCGAACGGCCGUCUGCCACGUCACUUUCACCGCCCUCUGGGAUGGCGAUUUUUAAAAAUCGCCCUCCCAGAGGGCGGUAGGCGACCACUUCUGUCAAUUUUCAAAAUAAAAAAUUAUUUUUGUAAAACUUUUAAUAAAAAAAAUUAAAAAUAAAAAAAAUUCUAAGGGUGAGUGGGUGCAGACGUGCAGUAUGGGGUAUGGCUGGUGUUUACAGCCGUCAGAUCAAAACGAAACCGACUCAAAAUCUGUGUACUGUUAAACGAAAACCGACUCAAAAGCUGUGUACUGUUAAAGAAUGUCUACGAUACACAGUACUACGAUUUUUUUUUGAACGGACAGUACUACGAUUUGAUUAUGUUUUACUAAGAUUUGAGUAUAUAGCUUCAUAAUUUUAAUCCAAAAUUAACAUUGGGCUGGCCGUCGGCUAAUUAAUAAUUUGUUGGGGGCAUAUACAUCGGACAAAUUAACAUGACCAUCAUCAUACACACAUUAAUUUGCAGGUUUACAAGAUUAGCAAUGCGAGGUUAAUUAGGGAUCAUUAGCAACUCAGGUCGUAAUUUGGCAGUCGUGCAGAACGAGUAUAUAUUACAAACGAUUGUUGAUAAGUCGUCGUCGUUGAUAGUAUCAGUAGUUGGCAUCGCACUGCUUGUAUAAUGUGUGUAUACGCGCACUAAAUCUUACCUAACGAGAUUAAUUCAGUUGGGCAUUUGUCUAUUUGCCUGUGUCAUCUACCAAACAUUCUACAUUGUCAGAAGAUAUAUGAAGUAUUCCCUCCGAAUUUUCAGCAAUACAUAUGCAGCUUCAUAAAUUAUAGAACUCGUGAUGGAUGCGAAAUGAACCUAAUGAAUUAACAAUAAUGCAUAUAAUUUUCACCCUAUAAAACGGGGUUAUAUAUGUAGUAAAAUAUAGGGAGAAUAGCCAACAUCAUCCUUAAAGUUUUGCUCGGGGAUCAAUUUGGUCCCUAACUUUUUAUAUUGUCCAAACGAGUCCUUAUAAUUUGUCAAGUGGGCUAAUAUAGUCCUUGGGCCAACUUAAAUCGCCACGUUAGCAUACCAUGUUAUGCUCUCAUGCAUAAUAUGUGGUGAAAUGUCCAAUUUGCCCUUCUAUAUACCAUAGAAAAACAAUGAAAUGAGUUUACAAACUUUGUUCAAUGUGACUAUGGAUAUAUGGCAAACUUUUUUCACUGGAUUAUGCUAAUACAAAAUUAAAUUAGCUAUAACCACUAAAUAUAUAAUUACCAUGCCAAAUAAAUUUCAUGUAAGUAGUUGCAUUUUAAUGUUAAAACUCUAACGGAUAUUUAAUAUGCAAGAUCACCUACUUAUAUUUUGUAUUUUUCUCGUUUUCUUUCUCUUUUUUCCCUAUGACGAUAUGUGCAAGGGCAAAUUGGGUAUUUCAUCAUAUAUUUGCAUUGGAAGAUGACAUGGCAUGUUCACGUGACAAUUUUCGAUGGGCCAAUGACUAUAUAUGUCCACAUGAUAAAGUUUAAUGGCUUGCUUGGACAAUUUGAAAGGUCAGGGACUAAAACGAUCUCGGAGCGAAACUUCAGGGAUCAUAGUGGCUAUUCUCCCAAAAAUAUAUAUAAACUUCAGGGCCAACAGUUCCAAUUAUUGAAGUAUAUACGGAGUAUGAACUAGCUCCGUGUUGACCAUCACCAUUGUAAGUUUGUAACAUGUGUGCCAACGAAACACAACAUGAUAUCCGGCUUGAACUGCGUGUUAUCAGUCAAUAAGGAGGAUAUACAAACACAGCAUGUGGCUAGAGUACACACAUUCAACCGUAAUACGUGUUCAUAUUGUCAUAUGCUAUACAUAUUGCGUCUGUUUGUUGCAAAGGGGUUAGGAAUUGAAAUGGAAAGUUAGAAGGCAGAAUUAGUAUUUUAGCAAACCCUGUGCUUGACUCCGUAAACUAAGAAUUUGAAAAGGCUGAAUUUUUAGUUUCUAAUUAAUAUGCGAUUCUAUGUGUACUAAAGCUACUCUUGAGUUAGCAAAUUUAGGCAGUACGAGUGUAGAAUCUCUGUCUUGUACUGAAACGAUUGUAAUAUCCACCCUUUCCCGCAAAAAUUAAAAAGUAAACAUUGGGUAGUUUUUACCACUAGAAUAUUCUUACCACUCUUGAUACGAGUGUAACUCAACUGGUUAGGUUUCUGUUGGAGGAAUAUACCCACACAAGUUCAAGUCAACUUGUCCUGAGUAUUUACAUUUACGGUUAAUUAUUGUUUCAGUGAUAGACGACAUACUCAUCGAUGACAGGAUACGUCUGCAGUGACUUCUUGAAUCUCAUAAUACGACGACUAAUGGGUAUAUGAUAGAGGGGUUUGGAAUGACUUUUUGAAUUUUAGGAUAUAUUGGCCCAGUCAUUAUAUGGGCGUUACAUUUGCACUGUGUUUUUUUAAAAAAGAAUUACAAAAGUUCGAAAUAGACAGUUGAAUUAAUUAUACUUGAAUAUUGCGUGUGUCCACUAGCUUGUACACCUAAACAUUUUCAUACUUCGGCGCCGUAGACCGUAGGAUACGUAUAGUACUCUCGUUGACGAAUAAUCACACUCAUAAAUAUAAAUGCACCUAUACUUUUGACUUUGAACCAGAGAAGCUUAAUUUUCAACGAAAUUAUUCAUUUAUUAUUUUGCCCCGAAACAAGGGGCAGGCCGGCUAAUUUGGAGAGUACAAUCAGAAAUCCAUUAAACUGGAGAAAAUUACAAACAAAAGCUGAGACCACGCAUCACCAAACACGCAUUUACAAACUUAAUCCCAUGACUAUAGUCGUAGAUAUCAAAUAAAACACACGUAAUUUACCACGGGUAAUUAAAAUUUUUAACUGGAUACUCUAAAAGAAAUUUGUUCCGGAUACUUUUCGUUUAGAGAUUUGUUCCGGUCCAAAUAAAAAGUAUCACAUGGUACUGAUACCUCACGGUAUCAAAUAGUUUCCGAUCGAUGAAUCUAACAAUGCUCAUCGUCCUGUCCAGCUAAAUUCAACAAUCAGAAACGAUUUGAUACUGUGAGAUACCAAUAUCUUGAGAUUUUUUUUGACCGGAACAAAUCACUUUUGUUUAACUGAACAACUCUUAUUUCACAGUCCAAGUACGCUAUUUAGCGGCCCAUGUACUGCACGGCGGGAGCGGCGCCGGCGGCGGCGGCGCGGUCGGCGUUGAGGUGCCAGCCGAGCUUGGGGUCGUAGCCGCGGGCGACGAGCUCGCGGUACUCCUGGCACAGCGCGCAUGGCUCGCAGCAGAAGUGGACGCAGCAGUCGGCGCAGCCGGCUUCGGCGAGCCCGUACUGAGUGCGCAUCUUGCCCCGGUAGGUGCAGGAGUAGAUCCACUGGCACCCGGUGAACGCGCACAGCAGCCCGUACAGCGCGCCGCCGGUGCCGCACGACGUCGAGCCCCUGUCCACCAUCUCCGCCACCCUCCCGAACGUGAUGCACGGGCACCAGCACGUCAAGCAGCCUGCAGAUUAAUGUGAAUUAAUUAGUAAAUUACAGAUCAUGUUCAUGAUAUGAUCUAGCCAUGGCACGGUGGCCGGCGGCGAGAGCGAGAACGUUUUUUUCGUGAACACGUAAAAUGAUUACAUAUCAAUAUACCACAAUGGAAUCAGCCAGACCAACUUAUGUCAGAAGAAGGGAGAAAAAGCAAAAUAAAGAGCUGAAGCUUAUAAAAAAGAGCGAGAACGUACAUAGGCCGCAGUCGUCGAAGCAGUCGCAGAGGCCGGUGGACCAGGCGGCGGAGCCGACGGGGACGCCGGUCACCGGAGCGGCGCUUGGCUUGGCCAUCGAUCUCCUCCUACUUUUCUUCCCCGGCGAUGUGAUCAGAGUUGCUAGCUAGCUACUGCUUGUGCUGAGAAUGAGCAUGAGCCGGGAGUGGGAGGACGCUUUAUAUAGCGCGCGAGCGGCGAGUUGAUCUGGUAUGCAAUGCAAGCGAACAACACAGCUAAGCACCCAUGUUAAUUUACUACGAACUCGCGACAUUUCUGUGCUGUUGCUUACGAAACGAACCGUUGAUUUAGUCUUCAACCCCCACGAGAUCGAUCUUGAUCGAGAUCUCGCAAACAUUGAGCCCAAUCAGCCCAUCACAUUCACAUAUGUAUAAUGUGCUGCUGCUACUAUACUGAUACACAGGUUAAAUAAAUAAAUCCAGAAAAAAGGGGGCUUUUUGUUGAGCAAACUGUGUGCUUCGAACUUGAAACCACCGAACUGGAAAUGAUCACGAUUCAAGCCUGGUAGGCUAUUCUAACUUGCAUUAUGUGUUCAAACGAGACUUCCGAGAGGGCCCCAAAAUUCAUGCAUGCAAGAGAAGGCAUGCCAUGCCAUGCCAAAGUCUUUCGUGAUACCAUUGGUAUAUAGCUCCACUGCUUAUGACUCGCUCGAUUAAUUAAUUAAGGCUGAGCACAAUAAUUAGCCGUCGAAUAGAAGUGGGAUAAGGGAGAGGAUCAGAGGAAAUUCUAUAUCGGUUUUUUGUACCGAUCUAGGCUUCACUAGAUUUAUAUUAGUAGGUUAUCUAUCUGGUAGUACUAUGUUGUGUCUAAUAUUGUACUAAUCUACAUUUUAUAAUAGAGGGAGUAUGCUUCUUUUUUUUUAGAAAAAAGGAUUAGUAAUUUAGAAAUUGGACUCACGGAAAAAGGAGGUAGUUGAUCCGAUGAGCUUGAUCCAACAGGGCCUUAGUGCAUUCGCAAAUUGGCCGAUCAGCCCAAUUAGCCCAUUUAGCGACACGCUGAGUCCCUUAAAUGGGCCGGACGUCAUCGCCAAGCGAACUAGAAGGCCCAAAUUUGAUUUGCAGGUGUUUACAACCGUCAGAUCAAACGAAACCGACGGCGGCUAAUAAUUUUGGGGCAUAUAUAUCAUGCAGAUUAACUUGACCAUCACCAUACACACAUUAAUUUGGAGAUUUACAAGAUUAGCGAUGCGAGAUUAAUUAAGGGGUCUUUAGCAAUGCAGAUCGUAAUUAAUUUUGAAGUCGUGUAGCGAACGAGUAAUAUAUAUACAAAUGUUCUUGAUAUUCCCAAGCUAGUAGUUAGGCCGUUAAUUUGAAGCAUAGGUCGGAUUUAAUAUAUAAUAUUUAAAAAAUUCUAAGUCGUUGGUAGUACCAGGAGUUGACAAUGCACUAUUGUAUAAGCCUGGAUAAGGCUAUACGCGUACUAAAUCUUACUGAACUAGAUUAGAUGCGUGUUGUUUAAUUGCUUGUGUCGUCUACCACACAUCGUCAAAAAAAUGAAGUGUUUCCUUCCGAAUUUUCAGCAAUAUAUACAGCUUCAUGAAUUAUUAAUUAGAACUCGUGAUGCGAAAUGAACCUAACAAUGCAUCUUUGUUCUCACCCUAAAAGACUGCGUAAUAUAAGUUUCAGAGCCGACGACGCUUCCAAAGUUCCAAUUAUUGAAGUACGGAGUAUAUACACUAGCUCCGUUGACUAUCACCAUCAGAAAACAUGUGUGCCACUCCUGCCAACGAAACACAACAUGAUAUCUGCCAACGAAACACAAACAUGCAUGAUAUCCGGCUUGAUCUGCAAGUGUCAGUCAAUGAAGGAGGAUAGACAAAGCUUACAAAUUAAUACGAGAAAACCCAAGAAAUGUAAUCAACAAACGCUCUAUUCUAAGAUAUCAUUGACGAACCUAACUUUAUGAAAAUGUUAUGAUACAAGCAUCUUUAUAUCAGAAAUAUCAUCAUUGUUAGAUUUUUGUUAGUAGUCUUCCGUUAGUGCUAUAAAAGAUUAUUUUAUUGUUAUAUAUUGUUGAAUGCUCAAUAAAAUUAUUGUUUUUUCGUUAGCAUUAAUUUAGUGUAAAGAGCAAUAUAUAAAUUAGUGUAGUCACAACUCUUAUUAUAUGGGCUCAUAUGUUUUAGAAAAAAAGGAUAUGUAUUUAAUUAGGGAAACCACAUAAUCUGUCAUUUUUUUUGGUUUGUGUAAGAUUUAAUAGAACGAUAAAUAAUUUGAAACAGAAAGACUAUAUCCAAUGGGCCGGACGCCAACUAAUUUACAGCAAACUAAUACAACAAACAAUCGAUUAAGCGCAGAGAAUUACAAACAAAACUUGACCAUGCAUCACCAUACUUACAAACUUACAGGAGUACAGGCAUAGUCCCUAGAUAUAUCAAGUAUAAUAAUUUAUCUGGACAGCUCUUCACACUCACUACCUCCGUCUCAAAAUAAGCUUAUUUGUGAGUUUUUAUGUUCAACAUUUGACCGUCCGUCUUAUUUGAAAAAAAAAAGUAAAAUAAGUCACGCGUAAAGUACUAUUCAUAUUUUAUCAUCUAAUAACAAUAAAAAUACUAAUCAUAAAAAAAUUAAAUAAAAUGAAUUGUUAAACGCUAGAUAUAGAAACCUACAAAUAAACUUAUUUUGGGAUGGAGAGUGCAUGAAGUGAAGCUUUUUCUAACGGCCCAUGUGCUGCACGGCCGGUGCCGCGGCGGCGGCGGCGGCGGCAGCGGCGCCGCGCUCGACGUUGAGGUGCCAUCCGAGCUUGGGGUCGUAGCCGCGGGCGACGAGCUCGCGGUACUCCUGGCACAGCGCGCAGGACUCGCAGCAGCAGUGGACGCAGCAGUCGCCGCAGGCGGCGUCGCCGAGGCCGUGCUGGGCGCGCAUCUUGCCGCGGUAGGUGCAGGUACAUCCACUGGAACCCGGUGAACGCGCACAGCAGCGCGUAGAGCGCGCCGCCGGUGCCGAACGACGUCGACCCCCUGUCCACGAUCUCCGCCACCCUCCCGAACGUGAUGCACGGGCACCAGCACGUCGUGCAGCCUAUCAAUAUUGCACAGAUUGUUAUUACAGAUUGAAUGAAUCAGUUCAUGUUGAUCGAUCGAUCGAUCACCAUGGAUGCAAGCUACUAGUAGCUAGCCAUGGCCGGUGGCGAGGACGUAGAUGUACGUACAUAGGCCACAGUCGUCGAAGCAGUCGCAGAGGCCGGUGGACCAGGCGGCGGAGCCGAUGGGGACGCCGGUCACCGCACCGGCGCUUGGCUUGGCCAUCUCCUCCAAUCCUCUCCUUCGCCGGUAUACAGUUUUUUUUAAAGGAAAUUCGCCGGUAUACAGUUACCUGCUGCUGCUGCUGCUCACUACUUAAAAAAUGUUCCUCAGUGCCGUCUUAUCCAUGCCGGGUUUUUUAAUAAAUCGGAUAAUAGGAAAUGUCUCAUUCAUUCAAAUAUUUUUAUAUUUUAAAACAGAUGGUGUAGUAAAUAGUAGAAUUUUAAAACAGAUGGUGUAGUAAAUAGUAGAACCAGCCAAAGGGAUGAUUUUUUUUUCUCGACCAUAUGUCUCCCAGCCACUACACCCCCCUCCCUCCCUUCUCUCGACCUUAUCUCCUACACACCCACUCACUCUCUCCCUUAUUUGAGUUGAAACUUGAAACAAUUGAGCAGGAUAGGAUCACACCUGAUAACUUGAAAAGUGUCCGUAAUGUAACCAAAAAGUCAUGUAAGAGAAGAUUUGCCACGCUAAAGUCUUUCGUGAUGCUAUACCAAUAGAUCCAUUUAUUGACAUGUAAGCUUUUUACGCGUUCGCGAAAGAAAAAUCCACAAUCCAGUCAAAAAUAAAAUCCAUGACCUAUGACUUACUUGAUUAAUUAGUUAUAAGCACAAUAAAAUUAGUCGUUGAGGUGAACAGGAUAAAAUGAGAGGAAAUGAACUAGAGAGGUAAAGCUGAAUUUAGGUUACCCCACAACUUUACUACAGACCCAAUUUCUGAAACUAAAUUUAGGAGUUAGAGCACUACCAAACGAACCGUUAGGCUGAGUUCUUCUUGGCAACUCCAAAUAGCAACUUUCUGGUUUUCGUUGUGAGGCUUGACUAAGUUUAUAUUACUAGGUUGUCUAUCUCGUAGUACUAUAUUGUGUCUAAUAUAGUACUAGCUUUCUAUACUUUAUAAUGGAGGGAGUAUACGUAAUUUUUUUAAAAAAAAUUAUGUUUAGCAAUUUAAUUACACUCACGGGAAAAGAAGGUAGCUCAUCGGAAUAAGUUCACUUUGACUAUGUUAAAAGUGACCCGAAUCUAAUCCGUGACUCUGAACCGUAAACCAGAAAUCUUGACCCCUAAACUGUUAAAACCAGCGCAAUUUGACUCCCUGGAUGGUUUUGAAUGACGGUUUCGCUGACGUGACGACUACGUGGCAGUAAAAUAUGGGUAACCAUGUAAUCUGUCAAAUCUUCUUAGUUUGUGCAAGAUUUAACAGAGCAACAAGUAAUUUAAAACGAGGGGACUCUUUCCAAACACAAGGCCGGCACAACUAAUUUGCAUCAAACUAGCUAGAUGGCCCGCGCAAUUGCGCGGCUAGCACCAUACAAAAUUAUAUAUUUUUUAAUAUGGUUUUACUUAAAAUUUAUUAAAUAGUUAUCUCAUUGUCUUAAGAUCACUUUGCAAGACAAAACCUUAUUAUCCUCGUGUUUCUAAUUUUUAUAGUUUUUAAAAAUCACAUUAGUUGCUACCACUUACUUCUGUCAUAUCCUUGUUUAUUUACUUGCUCGAUCUACCACAAUUUCUAUUCAUUCUUAUUCGAACCUUUAAAAAUUAGAUCUUAUAGUUUUCAGAGUUUAUUAUCCCGUUGGGUUCAUUUUUAUAAUUUAUAGAAGUCCUAUCAAACACUGCCAUUAUACUCCUCUACAGCCAUCCACUGCCUCUUCUCUUUAUUGUCAUUGAUAUUUUAAUUAAAAAUUGAACAUAAUUAUCGUUUAAGUUCAUUUUUUUACUUUCUAGAAGUUCCGCCAAAAUGUCAACGACUUUGUCACUAUAUUCCUCUACGACUCGCCCGCUGCCUACCUUCUUUAUUAUCAUUGAGAUUUUAAAAUCAAACAUGAUUAUCAUUAGGGUUUAUUUAUGUACUUUUUAGAAGUUCAGACCUUUAAAAAUUGGACCUUAUAGUUUUUAGAGUUUAUUGUCUCGUUUGGUUUUAUUUUUUAAUUUUUUAGAAAUCUCAUCAAAUGUUGCCACUAUAUUUCUCUAUGACCCGUCUGCCGACCAUUUUUUAUUAUCAUUGGGAUUUUAAAAAUUGAACAUAACUAUCAUUGAAAUUUUUUUUUUACUUUCUAGAACUCCCACCAACCAUCGGCAGCUCUGCCAUUGUACUCCUGUACGAUUCGCCCGCUGCCUCUCAUUUUUAUUGUCAUUGAGAUUUUAAAAAUCAAAUAUGAUUAUUAUUGGGUUUUUUUUUUCUAGAAAUCCCGAUAACCGUCUUGACCGAUUGCUUCACGACCUCUCUAUCAUCCUUUAUUUUAAUCGUCAUUAGGAUUUCAUUUGGUGUUUUAUUAAUAGUUUUUAGAUAUCCCAUCAACCGCCACCACUUUACUUCUUUAUAGACAUGUUAAUUAAUUAAUCUCGUCAUAUGUUCUAGAUUACUCUAAAGAUUAAAAAAAUCAUAAUUCCAAUAAUUGAACUUCCCAUGGUAAUAUACUAAGAUGUGCUAACCUCACUGUUUGUUUAAUGUAGGUUUAGAGAGUAAUAUGACAUGCUAAGCUGCUAGCAUCUCAUUGAUGUGCUAAUUGGGUUUAGUCAAUAAGAUGGAUGCGUCCAACACCUCGCAUGCAUGCGUUAUCGUCGUUUGUUUUUCAUGUGUGCACGCAUCAUAUUGUCAUGGGUAUGGUGCAUGAGACAGACACGGGUGCUAGUUUUACAUGUCAUUACAUUACUACUCAGCUACCGACUUACGAUUUAGCUUAAUCACAGGGAAAAUUAGAUUUCUAUUCUGUUUAUAUACUGUUAGUAUUAUAGUAGUAUAGUUGUAUUUCCUAUAAAACCUUUUCUAAAUAAAAAUAUAUUUGGUCCUUUUUUUCCUUUUCCCUCUUAUUAACAUGAACAAACUUUCGCGUUUAUAUCACUUCAAAAAUUAAUUUCCUAUUCUGAUUUGGAUGCAAGGUCAGUGUGUGCAAUUGGUUCAAUUGCUAUACGGUUUCACACUCGUAUCCGUUUCAUCUCUUUAACUUUUUAAAUUUUAAUUAAAUCUUAACCGUUAAUAUUCAAGUAUACCACAAUUCUAUCCAUGGUUGGUAUUUUCUUUAUUUUGUUUAAUUAACGUGAUAAUUUCUUUAGAGCAAAUAUAGCGUACAAUUUAAGCACAUAAAUAUUUUAUUAUACAUGCAUGUAUAAUUAGAUUUAGUGUACAACACUUAUCUUCUGUUUCUAUAGAUAAAAUUAUAGCAUUGUAAUUUAGUCCUACCAUAACCUAUUGGAAUAUAUUUUAAUCUACCUUUGAGCGCUUAAUAAUUAACAUAAUAUUUGCUUAUUCUUUCGUGGAUGAACGUGCAUGACUCUAAUUACAAAUUUACAGGCUCAAAUGGCCAUACGCAUGCAUGCAAAUACAUGCAUGUCCGACUCCUAGUCAAAUUAGUCCAAAUACAUACAUGUCCGAUUCCUAGUCAAUCUCUCUAGAUGUUUUUUUGUUUGGACUCACGUAUUUCCCUGCUUGAUCUAGACCAUCAAAAUCUAGACAAAUACGAUCCAACGACACAUAUAUUUUCCUUUUUCUUCGAUUAACGUGGGAAUUUCUAGCCUCCACAGCGAACGUGUUGCCUUUUUUCAAAGCUGUUUUAAUAAUAUAAUAGACAUAUAGAUUAAUACAACAAACAACCGAUUAAGUGCAGAGAAAUUACAAACAAAACCUGACCAUGCAUACCAUAUACUUACACAAACUUACAGGAGUACAUACAGGUAUAGAUAUCAAGUUAAAAAAACUCAUAAUUAAUUUUGAAAAAGAUGGAUCUAGUAAGAUCGAUCGAUCGUACGCUCCAAAAAAAACAUUUUUUUUUAACUGGACACCACUUCACACGUCCAAGUACGAUCGAUGAUGUACGAGGAGAGAUGACGCUAUUUAACGGCCCAUGUGCUGCACGGCGGGCGCGGCGGCGGCGCCGCGCUCGACGUUGAGGUGCCAGCCGAGCUUGGGGUCGUAGCCGCGGGCGACGAGCUCCCGGUACUCCUGGCACAGCGCGCAGGACUCGCACCAGCAGUGGACGCAGCAGUCGCCGCAGGCGGCGUCGGCGAGGCCGUACUGUGCGCGCAUCUUGCCCCGGUAGGUGCAGGAGUAGAUGCACUGGCAGCCGGUGACCAUGGCCAGCAGCGCGUACAGCGCGCCGCUGGCGCCGCACGACGUCGAGCCCCUGUCCACGAUCUCCGCCACCCUCCCGAACGUGAUGCACGGGCACCAGCACGUCAUGCAGCCUGCAGAUUAAUGUCAAUUAGUUAGUUAAUUAAUUACAGAUCAGAAUGAAUCAGUGUUCAUGAUAUGAUCUAGCCAUGGCACGGUGGCCGGCGGCGAGAACGGGAACGUACAUAGGCCGCAGUCGUCGAAGCAGUCGAAGAGGCCGGAGGACCAGGCGGCGGAGCCGACGGGGACGCCGGUCACCGGAGCGGCGCUUGGCUUGGCCAUUGAUCUCCUCCUCCUCCUCCUUCUUCGCCGGUGUACACAGUUACCUGCUGCUGCUGCAAGGAUGUGAUCAAUCGAGUUGCUGCUAGUGCUGGGAAUGGGAGGACGCUUUAUGUAGUGCGCCAACGGCGAGUUGAUCUGGUAAGAAAGCGUGUCUGCUUCAAUUUGAUUGGUCGAUGCUAUAAUCAUGUUUGCUCCGUCGGUCUUCGUUGACCCAAUACAGUUGACGGCGGCCAGAAGCAGCACUAGCUAGAUUUUUUUUAUUUUUUUGAAACUUUUUAUUUUUUUAAUUUUUAAAAUAAACUGUUUUAAUACCAAUUUCAAAAUCCCUUUUUUUUAUCACGCCACCCCGUCUGACGUGACAAAAUAUUGCCACGUCACUAAUAGUUACAUUGUCACGUCACCAAUAGUUGGCAUGACAGUUUUAAUGUCAUGUGAAAUUACGUUGGAACACCGCCCAGAUUAGUGUGGUAUUAUUGUUCCACAACGCACUAGAGUGGUGUGGUAUUAUUGUUUCACAACGCCAGUCUUCUAGGCAUGGGUAAAAGGUUUAGGCUGUGUUUAUAUACGCCAGUCUUCUAGGCAUGGGUAAAAGGUUUAGGCUGUGUUUAUAUCCAGGUUUAGCUUCAGAUUAAUCCUCAAUCUGAGGAUGUAUUCAUACACGUUUACCAGCAUAGUACUGUAUGUUAUUUUUUGCGACGGCAUCAAAUCGUUUUAAUUAGAGCGUGAUGCCGUGAUCGACAUGAGACUAAUCAAUGCGCGUGCCAGUUGGGAUUUAAUUAGAGCUCAUUUUCUACUAUUAGUCUAUUUUAAAGCCAACAUAUAUUAUAUUAGUUAUAAGGUUGGCUUUAAUUUUCUUCUCCUCUCUCUAUCUCUAUCUUGGAGCUUGUGUUAAGCUAGCUCUUGCAUAUAAGAGCCAACACUUUUGAUUUCUUGUUAUCUUUCUCCUUCACAUAAGCUUAUAGUAGACUUAUAGCUCAAUAUUAUACUUGCUCUUAGCCACAGUAAUAAUCCCUCUGGCGUUGAUGCUAAUUACCUAGCCAACCGGGAGUAUCGCCACUAUUUUCUCGAUCGAUUGCCAGUUCACUUGUAUUUUUUUUCUAAUCCAGGCCAGUAAUAUCUUUUUUAUUUUCCAGCUAAAAUGAUAUAUCUCAUGUACGCAUAGUACGAUUUUCUAUUAAUUUUUUGUAUAAAUGUCAAUCAAAUUAAAGAUAUAUCGUUUUCGAAGAAAAUAUCAAAUCAUAGCUGUGGUCACAAGUUGUGUGGAAAAGUGAAGUACUAACCUGUCUUAAUAUAUACUCCGUAGUAACCUAGAACCGAAUUUGAUACAUUUUAUGAUUAUGAAUUUUAACAUAUAUUUGUCUAGAUUCGUAGUCUUAAAAUAUAUUAAAUAUAUUUCAGAUUAUUAUAUAUUAGGACCUACUCCCUCCGUAAAAAAACGUUAACCUAGUACUAAAAUAUUAUGUGAAACAUGCUCUAUAUACAGAUUCGUUAUAUUAGGAUAUGUUAUAUUCUAGCAUUAGAUUUGAUUUUUUUAGAUGGAGGGAGUAGGAAAUAUGAAACAACGCGUCAGUAUCACACACUCGCACAACGUACGCAACAAGCUAGGCGAUCGAGAUAUGCUACAGGCCUACAGCGACAUGAUUCGUGUUACAAACAGCAGGCAUUGGUUCGUUUACCAGCAUAGUACGUUAUUAUUUAGGUUGGGUUAUUGGGUUAGGUUAGCUCCCACCAUCUUAUACUAAUACUCCCUCUGAUUUUAUUAUAUGAUGUUGAUUAAGUUCAAAUUUAGACUAUCCGGCGCUAUACGUAAAAGAAAGGACAGAAUAUAAUAUGUAGUGCUUAAUUAUGGGUGUGUUUAGAUAAAAAAAAUUUUGGCCAAAAAUAUCACAUCAAAUGUUUGGACACAUGCAUGGAGCAUUAAAUGUUGUCUAAUUGUACCAUGAAUUAAUUUUAAUAAAUUCAUCUCAUAAUUUACAGUCGGAAUAUGUAAUUUAUUUUGUUAUUAGUCUAUAUUUAAUACUUUAAAUGUGUAUUCGUAUGCUUAAAAAAAAUGACCAAAGAACUAAACACGACCAGUAUCGUGUAUUUGCACAUUUGCAUGCAACCUCUAGGCACGCAUGGACUGGGAACCGAUGAAAUUUCUUCGAUGUUUCUGCACAUCUAUUCAAAUCCCAUGAGAGGAGAGGAGCCCAUCUGAAAGUGCAUGCAUCUUCAUGAUCAUGGAUAACCUUUACGUACACCAACCAAACUUUCCACCACCGAACUGAAUUGAUCCACUCCGGUCCGGUCCGGGUCCGACCGAAACAACGACGCGUUGUUGUCGCGUCAACUGCGCUGCCGCUGCACGUGAUUGGCGUGCCGUGUCAGUGAUGAUACAUGCAUAUACACCGGCUAUAUAUAUGCCCGUCAAAUACUCAAACCCCAAUCCAUGGAAAACUUGCAAAACAAAACAAAACAAAAAGGAAAAAUGAGUGUCUUUUGAUUUUGCAAGCUUACCAAUAUAUGCCCGCGGCUACUCAGUAUUUAAGUAUAAUCAACCUUGUUUUGCGAAAAAAAAACCUGGUAAAUAUACAACACGUACGGUGAUGUUUGGCAUUCCAUAAAAUUUUAGUUCAAAAUUUGAUCAAACACAUCGAGAAAAUAUUUUUUGGUAAAUUUGGUUAUGAAUUGGUGAUAUGUAAAUAUUCACGUGUUCCAUGCAUGCAUGACGUCCAAUGUAUCUGCCUCAUCCAUCAUUAAUUGGUGCCGUACGUACGCCAACCUGAUUUCUUGUUUCUUGUUCGUUGUCUCGAUCCGGCACAUCUCCUUCCUCUGCAGAAUUUAAUCAUGGGAGUUUGGAAAAACUUGGAAAGGGUGGGAGAAUUCAGGCGGCGAUCUAGUGUCCUUCAGGGGUGGACGAAAAGCUCGUAGCUCGUUUGGCUUAUAACAAACUCGGCUCGGCUCGUUUCAUUUUUCUAAUGAAAAUCGGAUUCGUUGACAAGUUAAGAGACCUUAUUUGAACUUAUUUCAAUUGGCCGAUCUGCUGGCCCAUUUAGCGGCACGCUGAGUCCCUUAAGUGGGCCGGCUGACAUCGCCAACCGAACCAGAAGGCCCGAAGGCCCAACUUUGCUUUGCAGGAGAAGCGAAGGAAGUGAGUACAGUAUGGGGUCUGGCCCAGCCUUUCCUUACUACAGGUAUAAGGUGUUUACAACCGUCAGAUCAAACGAAACCGACGGUGGCUAAUAAAUUUGGGGCAUAUACAUCAUGCAGAUUAACCUAAUUAACCAUCAUCACACACAUCUUAAUUUGGAGAUUUACAAGAUUAUCAAUGGCGAGGUUAAUAAUUAGGGGAUCUUUAGUAAUGCAGGUCGUAAUUUUGAAGUCGUGGAGAACGAGUAAUACAAAUGUUGUUGAUAUAUAUUUCCAGGCUAGCUUGGCCACUGAAGUAAAGACCGAGUUUAAUUUAUAUUAUUAAAAAAUUCUAGGUCGUUGAUAGUACCAGUAGUUGACAAUGCACUAUUGUAUAAGCGUGGAUACGGCUAUACGCGUACUAAUUAAAUCUUACUGAAUGAGGUUAGAUGCGCGUUGUUUAAUUGCUUGUGUCGUCUACCACACAUCGUCAAAAAGAUGAAGUGUCGUUCCUUCCGAAUUUUCAGCAAAACAUAUAGCUAGACGUAGUUUUCAUAAACUCUAGUACUAGACACUACUCUUUCAAUACAUACACCAUUAUUUUAUACUUAAAUUUAAUACUAUUUAUCUCACAUGAUGUCUUGAAUGUUGCGUAGAAACCAUAUCUCAUGCAAGAUAUGGUUUCCUUCUCUUUUCUCAUUUAUUCACUUGCCACAUCAUUUUUCAUCUUAGUUGGUAGCUUAUUUAAUGUUAUGGAUAUCAUCCUAAUCAUUUGGUUGAAAAUGGUCUAAAUUAUUAGAACUCGUGAUAUAUGCGAAAUGAACCUAACAGUGCAUUUUUUUUACCCUACAAAUCUGCGUACUAUAAGUUUCACAGCCAACGACGCUUUGUUUGGCCAAUUAUUUAAGUACGAAGUAUACACAAUCUCGUUGACCCAUCACCAUCAUAACCACAUGCUGCCAACGAAACACAAGAUUAGCUAGCUUGAUCUGCAUGUUGUCGGUCAACAAGGAGGAUGGACACAGGUUACAAUUAAUAUGAGAAAACAUAAGAAAUGUUAUCGAUAACCCUACCUUAUUGAAAAUAAUUAUCAUGGUAUAAGCGUCUUUGUUUCAGAAAUAUCAUCAUCAUUAGGUUUCCGUUAGCAACUAUCCGUUAAGUGUUAUAAAAAGAUCAUUUUACCUCUAUUUAGUGUUAUGAAAAUUAUCCGUUACAAUAAUUUAGUGUAAAGAGCAACCUACAAAUUAGUACAGUCAUAACACCUACAAAUUUAGUGCAUUAUAUUGGAUCAAACACCUACAAAUUUAGUGCAUUAUAUUGGAUCAAACACCUACAAAUUUAGUGCAUUAUAUUGGAUCAUGUGCUUUGGAAAAAUAAUAUGUCAAAUCUUAUUAGUUUGUGCAAGAUUUAAUAGAGCAACAAGUAAUUUGAAAUGAGAGGAGUCUUUCCAAACACGGGGCCGGCAGCUAAUUUGCAGCAAAUUAAUAAAUACAACAAACAAUUGAUUAAGUGCAGAGAAUUACAAACAAAACCUGACCAUGCGUCACCAUACUUACACAAACUUAAUUACAGGAGUAUAUAGAGGCAUAGUAGAUAGUAUCAAGUAAAAAAACGCAUAUAAUUAAUAUACCACUUAUAAAUUUCUUUUAAAAAACUGGAUACUAUAACUAGCUCCCAAAAAAAAAACUUUUUUUUAACUGGACACCACUUCACACGCCCAAAGUACGAUCGAUCGAUGAUAUGAUAGAUACGAGGUGACGCUAUAGCUAGCUAAUCCAUUUAACGGCCCAUGUGCUGCACGGCGGGCGCUGCGGCGGCGGCGGCGCCGCGCUGGACGUUGAGGUCCCAUCCGAGCUUGGGGUCGUAGCCGCGGGCGACGAGCUCGCGGUACUCCUGGCACAGCGCGCACUUGUUGCACCAGAAGUGGACGCAGCAGUCGGCGCAGGCGGCGUCGUCGCCGAGGCCGUACUGGGCGCGCAUCUUGCCCCGGUAGACGCAGGAGUAGACGAACUGGCAGCCGGUGACCGUCGCCAGCAGCGCGUACAGCGCGCCGCUGGUGCCGCACGACGUCGACCCCCUGUCCACCAUCUCCGCCACCCGCCCGAACGUGAUGCACGGGCACCAGCACGUCAUGCAGCCUGCAGAUCAAUGUGAACUAAUAAGUUAGUUACAGAUCAGAACUAACGAAUCAGUGUUCAUGAUAUGAUCUAGCACAGUAGAGAUUAUCUGCACUACUGCUGAUGUAGUAGUAGACAUUAACGUGGGGAUCCGAACCCACGUGUCAGCUACGGCUACUGCAUUAGUAGUACUACGGAGGAUUUGCAUAUGAUCUAGCCAUGGCACGGCGGCCGGCGGCGAGGACGAGGACGUACAUAGGCCGCAGUCGUCGAAGCAGUCCAAGAGGCCGGUGGACCAGGCGGCGGCGCUUGGCUUGGCCAUCGAUCUCCUACUUUCCUUUAAUUUCCUUCGCCGGUGUACAAUUACCUGCUGCUGCAAAUUAAGGAUGUGAUGGAGUUGCUGGUACCUUAAUUAGCUUGUGGUGGGAAUGAGCAUGAGCUGGGAGUGAGGGGACGCUUUAUAUAGUGCGCGAGCGGCGAGUUGAACUCUGGUAUGUGUGUAUGCUUCGAAUUGAUUGGUCGGAUCAAUGCAGUAAUCAUGCACGCAUGUUUGACCGGCCGGUCCAACCACCGUUUCGUUGACCCAAUACAGUUGACGGCUCGCUGCCAGAAGCAGCACUAGCUAGCAGCCAAAUAUAACCUUGGUAAGGUCGUGUUUACUUCACCUCCAACUAUCUUCAACUUCCAACUUUCCAUCACAUCAUAUCCAAAACUUUCCUACACAUAUAAACUUAUAACUUUUUUUUCAAACUUCCAACUUUCCACAAACUUCCAACUUUUUUCAGAAACUAAACACAGCCUACCUACACUUCGAGCGUAAUCCUUAACCUGAGGAUUUGUUUGAUCAAUUUUAUUUUCUUUUUUUAAGGUAACUAGCUGGGUACCCGCUCAAAUUGCGUGACUAGCAUAUGUACAAAUUUAUCUGCUUUUUAUAUAUGACUUUUAUUUAAAAUUUGUUAAAUAGCUUGUAUCUUGUUGUCAUCUUUGAAAGGCCGAACAUUAUCAUCCCGUGUUUCUAAUCGUAUAGUUUUUACCAGUUACUCCUUUAUCACACUACCAGUUGUGUUACUCGUAUUUGCUUAAUCUACCACGGCUUCUAUUCAUCCUACUUGGGACAUUUAAACACUAAAUCUUGCAUUUUUAGAGUUCAUCGUCUUAUUGGGUUUCGUUUUUACGAUUUUCAGAACACCUGUCAAACAUCGUUACUGUACUCCUCUACGAUCCAUAUGUUUGUCUCCUCUUUUACUGCCAUUGAGAAUGAAACAUAAUUAUCGUUGGGUUUAUUUUUUUUACUUUGUAAAAGUCCCACCAAACCAUCAACGACUUCACCAUUGUACUUCUCUAUGGCCCGCCCGCUAUUUCUCCUCUAAUUGUCAUUAAGAUAUUAAAAUAUCAAACAUGAUUAUUACUGCAAUUUAUUUAUUUAUUACUUUCUAAAUGUUUUGAUUAAUUUGAGUCCAAUUCUAUCUCAUGGUUUUGAUCGAAAAUGAUUGUAAUAUGUCUCGUGUGAUUUAAUAAAGUCCUUUCCCCUGAAAAGAAAAAUGUCACACACUCCAACAACGUACGCAGCAAGUCGAUUUCCCGGAAGGAUAUGCUACAGCGAUUCGUCUUACAAACCGCGAACGUUGGUUCGUUAGUUUACCAGCUGAUCGAGAGUUUACAUUAAUAUAUUAUGUGUUGUGUUGGGUUAGGUUAGCUGCCACCACCAUCUUAUAUACUCCCUCGAUUUUUCUAAUUAACGUGCAACGCCAACUUUUAACGAGUUGUUUAACCAUUUAUUUUAUUAAAAAAAUUAUAUAAGUAUUAUUUAUUUUUCUGUGAUUUAUUUUAUCAUCAAAGAGUAUAUAAUUUUAACUUAUAUUUUUAUAUAUAUUUUAAAUAAUACAAAUGGUGAAACGUCGGUGUCAUAAAUUAAAAAACAAACGUACUUACUACUACAUUAAUGAUAUGUAACGCCCAUUAAUUUGCCCAUGUGCAUGCAAAAAUGUACUGCGUUGGGGAACUGAUGGAAUUUCUGCGAUGUUUCUUGCAAAACGUAUGGCAUGAAUAAUCCAUGGAUUUUAAUUUCUUCAAAUCCCACGAGAGGAGAGGAGAGGAGAGGACCCCGUCUGAUACUGAAAGUGCCGUGCCGCUUGAUAAUUGAUGGAUAAAUUACGUAUACCAACAACCAAACUUUCCACCACCACCACCGCACUUGAUCCACUCCGUGUCCGGCCAAAACAACGUGUGUUUGUCGCAUGGACACUCUCGACUGCGCCGCCGCUGCACUGCACGUGAUUGCGGUGCCGGAUACGCAAUUAGCUAUAUCCGGUCAAAUACUCAAAUCAGUUUGCGAAAAAGGACCAAAUUUAUGCGAAACCAAGCAGGUAUAGUUAACUUAACAAGUAAGGGUGUGUUUAGUUUACGCCAAAAUUAGAAAUUUGAUUAAAAUUAGAACGUUGUGACAAAAAAGUUAGAAAUUUGUGUGUAAAAAAAUUUUAAUGUGAUAAAAAAAUUAAAAAUUUAAAUUAAAGAAAAAGUUGGGAACUAAAGCAGCCCUAACUGUCGUUGAACAAGCCGUGUGUUCGGAACAAGUGCCCAAUAUAAAUGCGCGUGGGACUUAGUUUCCCUAGCAGUGUUUCCGUGGGGCUCAGUUUUGCACAUGUUUGUACCUCCAUUUUUCUUCGUACGACUAGCAAAAAGCACAUGUUUUGCUACGGUUAUAAUGUCCAUACUUAUUUAGGUUUUGUUUAGUUCCAAACUUUUUCUUCAAACUUUUAACUUUUCCAUCACAUCAAAACUUUUCACACACAUAAACUUCUAACUUUUCCAUCACAUCGUUCCAAUUUCAACCAAACUUCUAUUUUUGGCGUGAACUAAACACACCCUUAGUAUAUGUUGUUCAUUUGAUUCAAACAAAUAUUAAACUCUUGUUUAAUAUUAAAAAAAUUAGGGACUAAUUUGUAAAAAUGUGCAGGAGUAAUUGUGGUGGAUUGAUGGUAGUUCCAUACUUCCAUCACCAAUAUUAUCUUUUAUAGUAGUAAUAUAUAUAUUAAUUUGACAAAUAACCACCACUAGAGAAAUGAUCUUUACUACCAGUUUAAAAUCCCCUUUAUUCUCGGUUGUAGCAGCUAAGAAUAGCUAGUAAAGCGAGACUAAAAAUCGAAAUCUUUAGUACCAGUUAAAAGAACUAGUACUAAAGAUACAUACUAAAUCAAAAAUAAUAUGUGGGAUAUGAGAUUUAAACUUCAGCCCUCACGCAUGUUACCAUCGCACAUACUACACACAUCUGACUUGGAUGGAGAUGCUUUAUUUGUAAACUAACCUUGGAGAUAUCUUUAAUAUCGGUAAGUAACACCAACCGGAACUAAAGAUUCUCCAUCUUCAGUCUCGAUUGUCUUUAGUCUCGGUUGGUAAAGAUGUAUUUUUAUUACCGGUUGGUAACACCAACCAAAACUAAAGACGUUUUUAGGACUUGGAUUUUUCAAACCGAUACUUAAAAAUAUCUUUAGUAAUGAUUCUAAAUCUAACCGAGAUAUUUGUGUUUUGGGUACCACGAUAAAAGAUUGGUUGUCCAGUAGUGAACAAACUAAAUAAGGACGUAGAAUGUGUUAAAAAAAAGACGCUGAACACUCGCUUUGAUUUGGAAAAAGAGUUAUUCACUCUAUUUUUAAAUAUAUAAUGUUCAUGAUUUUUUACAUAACAGUGAUCAUUUGUCUUGUUAAAAUAUUUAGUACAAAUAUAAAAAAAUAUUAGUUACACACAAAAUACCUUUAAUGAUAAAAUAAAUCAUAACAAAAUACUUCCUCUGUCUCAAAGUGUAGACAUUUGUUAGGUUAUCACGGGCAUUUUUAAAGUAGAUGAGAAUGGUUGAAGAAAUGGUGUGAUUGGUUGAAAAAAGAAAGUAGGUGAAAGAGAAUGGUUGUGAUUGGUUGAGAGGAGGAUCGAGGUAGGUGAAAAAAUAGCUUUAUUAUGGGACAAGGUAUUAUGCUAGAAAUAACUAUAUUUUAUAAUGAAAGUUAUAAAUAAUAGUUUUUAAUAAGACAAAUACUCAAACGUAAUAAUGAAAUGUCAAAACAUCACACACCCCUAGUUUUUGAAAAUGAGGUAAGCGAUUUUCUUUUUGUCAGCUAAUCGUGUUCAAAGUGACUGAAAUGCGUGUUGUGUCGUUCUUGAUAUUGCAGACCUUAGAGGGCCAAUGGGCUCCAUGUCCUUUUGAUGCGUUAUUUUCAGCAACAACCACUUAGUACUAGAGUAUUAGAGCACCUGUAAUGGUAAAGUAAGGUGCUAUUUAUAAAACAUGUACAUCUCAGCAAUAGACUAAAUUAAUUGUAAACCAUCUUAAUAGUAUGUCUAUAUGGGUAUCUAUAGCUCUCUAAUGCAUUGCCUCGUUUUUCUCUAUAGACUAUCUUCAGGUUAGUAGAUAGCUUUGCUCUCUCUCUUCAUUUAAUCUCUUCCAAAUAGGAAAAUAUGCUGACAUAGAUCUCUUAUAGAGAGCCUAUAGAUAACCAUUGCGGGUGCCCUUAUGGACAUGCUUCUUAAGCUAUAAAUAGUCUGAUUUUCUAGAAAUUUACUAUAUAAAAAUUUCUUAUACUCUGCAAUUUCCUAUACCACUUAGUAAUAUUUAAACAUUUAUUUGUAACUUAUUAAUAUUUUGUUUAUUUGUUUAUGCCCUAAUAAUUAUCGUAAAAUCAGAAUAGUCUACCAUUCAUCCCCUGCAAUCCAUAUCCAGUGAGAUCUUAAUCUUCACACAAAUAGCUAAAAAAGAAGUCAAGACUUGUAGUUGCUUGUAUCUCUCUCAUUCCAAGAGGUGAAUAUUAACAAAUUUGGUUGUUAAUUUGUUAAUACUACACGAUUGCAAACUUGUUUUUUUUUUGCAGGGAAAACUUGUAAUAUUUUAUUAUAUUAAGAUAAUUGACCUUUGUUUGCAAAAAAAGAAAAAGAAAAAGAAAAAACAUACAACCCGGUGGUGUUCGCCGUUCCACAUAAUUUUAGUUCGAAAUUUGAUCUAUACAAGAAAAUAAUUCGACAAAUUUGGUUGUUAAUUGCUGCUGUAGUAUUCACGUGUUCCAUCACGUCCAAUGUAUCUGCCUCUUCCAUCAUUGGUGUCCGUGUCCUACCUGAUUUCUUCUUCUUUGGUUCCUUUCGUUGUCUGCAUCCUGCACAUCUCCUUCCUCCGCAGAAUUUAAUCAUGGGAGUUUGGAAAAACUUGCAAAGGGUGGGAGAAUUCAGCCGGCCGGUCUAGUGUCCACUAGUGCCUAAGUCUUAGUAUCUCUUGGGGCACUCACAGUACAAACACCGGACCUCGUGGCUUAGCCAAAAAAAAAAAACACACACAAAGACACUCAUUUCCACAGUGAAAGGAUCCUAUUUUGCAUGGCCUAAUUGGAUAGAGAUAUUGUGCAAGGCAACUAAGCCCACAACAAGCGUGACCCGGGUCCGGCUAGCACGGGCGAGCGUUCCUUCACCCACCCUUGCUCCCGUUUUCCUCCAUCCCAUCGCGAGCUCGCCUCCUUCCACUCCGCCCCACCCACCGCUCCUCCUCCCGGUCCGUCACGACGGCCCGCUCUCUCCUCGGCACGCUCGUCCUCGGCAUCUGCCACCUCCUCUCCCUCGUUCUUGGCGGCAGCUCGCCGGUGCGCGCGUGGCCGCCGGCUCUUGUCGGCGGGAGGCAUCUCCGGCUGCCGUGGCGGCAUCGGCCACCACCACCGGCCUCGCCGCCGCCCGCCGCGUCGGCCACCAGCCCACCACCACCCGUCGCGUCAACCACCAUCACCGGCCUCGUCGCCGCCCACCGCUCCACCUCCCGGUCCGCCGCGGCGGCCCAUUCUCCCCUCGGCGUACGAGGUAGAUGUGGUGGCCGCGGCGGCGGAUGUGGUGGUCGAUGCGGACUCGGGAGCACCGGCGGUGGGCGGCGGCGGAUGGAUCUGCCUUUCUCGAUGGUGGGAGCGGCAGGGCGGCGGAUGUGGUGGUCGAUGCGGACUCGGGAGCACCGGCGGCGGGCAGCGGCGGACGGGUCCGCCUUUCCUGACGGUGGGAGCAGCGGGGGUGGCGGGAGCAGACGGCGUGGGAGGAGAAGAAUCGGUGGUGGGAGGAGGAAAUUGCUGUGGUAGGAGAGGAUUUUUCGAGGGUGAUUCGGGGUUUUCGCCGGGCGGAAUCGACGCGAGGGCACGGGCGGCCAAGAAACGCUGCUCACAGCGCGGGUGCCUCACGAUUUCGGCGCCGCGCGUGGAUUUGCCUCGACGAAGUUUUGCGCCCCUCUUGUGGGCACGAGACACCUAGUUUGGUCGCGGGCGCAUGCGACACGUCGACCAAAAUCCGAUGUGGCGCAACGAGGUUCCGGUCUAGCUCAGCACAGUGUGAAAGACUUUAUAGUAUCCCCAAAGGAACACAAAGAUAAGUUUUCUUUUUCUACUCCUAUAUAUAACAAUUAAUUGACAAAAGAAAGAAAAUUAAGAAGGUCCCAGCCGUAGCCAUAUUUAAGUUAGACCUAAAAAAUAAUAUCUGAUUAGCACUCUAUAGUCAACAUAUGAGUUGAACUGAGCCAUAAUGCCCUUUAAUUAAGAAUGAUUCAGUUUAGAAUUAUUAUAAUAUAAACUAUUAGGAGUAAGCUUAAACAAACAUAUAGCUUAUUAUGAUAGAUUAUUACAAUCUAUAAACCAGAUUACUAUAAUAUAAUAAUCCACUCUAAAGAUGUUUUUUUAAUUAUUGGGUGGCUAACAACUAACAAACGACUAAUAAUAUAGAGAUACAAACAGCUAACAGCUUAUUUUAUGUCCGCUUAUUAUAAUUCAGCUUAUAGUAAUCUGGCUUAACAAUCUAGAUUACAAUAAUCUUAAACCUUAAAAUCAUGAUCACACUGGCUCAGUAAGCUUAGAGAGGGGAGAGAGAGAGAUGCAUAUAUGACAAAGAAAGAUUAUAAUCUGAUGAUUUAUUAGUUAGCUAAUGAACGAAUCAACCACUUUAUUGAUGGUUAAACAAAACAUUCAACGAAUUAGAAGAGCUAAUUAAUUAAUUAGUGCCUGUUCAGAUUGUAGCCAAAAUAAAUCUUACCAAAUUUUGGCAAUAUCAAAAUUUUGGCAAGAUGAUAAUGUUGUCCAAAUUUUGGCAGGAUUUCUUAUAUAUUUAUCAAAUUUAGUAGCAAACUAAACGUAGACAUUUUUUUGACAACUUUAAAAAAAAUGGUAUGGUUGAAAAUGACGUCAAAUUGAACGGGCCCUUAAUUAACCUAAUCAAAAUACCUGAACACGAUCGAUCAAAAAUGGAGAUGAGAAGUCACAUGAGCGAUUAGUACAUUAUGAAUUGAUCAUAACUGGACAUCCGGUAUUAGUUCGUCCGAGUGUUCAUCAGCUGACGGCUCCGGCGCCGGCUCGCCGGCCGUUCCGAUGACCAUCUCGAUGAGCGCGCCGGUGACCCGCAUGAACUUCUCGAACGCCUCGUUCUUGUCGAGCAGGGUGGCCUUGACGGUGGAGUCCGGCGCGUCCCGGCAGCUCUCCUCGCACGACCACGUGUCCCUCUCGGCGACGUCCAUGAACAGCCGCACGUCCUUGAACUUGGCGUCGAGGUCGACGACGCCGCCCUCGGUGUCGUCGAGGUGGGAGACGGCCUCCUCGAUGUCCUGCGCGCACUCGUCCAGGCACUGCCACAUGUCGGUGUCCUUCACGAUGUCGAGCUCCGCGCGCGCGAACGUGCCCGCCGCCGCGCCGAUGGUGGCGGCGGAGCGGACGGCGUUCUCGGCGAGGACGCGCGGGUCGCCGGUGUUCCUGCACUCCGGGAUGGCGCCCAGCACGGUGAUGCACACGUCCGGGUGCGGCGUCUUGGCGCACGUCAUCAUCAGUGGGCUCCCCGCCGCGGCGGGGCGGAGGAGGAGGAUCAGGAGGAGGAGCCGCACGGAGCCGCGUGUCGCCGCCAUUGUCGUCGAUGGAGGAUCAUGGGUGGAGGCACCGCGGCGAGCGAUAUAUGGUGGUGGGGAGCGGGAGUUGGGUUCGUGUGGUCGGGAGCGUUUUGUGAGCGAGGCGUGCUAAUGCUGCCAUGGCGAGAGAUGCGCGGGCGGGAUCCGCCAUGGACGUGGGAGAGCUUGCAUGCAGCGAAUUAGCGGAAGUGAGUUGAGGCUGAGCUGACUCCCACCCAUUUCUGCGGCGGCUGUCUCGCUGGAGAAGACGACCGGUUCGCGGAGGAAGCAAAUCAGACUCACUCUCUCUCUCACACACACACACACUCUUGGGCUUUUUUUGUAUCGGGUUAUCUUGGGCCGAAUAUGCCAGGGGGAUCGAAAAAGUGGGGGAAUAAGUUCAUCUGAGGUCCCUGAACUUGUCAACGAAUCCAAUUUUCGUCCUUGAACCCCAAAACCAGAUACAACGGGUCCCUCGACUAUAAAAACCGGUGCAGAUAAGGUCCAUCGGCGGUUUAGAUGGCGGUUUUGACUAACGUGGCGCCUACGUAGCUAUUUUUGACUCGAUCUUCAUCGGAUGUGGCACUGACGUGGCGCUUACGUGGCAAUUCGAUCCAGAAAAAUAAUAAAACCUGUGGGACCCACAUGUUAGUUACACAAAAAAAUAAUUAGAAAAUGGUGGGGCCCACGUGUCAUCCUCACCCUAUCCUUCUUCCUCAUCUCUCCCUAUCUCCCCGCUCUUCAUCUCUCUCCCCUCUCCUGUCUCUCCAAGUGCCACGGAACGGGGAGGUUCGGCGGCCGGCGGCACAGCGGUGGCGGCGGCACAAGAGAAGGGGAGGGCGCAAGAGAAGGGGCGGCCGGCGCACGCGCGGGUUCCUCAUGGGAGGAUCACGUGGGCUUCCAUGCCGCCGCAGUUGUCGUCGUCGUCGUCCAGGUCGUCGCCACCCUUGAGGAAUCCGGCGUUGUUGACGAAAAAAUCGAACACACCGGCCUAGGAGAUCUGCUUAACUCCUGUGCAGGUCCAAAGGUUGGUGAGAUGCGGGCGUGCCAGUCAGUUUGAUCCUGCAACUGACAAGAUAUGCAAAUAGUAGAUCAAAACAACCGAUCGGCUGACAAGCCGAUAGAGUAGUUCCAGCCGAUAGUCGAUAAUAGCCGAUGCCGAUACCAGCCGAUAGCGAUAGGGUUUUGAUAAAUCGGCUAUAUGUCCAAUGUAGAUGAUGAUAUAAAGGCAAUCGGCUGAUGAUAAUAUAAUAUUGCAAUAUAAUCCGGUAUAAACCAAUCGGCUAGCAAUGAUAUGAUAAAUAAGCAUCGAUCCGAGGUUUAAAGCACACAUCGGCUGGAGGUCCGAUGUCAUGAAAUCCACAAGAUUAGAUUAAACAGUGAAACCUUUGUUGUCAUCGCUAAAUCCAACUUAUAUGUAUAUACAAUCCUUAUGAGCCGAUGCAACGUCCAGAUAACUCACCGGCUAAAACCCCGAUGAUACCCUUAUUGGCAAUCAAGAAGCAGGCUAGAGAUUAUGGUUCUAAGCACGACUUAGUAGAUCAAACUUAACUGAUGCAGCACUAAGUAUGAAAAGAAACAUUAUAUCUAGACAAUCAAGCCGUUGACUGAGUUUUCAGGGUGGUAGAUGUCUAAGCUAAUCUAAUCUAGAAACACGAUUUAGCUAAUACCGGCAAAAACCCUAAAACGAGAAGCAGCCGAUAGAGCUAAAUUGAUAUGCUAAGACUAGAUUAACAGAGACAUAUGAUAAAUAGGUAGGCAAAUAUAUCAUCCAAACCAGAGCAAUCCAAGAGGUCGAAUGUACUAGUGCAGCCUUGAACGACGCCGACAUAAAUGAUACAAUUGCCUGGACCGGCGAAACAUUGGACUUACCCCUUCGCCGGAGAUCGAAGCCGGAGAUCGAACACCGAUGCAGCCCCGCGUCGGGUGCCAAGUCCCGCCAGACGAUAAAAUAAAGUAGAAAAGGUAAAAGGGGUGGCGAUGCGCCGAAUUGUAUCGAUCGUGGAGAUAGAUUACAUAGACCCCGGGUGUACAUAUUUAUACCCAUGGGUUGAUACAAGCCCUUGUCGGACAAGAAAGAAACUAACCUAAAGAUAAAAGGAAAAUAUAAAGUCCUUAUCGGACACACUUUCCUAAAGAUAAAAGGAAACUAACAAACUAUUCCUAAUUAAUAGAUAAACUGCCAUGCCGCAUCCUCUUUAAACUCGGUCACUUAGGGAUAAGUAUCCUUUAGUAGAUUGAUUUCCUUAACCGAAUAUAGCAGGAAUCCGACUAUUGGCGACUUGAUAACUCCCAUCGGCUGAUUCCGAGAUGCUGCAGCAGAUAAUGAUUCUAAGCCGAUGACGUCUUUGCCGAUUACCAAAUUUCACUGUUAAUAGGCGUGCGCCGGCCGCCCCGCUCCGCCCCCUUCACCCAACGCUCCCGCCACCGCAGUCGUCGUCGUCGUCGUCCAGGUUGUCGUCGCCCUUGAGGAACCCAGCCGGCCGCCCCUUCUCUUGCGUCGCUGCCGCCGCCACCGGCCGCCGAACCUCCCCGUCCAAUGGCGCGUGGAAAGAGAGGAGAGGGGAGAUAGGGAGAGAUGAGGAAGAAGGGUAGGGUGAGGAUGACAUGUGGGGCUCACGUGGGCCCCACUAUUUUUUAAUUAUUUUUUGUGUAACUGACAUGUGGGUCCCACGGGUUUUAUUAUUUUUCUAUAUCGAAUUGCCACAUAAGCGUCACGUCAGUGCCAUGUCCGAUGAAGACCGAGUCAAAAUAGCCACGCAGGCGCCUUGUCAGCCAAAACUGCCAUCUAAACCACAGAAGGACCUUAUCUGUACCAGUUUUGAUAGUUGAGGGACCCGUUGUAUCUGGUUUUGGGGUUAAGGACUAAAAUCGGAUUCGUUGACAAGUUUAUGGACCUCAGAUGAACUUAUUCCGAAAGUGGGACGGGCGACUGUGGGCUGCAAUAGUCUCCACGGCCCAUCCAAGAAUAUUCGGCUCAUCUGGAUUAUAGGAUUUUGGGAUAGUUUUUGUAGGAUUUAAAUUGAUUUUGUGUGAAAACUGUAAAAAUGAUGAUUCUAAGUACUCAGCCCUUUCUGGCCUUUUGUGAAUCUCACUCAGCAUCCAAAAUUCCAAACCAAUCGAAUCGUACCACAUUCGUCACCGGUUUUAGCCCGUUUGGUCUGUUACGUGAUAGGUGAUACCAUCUAUUUCACAAGCUAAUGCAUGAUAAAUACAAUAUUUACUCUUGAAAUUGAAAUUUGGCAGAUUUACAUAGCCUGAUGUGUCCAACAUAAAUUUUGUUGGAAAUUUGAAACGUUGCAAUGAGACGUGCUCAAGUCAUGAAUAUAACAAGAGAGAAUUUGGUGGUCGUAUAUAUACACGAGGAUACAUGAAAUGCACAUGAUAGUACAGUGGUAAAGGGUAUAUGGUUUCAAUCCCGAUUCCGAGAUCUCGUGUUCAAUCUUUAACACGCUCAUAAUUUCUUUUUAAUAAAUGUUUGGAUAGAGGUCUCCCCCUCCAAAUCUCGUUUUUGUUAUACACGAUGAUUUGCUACGGAUGUUUGCUCAUGGACGCAUUGGUGAGGGCGAGGGCGAUGGAGCAGAGCUUGGCGAGCUCGUCGAUCCUGUCGGCGAUCUCCGGGGCGGCGCCGCCCUCCGUCAUCCGGCACUCGUCCAUGCACGUCUCGCCGUCCGCCCUGGCCUCCGUCACCCACGCCUUGGCGCCGGCGGCGUCAUGGCGCACCUCCAUCGCCGCCUCGGACCGCCUCAGCUCCGCCACCGCCUCCUGGAACUUCGCCACGCACCCUUCCAGGCACUCCGGCGGCAUGCCGCCGGGCAUCUUCGCCAGGUUCCUCACGAACGACGUCGCCGCCGCCCCGCUCUCCGCCGCCAUCGACAGCGCCGCCUCCGCCAGCGCCGGCAUGUCCAACGCCGCCGCCCUGCUCUCCGGCCUCGCCGACAGCGCCUUCACGCAGUACGCCUCGUGCCUCGUGUGCCGGCACGCGUCCUCCACGGUCACCGCCGUGGCGGCGGCGCCCCGGAGGGAGAUCGCGACGGCGGCGGCGACGACGACCAGACGGAGAGAAGCAGCAGCCAUGUCGAUCUGCGUGAUGGCGAGCUAAAUUUUCGUUUUCAUGAAAACACUUGAAAGUGAUGAUAUAGAGCGUGAGGCCGAGAGGAUUUACAGCUGCAUGCAUGAGAGACCAACCGUACGGAGGAUGUCCACGUCAUCCGGUCAACGGAAUGGUUCCAACUUUGACCAUGCAAAUUUAGCUUUAGUGGUAUAUAUACAGAGUAGCAUUGGGACAGAAAUAACAUGCAGGCAUAUGGAAAUUGUUUUAGAACAAUGCAAUUUGCAAAGAAUUGGAUUAAUAAUUUAUUGAGUUUUUACAUAAUUUACAAAUCAUUUGUUAUUGUAUCUACAUUAUCGUCUUUGAGCAGCUGUUCCAAUAAUGAUUCCAUUGUGCUUAUGUAACUAGGCAUGUAAUGCUCCUUUAUCAUGUUUGGAGCUAGCCUUAUUUUCCCAUACAAAUCUCUUGGCGUUUCAUAAAUGCUAAUGAUCUCAUUGCUGCUGGAUCCCUCACCAGGAUUUGGGUCAGGUGAGGCCAUUGCAACCAUGUGAAUAAUUCUUCCAGGAGGGAAAAACUGGCGCGAACUGCAGGUUGGUAGCGGUUCUUUCAGCUUGUCUUUGAUAUCACAGUUCUGCUUCAGUGAUUCUGGUUCCUCCUGCCCUGUCAAGGAUGAUUGUUCUUGUUCAGUGUCCAGUGAUCCAUUGAUGUUCACAUCCCCUUGUGCUGCAAAGCCUGAUCCAGCAACAGACUUUGUACUGAUAACAUUAUCGUUGCUAGAUAGUACAAUCUUUUCUUCAGAGGUAACAACUGAUACAGCUGAAAAGUCCUGCUCUGUAUUAGCAACGAGGUCCGUUUGAUGCUGGUUGCAGUCUGUGCUUAGCCCAUUUGUUACAGGCUGCGUGAUUUCGGGGACAUGUUUGAGCAAGGGCUGCAUUGACAGAAUAAAUAGGGUGUCAGAAAAUCGUCAAUCCUCUCGUUGCUUUGCUUCUGUACUCACGUUGGCACUAAUCAGUAAACCCAAGAGUUACUUUGCUUCUGUAAAUUUUUGGAAGGUACACUGCACGGAGAAGCAGGAACUGUGCAUGAUGGAAAUUCUCAUUUUGCCCUUUUGUAAUAGAUGUGAUGCUUGUAUGGCCAAUGGAAGGAAAAUCAUCCGUACCAAAGAUAUGCCUACUACCUAGUAUACUAACAGAUAAUAUUAGCAUGCCCGCCACAGUGUUAUCGGUGUUGAUUGGGAUUGGAUGCUAGAAAGGAUCGCUGGAUCAGCUGUUAACAGUCAUUAAAACCGCUGGGUAAUCAAAUUAAUACUCGUGCUGGGUUCACAUGUGGCUUAAGGACGCAAAAUUAUCAUUGUGCUAGUUUAGGAUCCAGUGACAAGUGACAGAAGCAAUCAUUUAAAUAGUAGAAAUUAAAGUGCCUAAGAGGUAUUACCUCAGAUAUGCUAGAAUCAGGAUCUGUGUUCUUCUCUGUUGGAUGAGAUACUGACAGCAUAUGAGACUUUAUGAAAGCUACACGCUUACUUAUUGCCGUAAAUAAGCUAAAGUGAGCUUGAUCCUGCUCAUCAUCUAGCUUUGAUGAUACCAUUACCUGCAGUAGAGACAAAAAAAUCAGUGAUGAUAGAACACUGUUGGGAAUCAGGUAUAUGGUCGUUUUCACAAUUUAUCAGAAAUUUUAUAUGGCCACUGUCCAGUAUGCCAAUGAGGUUAACAUUUCAAGUUUGAAGCUAAGAUCUCCAUUGCAUCACAUAUUUCUUGAAAUAUCACAAGAAAUUAAUGUAUUAACACUUUGCUAAGUUCUUAAAAUGUUUCCUUGUUAAUUACAAAAGAAGUUCAUACUAGUGAAGGUCUGAUUUUAUUAUGCUGACACAUAAGACACUGGCCAUCAGAAAUUCAGAGUACCUCAGCUCGCAGGUUCUCAGCAGAAACUUUUGAAAAGGCCGGGACCACAUCAUUUCUGUUGAUGAGAGAAGUGACAAAUUCUUUGCCCGACUCCGCCAGCUCCCAUGACAUACAGGCAGCUAUACAAAACAGGAACCCUUUAAAAAUCUGAAAGCAUUUCCUCUCUUAAAUCUAGAAAAUAGUAUAACUGUCUCAGUUCCUGGAUUAACUUGUAGCCUAAUAAAAUAAAUCUUGCAAGUCAAUGCAAUUCUAUCAUAUCUGUAUAAAACAAUGGCUAAUUCUCCAUCACUGUCCAAUAAUGCAAAUUGUACACAAGAACGUUCAACCAAACAGUUGGCAUGGAUGAGAUCAUGAGAACAUAGUGCCAAAACAACUUUUGUCACCCAUUAAGUACUGAAACAGAACAAAGUUACAACUCAGGAAAAUAAUAUAAGAAAACACCUGAUAAUCAUAAAGCCAUAUAAUAUCUCGAAGGCACAAUGCAAAAACUAAGCAAAGUGUGGCUUUAAAGAUGUAAAUCAUGAAUAAGUCACUUACGAGGAGCAAAUGCCAGACACGUGCACGAUGAGAACUCAUGAUGCUCAUGAAGAAUGUAUGUCAGAAUUGCUCCGAUACCUGCUCCCAUUGAAUGCCCAAUGACCUAGUACAAAUGACAAAUAAGGAGACAUAAUUUGGGUCAGAAAUCUUCACAAAAAUAAACAUGACAUAAAAGACAAAAGGAGAGAUCUGAUUACGCUUCUUAACUGUCUCAGUGAUAUUUAUCAAAAACAAAUUAUUUCAAAUAAGGUCAUGUAUAUAGAUCACAGCGCACUGCAGCGGCUACACCUAUAAAUUGUAGUCACUUCAUCCAUGCAUAGCACUAAUAAGAAAUACCUUUAUUUGAUAAUCAGGGAAUUCUUGUACUGCCUUGUGAAGAUGGGGCUUGGCAAGGUUAGCAAUCCAACGAGCUGCAGCAAGCAUCCCACAAUGUGCAUAUCCUAAAACCACGUUGCUGAUUUGUCCUUCACUUAAAACUAUAUGGUGAAAAGGAACCUCAGCAGCAGUUGCGGCUGUUAGGCGCUCCUUAGUACUGAUAGCACCCCGAAUGAAAAGCAGAAAGCACUUGGAUUUUUUGUCACACACAAGCGCGAAAGAAGGUUGCAUAAGCUGCAUCAAGUUGAUAGUUAAGAGUGAGUCAAAAUGUGGAGGAACAAAUACAAAUUGUAAAUGUGAGUACCUUAAGCAUGAGAUAAGAGGAAUACAGUGAUACUUACUCACCCUCGCCCUAGCCUUGUGAAUAAGAAUGUCUUCUUGAUUGUACCCACCAAACUGAAGAAACGCUGAAAAUGUUUUCUUUGAGUAGAACAUGCAAAUCUUCAAGUGCUCAAGUAGAUAAGCUACUUCAGUGUGUGCGUCGUGACCUUUUAGUUGAAGGCAAUCAUUUCCACUAUACUCAUGCUGCAAAUCACCCUAGAGCACACAAACAGGAAAAAAUACAGUCACAAUAUGAUUCCACACCAUUGACUAUGUAAUAUGUUCAAGACAGCUAUACAGAACCAAGCUGAUUAUAAUCUGCAUAACUGAAUUGCUUCAGCAAACAAUCUACUACCGCCGAAUUUACGUCUUAAAGAACAAAAUGCUAGUUAUGCUGAUUCAUCAGAACAUCGGAUAGCCAGCUUCUCUUCACUCACGGGAAGUACAUCUUAUUGAGUUUUGAUGCAUUGAAUAGCUUUGCAAAGAACAUCUGCAGAUAAACAGAGUACAUUAUAUUGAACUGAAUGUUGAGUGCGUCCUGUUUCCUCUUCUUUGAGCAACCAUUUUAGUUUUAGCAAGACAACAGAAUUCUGGUCCAAUUUUAUUAGUUGUUCUUCUAGCAAAUUCACACAUGCGCAACAAAAUAACCAGCUCUGUAUAAAACGCAUAUCGAUUGGUUAUCAGAAGUUCAGAACAGUUGGAAACGUUUCUCACUUCAGAUCAACAUCUAGAGGAGACCUUGACCACCAUGACCAGCUUGACUCUGAAAAAAUCCAUGAAUCCGACCUUACGGAUCCAUGAGAUUUACCCAUAUUUACAUCAACGAUCUUAAGUCCCGCACAGAAUUUAAGUAUGAUCUGACAUUGCAAGUACGAGGAAUGUAUUGAAUUAGUGGUAGAGGUGAAGCUAUUGUAAGCCACUGACCCAACAUUGAGCCUUUAUUUCCCAAAUAAAAAGGCAAAAGCAGUCUUACUUGCAAGUCAAAUCAAGUCAAACCUUGAAAUAGUCAUAAAUCCUGCCUUUUACACCAAAAUUUUCAGCAAGAGUAAAACUAAAACGAAGAAAAAGUCCACUCGAAGCAAAGCAACUACACGUUCCGCCGCUCAGUGCGAUUUGAGCGCAGUUAGAACAUCGUGAUCAGUCGCUAUCGUUAAAGCCAUCGAGCGAAAUGAUCCUCAAUUUGCAAGUAAGAAACGCAAAGCGCAGACACAGAAACGAACAGAAGAACUGAAUACUGGCAGCAUCGCAGUAAUCGCGCACAAGAGCGAGGAAUCACGAGGUGAAAUGCGAAAAAUCUCGCGGACCU